UUUUUUUUUUUUUUUUCUUUUGGUGGAAAAAUAUCUCAAAACUUAAAUGAUAUUAAUAACGGACGCAAAAGGCGAUUAAUCCUCGUAUCAGCCAUAUGCUGAAUGGCCCCUUCCUCGUUUCAACCUUCACUUCUUCUCAAAACUUCGGUCGUGGCGUGACUCUAACAGAGAUUGGUGAAGAAAGAAAAGAAGAAAGCGGACAACCUAAAGAUUUGAGUGGGAUCACAAGAGGUAGCAAAGUCCAUGGCCUCGAGAAGCGAAUCGAAAAAGACAGAAGACUUACUGAUGAUGCAUCGAAAGUGGGGUGCUGGGUUGAAACAAGAUAGAAUCUGGAUAUUAUUGUCAUUCUUGGAUUGGCCAACUAUAAUCGCAGCAUGGUUGUUGAUUAUUUUGUUGCUAGCGUUUCUGAAUUUUUUUUUAUUAUUAUUUUGUGUGUGUGUGUGCGCGUUCGUGAAUUUGGAAGCGUUAAUGCACCAGAAUUAGAGGAAGCACGUGCCAUCCUACCCAGCAAAUUGCCCCGUCGUUUUCAGUUUUCAAGCUCUUGUCCUUUAAUGAUAAAAAGAAGAAAAAAGGUGAGAUUGGAUUCUACAGAUUCCCACAGCUACUAACAUCCGACAAAACCAUGAGAUUAUACAUCGUUAUCUUUUUAUCCCCAAUCUUAUUCCGAGAUGCCUUGACGGGCACGGGCCUUCGAAAGUUAGGUGAAUCCUUUAAUUGCCCUACGCUGUUUCUUCGAUUAGAUAUUCCACCUAAAACAAGAACCAUGGUAUAGCUCCCACAGUCUUUACACCUAAAUCAAAACCUCGGAUCCCUGGAUAGAAAACCAAUGAAUGCCACCACACACACACACACGCAGAGGGACAUUAACGAAUGUGGAAUUGAUUUACCUGAGCAAAGUUGGCAAGGACCAGAAGUGGGAAGGUGGCCAGGAUAAGCAGUGAGACCCUCCAUUCCACUAUGAAGGCAACCAUAAACGACGUGAGCAGUGACGUCAUAUUCUGCAGGAUCACCGAAAUCCUCUCAGCAAUGGCGGAUUUUACAUCUGCUGCAUCGGUGGCUAAGCGGGCUGCCAAUAGGUUUGAAUUAUGUUCCUCCUCAUCGAACCAUCCAACUUCAUUCCUCAAGAUUGCUGACGUGUUUUGAGAGAGAAUUAAUGAGUAAAAUGAUAUUCAAGGCCUCCGUGAGAGAUGAAAUCAAUACAUUAACGUUUCUUAAACAGGUUAUAUACAAGACUCGGUCGUAUUAGGAAUGAUUUCAUAAUUUACCUGCAAGCAUCAUCCUCCGCACUCUUGUAGUGAGGUUCUCCCCCAUGAUACUGAAGAAGUAAUGCUGUAUCAAAUAUGCAACAACAGCAUAAAGACCAGCUCCAAUGUAAAUGAAAACAUACUCCUUCGUUUUCCUUUCCAUGCUAGCAGGAUUUCUGUAGUAGAAAACCUCAAUCAUAUUGCCCAUCACAAUGGCAAAUGUUGGACCAAUGAAUCCUGACAGAAUGGAUCCUACAGCCCCCAUUAUUGAAUAAGGCCAUUCAGGAGCAUUCAGCUUAAGAAGCCUGCAGAAGUACCCGUGUGGUGCUGGAUUUUUCCUAUCUGUUUCAGCAUUUGAUACCAUCUCUAUUCGACCGUCAGCCCCAGUGCUGUACUGAUAGCUCAAAUUCCUCAAACUGCCAGAGCGGAGGCUUAACGACUUUGUUGACAACGAGUGGCUUAACCUGGUGGAGCGAGACCGACGGGUUGAUGGAUUCGAAAAGUCUCUGUUGCCCACCAUUUCCUGGAACCUAAUUAAUGAACCAUAUGCCCCAGCUUUGGCAACUAGUUCUUCAUGUGUUCCAGUUUCUACAACCUGGCCUUGCUGUAUAACUGCAAUAGAAUCAACAUUUCUUAUGGUGGAGAGGCGAUGGGCAACGACAACAGUCGUCCUUCCAACCAUGAGACGGUCCAAAGCUUCCUGAACAAUGCUCUCUGAACCCGCGUCCAGGGCACUUGUUGCUUCAUCAAGCAGCAGGAUCUUGGGGUUCUUCAACAUAGCUCUGGCAAUUGCUAUUCUCUGCUUUUGACCACCAGAAAGUUGGAUGCCACGCUCUCCCACCUACAUUUUAAGGAUACUUUCACAAACUAAAAAUUAAAGAAUAAUGAACUUAAAUUUGUUGAACAUGAGGCAAUUUUCAUAUGGCUGAUUUUCUUCUUCUAUUUCUUUUGUGCUUUUAGCACAAGUUGAAAUAGGUUUAUCAACGCUGGUUGAUGAAUCAUAUUUGUAUGUUUAUCAAAUACCAGGAGAAUUUGGAUAGAGUUGUAUGUGACUUUCAACCUGAGUGUUGUACCCAUUAGGAAGCAAGGUAAUAAAGCUAUGAGCAUUUGCAGCAGUUGCAGCAGCCUCCACCUCAGCCAUUGUUGCUUCAGGCUUUCCAUAGAGAAUGUUUUCAAGUAUGGUGGUAGCAAAGAGUGCAGGUUCUUGGUUCACCAAACCAAUUUGAUCCCGCAACCAUCUCAAUUGCAGCGUCUUUAUAUCCACAUUGUCCAGCAAAAUUUGUCCUGCCAGAUGACCAAUGAACUAAGUACAACUGCAUUUUAAAAUAGCACGAUUGGUCAAAACCUUGCAUGACAUAAUCUAUUGAUUACCCUGAUUAGGAUCGUAGAACCUUUCUAUCAGGGAGACUACAGUGCUCUUUCCUGAACCACUACCACCGACAACAGCCACCGUCUUUCCAGCAGGGAAGAAAAUAGAGAAAUCUCUGAAAAUCAUGACAUCAGGUCUUGAUGGAUAGCUAAAGGUUACAUUUUUGAAUUCAAUAUUCCCGUUGACCUCAGCCAAGCACUUCCCAUCAGAAGGAUCUUGCAAUAUUGUUGGUUUUUGUUUCAUAAUCUCCAUUAAUUUGUAUCCAGCUGCUUUACCUUUGCUGAAUGCCCCUAGGUUGGAAAACGACUGACCCAAACUCCUGAAAAUUUAAUUAAGCAUUUGGUUAUUGAUGAUUUUACUCGAUUAUACUAAUUCCAGGUAUUAGACAUUUUAAUUUAAGAUCUUACAUUCCCCCAACAAUAGCAGAAAAAAUAGCAGUGAAUGCCUUUCCCCCAUCAGUCUGUCCAUUCCUGAUAAAAACACCAGCAUACCAAAACACCAGGGCCCAUGACAUGCAUGCUAUUCCAUAGGUGCAUCCCAAUCCAAGGCCUUUGGCCAUUCCUGCCUUGUACCCGAGUUUCAAAGUAUUCUGUAUUGCAUCUGAAUAAGAAUUGAGAGCCUUACUCUCGCCAACAUAUGAGUAAACCGUCCUAACUUGUGCAAUGGCCUACGCAAAUGGCGAAUCAGUUAGAAGAUACUAGCAUAAAGCAACUAUAGUCAUGUAUGUGACCAAUCCAACUAAUUCACCCGUCAAGUAUAUGGUAAAAGUAUUUAAAAAGUGAAACUAAGCUUUUUCAUUAAAUGCUAAAAAGCAAAACCAGCAAAAAGGGGCAUUGAUUAUUAAGAUAGUUGUCAAAUUUAGUCAUUUAUACUGCUUGACGUUAGCUAAACUGAGCUGGGUUAAAAUGAAUAAAUUACAGAAGCUAAGUACGUCACGCUCAGUGUAGAUAAAGCUUUAAAGGUAAAAGCCAAUUGCCAACUAAGGGAAAAAGCUAUAAUUAUUAAAUUAAGGAAAGGUCAACAAACUUUUUGAUAGCAGCACAUGUAAGAUCAUUAUUCCUCUACAACAGUGAUUUAACUACUAUUAUGGCUAAAGAUAAGAUGAGGGACCAAUACAAAAACCAAACUAUCAAAGGGAGCAUAAAGAAAAAUGUACAAAAUUAAUUCAGAAGGAGGCAGGAGAUAAUUAAAUCCUACAAGAUGUUCAGAGGCCAAAGGCGGGAAGCUGGCUCACCUGUUCUGCAAUUAUACCGGCAUUGGCAUAAGAUUCGCGACUCUUGGAUGUUAGACCUGUGAGCGUGUAUGCAUACAAACCCCCAGCAAAAGCAAUUCCGGGGAUCACAGCCACACUCAGCAGAGCUAGCCUCCAUGCUGACACAAAACCAACCACCAAACCAGCCAAAAAUGUGGAAAGAUAAUGGAUGAAAUUUCCCACCUGAAAAAUCCCAAAUGCAGAAACAUAAUUACAGAAAUCAAGACCGUCUCUUUCGACACGACAAUUGAUAGCACAAUCAUUAAAGCGAAUUUCGAAUUAUAGCCAUGCAUAAAUAUUUUAUGUUACAUAAACAGGAACAUGGAUGAUGAUUAUUGGGCAUGCUCGCUGUUCUUAAUGGCUUUCAACUCCCCCUGAGUGGAUGCCGAAGAUGAAGGGAGCAGCAUCGAGGAGAGGCGCUACCAUGCGCCAGCAAAAGGUAAGAAUGAAAUUAAUUUCUGGGAAGGGUCCCGCAUUAAUUGAGAACCAACAACCCAUCGAUCACACCAUCCAUGUAUCCCUCUUUAAUGCGAGUGCAACACAUGAGUGCAAUACUAGAUUACACCGUUACUAAAAGACAGAGGGAGAAGAAAUAAAUGAGAAAAGAGAGAAAUUGAUAAUAAUAAUUAAAAAAAAAAAAAAGAACCUUCUCACUGAUGGCAUCUUGGACAAGAAGGGUAUCCGUUGAGACGCUGAAAACAAUAUCUCCAGUCCUAGCAUCUGUAUCGAAAAAUCCAACGUCCUGUUUCAACACCGCCUCCAAAUACUUCCUCCUUAAUGCUCCAGCUUGCCUCUCCCCACUAUGCAUCCAGCAAGCAAUCUCUGUUUAAUGCAUAAGUAUUUUUCACCACGCCAUUAGAAUUUGGCCAUCAAGCUAAUUAAUUAGUAUUUACUACUACCGCUACUGAGCUUAGCUUAAUCACCAGCUAAAAUAGAAUUAGACGUAUACUGCUAAUCAGUAACUCGAAUUCGUGAAGAUGGCCGUACUAAGUUCCUUUUUUGACGAUUGUUUUGUCCAUAUACUGCAGCCCCCCGGAAAACCAAGAUUGAGAAUUUUGAUGUAUCGCGCAGUGAAAGAGAUGUGAGAGAUAGUGGGAUAAUACUAUAAAAAUAGAGUGACAUUGAGGAAAUGGACAAAUGAGAGGGGAAAAAGACAGGGGACCGUCCACGGGCCACGUGCAAACCCAACUCCACGUUGAUCCAAAAUGACCUGGCUGGCUGGCUCACUACUAGUUGUACUCUACUCACUUAUUUUUAUGCUGCUACUGCCCAAAAUACCACCCCACGGCCACGACUACGAUUACGCGAAACUCAAAAAACUUUUUGCAUCUGCAAAUGUGCUUGUAGAAUUGUUGUACAGCAAUAAUUUUUUUUUUCCUUUUUGUUUCAAGAAAAUUAUUAGUAAUUUCAACAAAGAGAAGAAAAGGCAUGAGAAUUUGGAAAAAAAGGACUAGUAUGAAGCAGCUUUACCGGCGUAGGAUGAAAAGCACACAAUCAAUCCAAGGUAGAUGAAGUAGAGAGCGUACUGCAACGUUCAAAAACCAAGCGAUUUAGAUCUCAUAAUAGUAGUAGUAGUAGUAGUAUUAAGCAACAUCCCCCAAAACAAAAAAUAAUAAUAAUUUAAAAAAGAAAGAACUUGUAGGAGUGGGAGGAGAUUGGGGAACCUUGGCGACUUCAUGGAUCAUUUUAUGUAAAUCAGUUUGGUUUUUGCCGAAACCAUUGACCAUCUCGCCGAACAACAGGAAGAAAACCGGCAUGGAGGAGCCGUGUACAACGGCUCCGAGGCUCCCAGUGAUCAUCAAAAGCCAAUCAUACUUGUCUGCGAAGGAGAACAGCUGAUAGAAUGGUAGACUCUGCUCCUUCUUCUUCUCCGCCUCAGGCAUUGCCGCUAUCGCUUCACUAUUCUCAGCCAUUGCUUGUACAGAAACCAAAAGAACACCCCUCUAAAAGUCUUGAGAAGUUUUAAAGCUCUCAACAACCCACCACUCAGUGAGUGAGUCAGUCAGUCAGUCACCAGUUGAGAAGGAAGAAUCGUCUAUACCAGCUGCUGGGAGGUAAAUGGGUGGUGAUCAUGGUGAGACUGGUUUACCACCAUGUUAAGAAAUCAAAAGAAGAAGAAGAAGAAGAAGUACAGUGCAAUGGAUGAAGAAACGUGACUCAGAGAUCUGAAAGAGGGAGAGAAGAGGAGAUGGCUUUGUUUGUAUCGUACUAUAGUAGAGGGAUUUUUUUUUUCCCCUUUUAAUUUUCUUCAAUGCAGAGAGCCAGGAAGAACUGACAAGCUGUCGGUCACGUAUUCUUUCAAGAGGUGAUAGAUAGAAUGAGCGAGCGAGUAUUAACUAAGCAGCCGCACCAGACCGACCAAGGGAUAGAGAAAUAAAGCUUGGGUUCGCCGGAAAGAGGAAGUGAUGGCCACCUGAGUCCUGAGCGGGGAGGGGCUGGAAGUAGAAUUUAGUAAGACUAGCAGUCAAAGGAGGAAGUGGUAUUGGUGGUGGGUAUAGGGAAGAUGGGGAAAUGGUGGAGGCACACGAGAGACUUGGGGGUCGCGCUUUACAACUUUACUUAUAGUCAUUGAGGAGGAGACUGCAGUAAAGAGACGCUUAACCGGGGGUUAAAAUUUUGCGUUUGGUCCCGGUUUUUUUUUCUUUGGGGUCAGGGUUGGUUAACUCGAAUCUGACCCUUCAUUUUUUAUUUUUUAUUUUUUAAAAUCUCUACUUCCGCUGCUUUGAGCACUGUGCUCUCUGCCAAACUCUGUACCACUCUAUGCAGUACCCAAUUUAUUUAUUUAUUUUUCAUGUUUAUUGUUCUUGCCCAGUUGGAAAUUGGAAUUCAACGAGGAGUAGAAAGUUGAAUUCGCAACUGCUGUACAUAUUAUCUUCAUCCCUUUUUAUUUUAAGGAACUGUACAUAUUAUCACUAUCAGUAAUUAUAGAUGUUUUCUAUAUUGAAGUACUAUUAUAUUUGAGUUUGUUUUAACUUAAAACAUGUUUGAUAAUUCAGUUCAUCACUUAAAUUUAAUGGAUUCAGAUCUUAACAUAGUUAGACUAUUUAAUAACUAAAAAUUGAAUAUCUGAAUUAAUUAAGUGACACUGAAUUUUCUAAACAAAACUUAUUCCCAAAAUUAAGUAAUAAACUAUUCACUUAUCAUUGAAUGUGGUAUGCACUCAAAAUGUAUUAUAUUUAAUAUUUAACAAUUUAAUAACUUAAUGAAUUCAAAUUUCAAAUUUCAGAUUUCAAAUUUCAUUUUUAUGAAACGCACCCUUAGUGUUCAUUCCAUUAUUCAUGUGUCAUUAAUCGUUAUUUGAUACUAAUACUAUUGUUAUUCAUACCCUGGAUAUGUUGAUUUCACCAUAAAACUACUGUACAUUGAUUGCAAUCACAUUAAAAAAUUAAUCAUAUUAGAAAAUUGUACUAAUUAUUCCAUUUAAAUGCAUAUUAUUAUCUUAGAUAGUGUCCAAUAUUGUGCUCCCUUUCCAAGUUCCAGAUUAAUGGUUUAGAAUAAUGCGGUUGACCUCUAAAGGAAAUGCAAAUAAGUUAGAUCAUAACAAAAUAACUUACUUACAAAGUGAGAUUUUACAGUGCAACAUACUAGUGAUGAGGGAGGCCAAUAUUGAGAUUUUUUUUUGUCGUCUCUUUUACAAAGUUAAGAAUUGAUACUAAAUUUCUUCUCUAAAUAAAAUAAAUUGUGAAGAUAUUGAUGGUAUUUCUGGGGAAUUUAAAAAAAAAUCUAUUGAUAUCGACACCAGAGCUAAAAAGAAAAGGUCAUGUAUGAGAAAAUUGGUAAUUAUCUGUUAGGUACAAGCGAUACGAUAAGUGCUUUCAAAGGGAGAAAAAACAAAAGAAAUGUUAAUUUUUUUUUCCCUUGAAGCUAAAUAGAAAUGUUACUUUGGUACAAUUAAGACCAAGGCCCAAAGUUUCCCAAAAAAAAUUUUAAGAGCAAGGCCCGUAUUUUCAUUACAAUUUAUCGCCCCGAUGAUACUUCCGGGACAUUCAGAUUCAAUAAAAGUGGAACCGCACAAUGAUCAUUGUGAAACCCUUCUCUCUCUCUUUUUUUCCUUAAUUUAUUGAGUAAGUUAUCACGGCCUUCUUCUGCUGUAAAAUUGUUUUAAAUGCUUUUAAAUGAUAGGGGAUUUUAUGACCCUUGAAUAAACUAUAAGGAGAUUUUCUAUAAUUUACACCAGAAGAAAACUAACAAGUGAGUCCAAGACCCCUGCCUUUUUUUCCCAAAACAAAAAAGGGGCUUCCCCCUCCAAGACCAGGGGUGUGUGAACUGGGCUAAAGCAAACAGCUGGACUUUGAUGGUAAAUUUUCUUUUUUUUUUUGGGAAAACAUUCUCAAAACAAUCAAGAAAUACUCGUUUGACAGCAAAAUGUACAAGUGGUUUUCUUCGUUUAAUUAAAUUUUUUUUAAUGAAAACUCAAAAGCAUUCUCUAUUUAUUUAAUUAAAUAUUUACUAAGCCAUACACUUUCAUGAUUAAACUUUUUUUUUUGUUUUAGGUUUUCGUGAUUAAACUUCUUCUCUGUUGUAAUGAUUGUCUUUUCAAAAUCCUCCUCAUAGUACCCAUAUUCGGAAAAGGUUAGAUUAUUUUCCAUUAUUGCUAGCUGUACUAUUACAUUGCUGUUUCGUUAUAGCUAUUAUUAGUGACUUGUCAAAUGAUGUGUAGUUUUAACUUUAAUAAAUUCGAUUUCAUUAUAAUAAAUAUACAAACUAACCUAAAAGCAAUAUAUUAUGAUCAUCCAAAAUACCCGAAAGAAUAUAAAACACACGCACACACAUAUAUAUUUAUGUAUAUUGUCCCUGUUGAAGACUUAAUUUUCUGAAAGGCCCCUUCAUUCAAAUUGAUUUCUACUUUUACCCCCCUGUCCACAUGAGUUAUUUGCAUUGGCCAAUUGUUCGUGCUCUUGUAGGGAUGAGGGGCAUCUAAACUACAAUUGCAAUUGUCGAAUGGAGCCCAUGCUUUGCGCUGGGUCUUUUUUCCCCCCUCUUUUUUUGCCUUAUAACGCAAUAGUAUUUUUGAGUUUUGUCCAGAAGUACAUGUCAGAUUGUUGUUGUUUCUACUUUCUACACCAUUGUGCAUGUAUGCAUUACCGGUGUUUAUGUGCACGUUACCAUUUUGGUUCUAACAUCACGCUCUGCAUUUAAGGUAGCUACACAUAGAUUGCUAUAUAUGUUUAGAAUUUAGAAGAGAUUGAGAUUUUUAUACAAUUGUAUGGUGCAAUUGAAAUUGGCAAUAAUGAAAGCUUCUAAACCUUUUAAAAGUAUCGUAAGAUGUUAAAUUCGGCUAAAGCAGCAAUCAAAUAAAGGGAGGCUCCUUUAAAGAUUUAUGCAUAUAUUUGGAAAUGUUUGGAUAGUAGAUUAUUUUUGGAUAUUUUUUUAUUAAAAAAAUAACGUAACAUUUUUUUAUACAUGUAUUACCAUUACAUGCGUCACCAAUGUAUCAGCACUUACUUAGGAUGUGGUAUGCCAUGUGAAUUCGACAUAUAAUUCAUCAAUUACAGCUAAAUUAUACUUAAGGUGCGUUUGAUAAAAUUGAAAUAUGAAUCCAUAAGUUAUUGAAUUGUUAAGUAUUAAAUCUAAUACAUUUGAGUGUAUAUUACAUUCCGUGAUAAAUGAAUAGCUUAUCACUGAAUUUUGAGAGUAAAUUUUGCAUAAAAAAUUCGUUGCCACUUAAUUAAUUCAGAUGUUCAAUUUUUGUUAUCAAACGAUUUGAAUAUGUUAAAAUCUAAAUCUAUUAAAUUUAAGUGCUGAACUAGGUUAUCAAACAGAACAUUAGUCAAAUAAAUACUUACAUAAAAUUAGACUAAAUUUGCCACGUUUGAGAUUUAAACUCAAGACCCGAUCAACAUAUAUAUAGAUAUGUAUAUUACUUUUUAAGGUAUGAAAACUAACUUUUAGGGAAAGAUAUUCGAAUCAAUGUGCUGAAUAACGGCAUUGCUUUGUCAUGCACAACGUUUUUCUUUAAACCUAUAGUUGAUGUGUACGUAUCAUUCACUUUUGUUAUUGAACUAUGAAUUGUUGCUCUGGUAGACGAACAAUGGACCCUCGUACGCAACGACGCGAGUCAAGAGGUAGAAAGUAUUUUGUUUUGUCUGCCCAAAUCCCAGCCGUAUUCUUAUCCCGCACCAAUGCUGAAUAUGAAAAAAAGGAGCCAAUCCUCCGCAAGCAACCUCCCGAAGUUAAUAAAUUUUGAGACACCGAAGAGAUAUCCCAUCUGUUUUAGAUUUGGAUGAUGCCAAACAAUCAAUCAACGGAGAAUAUUAUUAUUAGCCUGUUAAUUUCAUGCAGAGACGUGAAUCAAGAUAACACCAUUUGUUAUGUUUUGGGGCGGUGGGGGUGGUUGAGGUGGCUAAAUCAAGCAGGCAUUUUGGGCUCCUGUCCCUUCCAAUAUCCAUCCCAACUUCGAUACAUCUUUUUCAUCGCGAAAGAGAAAGAGAGAUGUGAGUGCCGAAUCUACCAUGUGCAUCCAAAACCCAUCUACUCAGGCUUGGUGACCUCUGCCUGGUGGUUCCACUCAAUUAAUUCUUCCCGCUUUAUCAUUUGGCUAUUUACAUUCUCAUGCUUUCAUUUCAUGUCUCCGACGAGGCUUAGCUACCAAUUAGUCUCACCUUCUAAAUACUACCAAACAAACGGGGGAAAAAAUCGCAACGGAUCUUCUGUUUCAUAUCCUGUGUCACUCUCUGUUCCACGUUUUAUUAUAUUACUAUUUCUCCUAUAUAAACAUCAUAUUUUAGUUUUUUUUUGUUUUCUUAAGAUUCAAUAACUAUUAAUUGAAUAAAAAAUAAAUACAGCAGCUUAAAAAAAGCAAUAUAUAAUAGAAAAUUAAAAAAUACAGUAGAACAUUCUUAAAAAAUCUCAUUUUUUAUGCAUUUUGAUUUUUUGAGUUUGUUAAAUUUUGUGUAUAACUCAAUUAAUAGUUAUUGAAUCUUAAGGAAAAAAAAAAACUAAAACAUGAUGUUUAUGUAGAAAAAAUAGCAAUAUAAUAAAAAGUGGGACAGAGAGUGGCACAGGGUGUGGGAUAGAAGAUCUGUUGCGGAAAAAAAUCCCCUUUUUUUUUUUCCCUGGGUACAAAUAAACAGAGAGAGUUUUCUCCUCCAUAAUUGUCAGGCAGAAAUGUUGGUCCAAAAGAAAUAGGCUUUCAUUCCAUGGAAGCAUUUUUUUGCUCAUGUGAUCCAUCACGAACUAGCAAAUUUGCCCGUGUGAUCCAUUUGUUUCCUUCAGUAAAAUCUCCUUUUUUUUUUUCCCUUCUGGAAUUUAUUCUGUUGAUCAUGAGUUAACGGAAUUCAUCCUGGGUGGGUUCUUCAUGAUUAUUCGCAAAUGAGAAGGAAAAUGGAAAUGUCAAAAGGUCGCACAACUAGGUAGGUUAAUACGAUUCCUUGCUCGUCUAAUGGAAGACCAUGCUCAUCGCGUCGAUCCCAAAUGCUAUGUCUAAAAGUUUUUCCUGUUCUUUGUUUCCUUGCAAGUAUUUAACGAAAAAUAAAUAAAUGCACGACAGACCCCAGCAUUAUAUCCUGGAAGAAAAAAAAAGAGGAAAGAAAAAAAAAAUGAAUAGAAGAGCUUUAUUGCUGUUCCAUUGCUUUUCCCCAGCCUAGCCCACCAAAGCUUUUCAUUUCGUAAAGAUGAAAAGAAAUUUCUCAAGAAAUGCAGCGUCGUGCUCCCAUCGUGCAUGUUGCCAUCCACAGCAGACCUUUGCUUUCGGCUUUCGCGAACCAGUUGAUCUGUGCAUAUAAAGGCUUCACCACCUUCCUCCCAAGUCCUACCUAAUCUUCUGAUCAAAAGUUACGAAUCAGAACUUGAUUACUAAAAUCAUGCAUACUCCUCUGCUCUAGCAGUAUAAUAAAUACUACUAAUAACUAGCUGCGGCUAGCCUUAUUAGCACGAUCAUGAGCAGCCAAACAACGUGGCUAUCUAGGUAUAGCUUGGGACUAGCAUCUCCCAGGAAAAUGUCAAGCGUCGUAGGAGGAAAUCCCAUGAUUCUUCCUCCUGACAAAUAGGUCAAGUGUCGUAGGAGGAAAUCCCAUGAUUCUUCCUAAACAUCGUCAGUUGACAGGGAAUUUAACGUUUUCUAGCCUGUUGUAAUUACGUUUUUCGGCAGCUGCAACAGUUUUAGUACAUUAUUAUUGGCAGACAAUGGUUAAACUAUCAAAUCAAAUGCUCGCGUCCUAGAAAGCGAUAUAUCCCUCCGUCCAGAUUCAACUGAUUAGAAGUCCUGAAAACAACGACGGAAAUGAAAAAAGUGAAAUCGCUGCCACUAAUGUUUACAAUCAGGAAAGUGAGAUUGAAUGAUCUUAAGUGGUGAGUGUCAGAUCAAACAGUUACUAAAUAGGAAAUACGCAUGGUCUGCUAAAGCGUUUGGCAAAAAGAAGCUCACAACUUAACUUACUAUGGUUUGGAAUCGGCCCUUAAAAAAUUGGGACUUCAGCAUCGAAAGGUGCUUUGGUCAAGAAAGUAUGGAAUGGGAACGAUAGAGGCCUGUUAUUUGUUUUUGAGCAAUGAGAUUUAUUAAUAAAAAUGAAGUGGCUUCGGUUGGGUUGUAGGCGCUUUUGGAGACAUUAGAUCCAUUUUCGCGAAUAAUUUAGGAAUGGUUUAAAUUUAGUUAACAGCAGGGACUGGUAGGCUACUAUGUAGGCAUGUGACAUGCCCCUGAAAAUUACGCUUCGUCCAUCUGCAAACAUGAUGCAUUUUUCUUUCUUUUCCAUCACUUUGUGCCGUCGCUUCUCCGUCCUCUAACCCAACCCGCCGCAAUGACGAUUUGAAGAAUAACCAUUGCGCUCUUUUUCUUUCUUUUUUCUUUUUACUGUUCCACGACCAUGAUCAAUGUCAUAGGAGCAGAUUGGUUCAAAAUUCCGCAAUCAUUUUAUUAUUAUGGGUAUGCUGCAUUGGGAAACAGCAAUAAAUUUGAAAAAAAAAAAAACAGCUUCACAACAAUGGACUUUUAAUAAUAAUAGAUAAAUGAAAACUUAUUCUUUAAUAUUUAAUUAUGAAACCCAUACAAGGAGUCUAUGAAACUGGCGGUUAACUGAUACAGGCUGACCUUAAACAAACAUUAUAUAUUGAUAUAAUUAAAAUUGAAACUUAUUUCCUAUCUUGAAAGUCACUCUUUUGUUUUUCAAUGUAAGUGAAAAGGUUCGAAAAUGAGUCUCUUACUUGCACUCUUUCCUUCUUUGAAAGUCACUUACCAUAAUGGCAAUUUAUUGUGAAGAAAAAUAGUACUAACAUAUAUAUUCCCCUUGGCCCCAACCAGAAAUAUAUAUGGUUCUCAAAUUGCUAAAAUUCUUUCCUUUGCUUUUAGUUUCUUAGGAAUGGGGAGGAAAGAGGGGGAACAUGUUUGGAUACUAAUUGUUUUAAAAUAUUAUUUUAUCUAUAUCAAAAAAUAUUUUUUUUAUCUUACGUAUAUAAAAUUAUAAAAAUAAAAAAUUUACAAUAAAUAUUUUAAAUAAUUUUCUAUCCCAACACGCUUAAAAUGCACCUGCGAUGAACCUUUUUUUUUAUUAUUAUUAUCGGUUUAAAUAGAAUUACGUAGAGGCCCAUCAAUGCGGCAGAGUGCAACUGUGCAUGAGGGAACCACAAGGCAAUGAAAAACACGAAAACUACUAAGAAAAGGUCUCGAAAACUAAAAGAGCAGCCAGCACCAAUGAAAGGCAAAAGUUGUAGCGGGAGGGCUGGACGAUGCGUGGAGCGGAAAAUGCUGGAGUAUUGGACCACCAACCAAACAAAAUAGUUUUAGUAUAUGGGGUUUCGAACUUUCCAGUCAACUUACAACAAUCUGCUUCUAUAAACAAUAAUAAAAGAGUAAUUAAAUUACUGGUAGCGUUGGUGUAUUUGGAUUUGCCAGCUUUGCUUCCAAACUCAUAUCAUCAAUUUGAUAGCACUUGGAUACGGAGAUCGCUUUUGUCUGCCUUAGUAUGAUAUGAUUGCUCACCCGCUGUAGACAUGAUUUAAAGGAAAAUAACACAAUAUAUAUAUAUAAGACCAACAAAUUAUAACUCAAAACUUUUCAGUAAUGUUAAUUCUAACACAUGUGACUAGACCUGCUAUCAUCAGCUGCAAUUCUAGAGGAAACUUGGACCAGAUCAGAAGUUGUAAAGGGCUGCAGUCCAUUCCUGCACUAUUCAGUUUACAGGUAGAUGGGUGGACCAUUAUAUGGAUCUGGUCCAGCGUGAAUGCAGUUGUAGUAAAGACAUGUUGGAUUUGUUAUGGAUCAAACUACUACUAGUAGGGAAAUGCUUCAAAGACUUCUCUUGUGAUUUUCUCCCAGCCGAAUGGUCCAAGUACACUAGCAAAAGAAGCACAAACGGUACCAAUGACUCGAGCGAGCUGAGAUUUUGGGCUUCAGAUUAGCACAAGACAAAAGGAUUUUUCACUUUUCUUCUGUAGGUGAUCCUGGACUCGCAGGUUGGCAUGCUCAAUUCAGGAGGUUUUGAGAUUGGAUAGGGUGUUGGUUAUGAAUGCACCGCAGGUUGGCAUGCUCAAUUCAGAGCCCUUCACAUGUAACCGUGUGUAGCCCAGGCCCAAAUGCCCCGGAAGUUUAAACUGAAAUCUCGGAAGAGCAGAUGGCAACGGUCGUAAUUCGUCAAGCAAUCCGAAACGUCGCCACACCCCCACGCCAGCUGGAAAAUCAGUUCAAAAUUCAAAAUCAUUUUGGAGCCGUUCAAACAAAAUUGUUUCAGUUUUGCCCCUCGCCUGCUGCCCUAAUCUUACCCCGCCAUUGGGGCUUGGAUUACUCGCUCCAGUCUAUAUAUAUAACUCCCUCCCGCAUUGCCUCACCACACGACCCCAAGUCCUCUCCUUCUUCUCCUUUCCCAGAUCUCGGAGGUCUCUCACUCUUCCGAUCCAGAGACGUCUUUGUAUACGCCUCUGGUAUCUCCAUUCCUCCUUUUUCCCUCUCUUCCAAAAAUCUCCUAUUCAUUUCUCAAAACAUCGCGAAAAUGAGAGAGUGCAUCUCCAUCCAUAUUGGUCAGGCCGGUAUCCAGGUCGGAAAUGCCUGCUGGGAGCUCUACUGCCUCGAGCACGGCAUCCAGGUAAAUUGCCUUCUAUCUAACCUCUUAUAUUUCAGAUCUGCUGUUUCUCUCAUUUUUGUUCAAGGAAAUGAUUCAUCUUUGGUUUGAUUUUGGGUGUUGUGGAAUAGCCUGAUGGACAAAUGCCGAGCGACCACACCGUCGGCGGCGGAGACGACGCUUUCAACACCUUCUUCAGCGAAACCGGAGCCGGCAAACACGUUCCUCGUGCCGUGUUCGUCGAUCUGGAGCCCACUGUCAUCGAUGAAGUCCGAACCGGCACCUACCGCCAACUCUUCCACCCUGAGCAACUCAUCUCCGGCAAAGAAGACGCCGCCAACAACUUCGCCCGUGGCCACUACACAAGUAUGUAACGUCAUAUCUAGUGCCAUAUAUGUCAAACACACGUAUCUCGUUUUAGUUUUAUCGUUUCAUUUCUGCAAUCUCUGGAUCUGUUUUGAGUUUUAGGCUCUUAUUUUAUUUUAGUUAUUAGACGAUUUUCGGGAUCUUAAUUGUUAGUUCGUAAAAUCACGAUGUAGUUGGGAAGGAGAUCGUUGAUCUGUGCCUGGAUAGGAUUAGGAAGCUUGCGGAUAACUGUACCGGGCUUCAGGGAUUCCUGGUCUUCCACGCCGUGGGUGGGGGUACCGGAUCCGGGUUGGGAUCUCUGUUGCUCGAGAGGCUUUCCGUUGAUUAUGGAAAGAAAUCCAAGCUUGGGUUCACCAUUUACCCAUCUCCCCAGGUCUCCACCGCUGUGGUUGAGCCUUACAACUCUGUUCUCUCUACUCACUCCCUUUUGGAGCACACCGAUGUUGCCGUUCUCCUCGACAAUGAGGCCAUUUAUGACAUCUGCCGCAAGUCCCUUGACAUUGAGAGGCCCACCUACACCAACCUUAACCGCCUCAUCUCUCAGGUACUCACUUUUUCUUAUUUUAAAAUAAAAUAAAGACCUUGGUCUGCACUCUCCGUUAUUAGUCGUUGUCAAGCAAAAUUCGUGUUUCUUAUUUAUGAAACAAACCUUGUUGUACCUCAGGUGAUUUCAUCAUUGACCGCAUCUCUGCGAUUUGAUGGAGCCUUGAACGUCGAUGUGAAUGAAUUCCAAACUAACUUGGUCCCAUACCCAAGAAUCCACUUCAUGCUUUCCUCCUAUGCACCCGUGAUAUCAGCCGAAAAGGCCUAUCAUGAGCAGCUCUCCGUUGCGGAGAUCACCAACACUGCAUUUGAGCCAUCCUCAAUGAUGGUCAAGUGUGAUCCCCGCCACGGCAAGUACAUGGCCUGCUGCCUGAUGUACAGAGGCGAUGUGGUGCCUAAGGACGUGAAUGCAGCUGUGGCCACCAUUAAGACCAAGAGGACCAUCCAGUUUGUUGACUGGUGCCCAACUGGGUUCAAAUGCGGUAUCAACUACCAGCCUCCGACUGUGGUACCUGGUGGAGAUUUGGCUAAGGUUCAGAGAGCCGUGUGCAUGAUCUCCAACUCCACCAGCGUUGCUGAAGUGUUCUCUAGGAUUGAUCAUAAGUUUGAUCUCAUGUAUGCCAAGCGUGCUUUUGUGCAUUGGUACGUGGGUGAAGGUAUGGAGGAAGGUGAGUUUUCUGAGGCUAGGGAAGACUUGGCUGCUCUGGAGAAGGAUUAUGAGGAAGUUGGGGCGGAGUCUGCUGAAGGUGAGGAAGAUGAGUACGACGAUUGAGCACAAGUUUGAGCUCAUGUUUGUGGUUGAGGGGUGCUAAUGAGUGCUGCUAAAUGAUUUAGUGUUUUUUUUUUUGUUUUUUUUGGUUCCUUGUUUGUGGGUCAAUUAAAAAACCAAUGUUCUCAUUGGUAUGAACAAAUUGCCGUGUUGAUUUUGGCUCAUUCUUAAAUCUGGAUUUGGUACUUUCUAUUUUGGUUUACUGUGUUUCACUGUUGUUUUGUUCUUGAAUUUCUAUUGAGCUUGAUUAGUAGUAAUUGGCCUGUUCUUUUUACUUCUUUCUUCUGUUCAUCGUAGUCAUUUCGGUAUAUAUAUAUUAGCUAUGUCAAUUCAACAUGCUGAUUUCAAGAACAUAAUUCAUAAAGCUUUUUAAUGACAGUUUACUGGUGCCACAAUUUUUGAGUUGUGUUCAUUUUACUCAAAAAACUUGAGUUGUGUUCAUUUUACUCAAAAAACUUGAGUUUACUCGAAAUUUUUGAGAACGGGUUUUGGAAUUUACGAGCCAGUGCGCGGGUCAAUUACUUCAAUUUUAGAACUUAAUAAACAACAGCUUGCGUAGAGAUUUAUAUAACGAAAGUUACAUAUAUUUGGUGAGAAAAGAAAAUUCAUAUUAUAUCUGGGAGAGAAAUUUUUUUAGUUUUACAAGCAAAAAGAUCAACAUAAGUAGGAGACAGAAGAGUUGAAGUUGCACUUGCACUUGGGUUUUUUAUGAAUAUUUGUUGAGUCGGAAGUGUACAAGAAGAGAUGAUUAUAAUUCAACACCCAUAAGAAGAAUAAGAGCAAAGCAGAUCUCGGAAGAUCCAGCCGUAAUUUUCAAGCAAAAUGUUGGGUAUCUGCAAUUAGGUAGCUAAUUAUGACAGCGAAGAUGGGAAACACGCUGAGCUCUUCUUCUUCUAGCUGUUGGAAUGAAUUGGUUGCAACAAUGAGAGGGGAAGCCCUGCCGCGGGCAUCAUACACUCAAUGUCAAUGUGGUGGCUAUAAGUAGAAAAGCAAAAAGGACUCGAUAUCUCCUUAAGCGUUACGUUUGCUGCAAAAUGUAUGUGGCAAGAGUGUAUAUUUUUUUUAUUAGCAGUGGUGUAUUUUUUUGAUGAAAAUUUUGAGGUUGUGGCAGAAUAAUUUCAAAUCCAAAGAUGGAAGAAAAUACAAUAAUGCCAGCACCCGCAUGGGCACUGCUGGCAGAGCAUAUAUAUUAGGUAUAAUACUCUACUUGUUACCACCAUUACUCAAAAAAAGAAAUGAGUGUUACCGCAGGCAGCCUUUCGCUUUCUCAAGAUUUGACGAAACUGCCUUCCGUUUCACUUAAUCUUGCUUUCCUUCAUUAGGAGUGCAUUGAAAUUUACGGCAAAAUUAUUGAAGCAGAGAACUAAUAUUUAAAACUGUACAAUAGCAAUAGUAGCAUCAUUCAGUUUAAAACCAAAACUGUACAGAUAGUAAAUAACCUCUCUACUGCCUAUUACAUUUACAUACACAAUCACCUCUCUCUCUCUCUCUCUCCUUCCACCACCAACCGCCUGAGUGUAUCGAUUGAACCUACGAAAUUCCGUGAAAUGCGUCAAUUCUCCAUAGAAGAGCACAAAAUCAUCAUUGAUUUACUCAAGAUAAGACAAGAAAAAAAGAUUAUGCUAGCUAGCUAGCAGCUGGGGAUGUUUGAAGAAAUGUUGGGCCUCUUCUCAGGAGGAGUUAAGAAGAGAUUAUUGAGUUUUUAUUUAAACCUUCUUGAUGAUGAUUAGUUAAAGGGAAGCUAGAAAGUAAUGAUUAACCUGACAUUCAUUAAUUAAUCAAUUGAAAAUUCAAGCAGGCUAUUGGUCCAGAUCAUUAGAUGGUGAAAGCAACCCGCGAAACCGCGGAUUCCUCCAAGGUUUUGGUUUUCUGUCUAAAAAAAUCUUAUGUGAAAAGAACAAGAAAUUGUCAGAUAAAACAAACGAUUAAGAUGAGGCAGAGGAGGGUGAAACAAAAUCAGGCACCAAAGUCAGGGAAAGAAAACAAACCUUACCAGACAUCAUAAAGCUAAAGUUUUGAUUUAGUCAGCAGCCUGGACGGACGGCAGAAGUACUAUUGUUUCCAGUACUGAGAGGUGAAGCCGGCAAGGCUGCUGGCCGCUUCGACAGCUCCAUCACAACGCCAACCUCGUGCUUAUUAUUAUUAUUAUUAUCAUCAUCAGAACAACCAAACAGGUUAAGAAGCACAUCCGCAUGAAUGUCCUCUCCUAUGUGGGAAUCCUCAUCUCUGAUCCUCCUUAUCUGGCUAUGCAGCAAACUGAAUCCGUCUCCAACGUUGUUUCUGGAUGUGGUGGUGGUGGUGGUCGUCCCGUACCUAUUACUACUACUACUGCUACUACUAUGACUCCCUGCUAUAUGAUUAUAUAUUCUAUUUUUGGUUAUGGGAAGCAGAACUGAUCUAGGCGAACAGUCCAUCUCCUCCGACGAUGAACCCACGCCCUCCUGACCUGCGUCCACCAACUCUCCUCCAACACGGCAAACCGUCCUCUUGACCAUCAUCAUCCUCUUCUCAUGAAUAUAUAUAUUUACUAGUCCUUAACUCUGAUCAAUAUUACUGCAUAAAUAGUUAAAAGCAAAUAUUCGGCAUGCACGGCAACGCUCUCACAAGCAACAAAACUAUGCCGCUCUUCUGAUGUCACCCCUGCUCCUGCCUUCUUCUUCUCUUCCAGUCUCUGAUAUAUAUAUAUAUAUAUAUAUAUAUGUGUGUGUGUGUAUUUAAGUGUAUCUUACGCAACACUGACGUACCUAAUGUGUUUAUAUAUGUAGGGAUAAUUUCUGAAACCUCCCCUGAGGUUUCUAAAUAUUUCACUUAGUUCACUUGAAGUUUUAAAAAUUACACUUACCUCCCUUGAUUUGACACUUUGGUAACCAAACCUUAAAAUAAGGUCAAAAAUUUAAUGAAUACCUUAAUAUGCCCUUAUCUUAUAAAGUUCAAUUCAUUCUUCUAAAUAGUUGUAAAGUAAUUUGACACAAUUAUUUAAAAAAAAAAGAGCAUCAAAUAUAUAUAUUUUUUAUAGUGCUUUAUUGGGAAUAUAGAUUAUUUUUAAGAUAGAGAAGAAAGUAUUAUUUUGUGUUUUUUAUGUUUAUGGACUAUUUUUUAAAAAUAAAAGUUUAUGUAGUAGUUUAGUAAUGGAACUACCAUAGUUUGGUAGUGAUUUUUGGCCAUUUAUUUUUAAUUAUUGUUGAUUUAUUCUUGAUUUUGAUACAAAAAAAAAGAGCUAAAAAAAAUGGAUGAUAUAAAAAGUCAUCAAAAAAAUUACUGGUUUAACGUUUAAUCUAAAUAAAUUUAGCGACAACGUUGAUAGUUCUUCUAUACUUCUAAUGAAAUAUAAGAGAAAUGAAUAAGAAGAAAAAAAGAAAAAAAUUAUGAAAUCCAUCCAUUGUAUAAACAUGGCAACAAGAGAGUUUUAUUAAAAUAUUAAGAUUAGUAUUGUCAUUUUAAAUGGAUAAGAGAGGUAGGUGUAAUUUUUGACACCUUAAGGGAGCCACGUGCAGUUAUCAAAAAUCUUAUGGGAGGUUUCUAGAAUUAUCCUAUAUAUAUAUAUAUAUAUAUAUAUAUAUAUAUAUAUAUAUAUAUAUAUAUAUAUGAUAGAAGGGUAUGUCUCGAAUAGAAGGAGCUUUAAAGGUUGAAUCGAAGCAAUUUGUGUAAUUCUUAUUGUUACUCGUGUACAAUUUUAAUAAAAUCCUCAAUUUAGUUGUUUAAGUUGAUCAAUUUAAAUUCACAUCCAAAUUGUUAGUAUAUUAGAAGUUACAAAAAUUACAUGUACUAAUUUAAAAUUAUACUACAAAACUGGAACUCCUGAGGCUGCUGUUAACUGUUAGGUGUGAGGGAGGGGACGUGUGGGUUAGGUGGAGGAAUACCAAAUAGCGGCGUUGUUCGGAUGCAUGUGCGUGUGUAUGCGGUGUUGAUGGUGUUUACUUGCGGAGGAUGGUCCGCUCGAUGCCAUUACUAUUCAUAUGAUUUUUGGUCAGUAUUAUGCUCUGCAUGUUCCUUCGCUCGGCCAAGUGUCUCGGACGGUUAAAAAAGCAUCUUCAUACAUCACGUGUUUGCGUCGCAUGGGGAAAUUUAAUACUACUGAUAUUAUCAAGACUAGCAAAGGAGUACUUGAAGCUGGACUUAAGACAAAGAGUUUGGAUUGAGUUCGAAUUUGUUUUUAUUUUGCAUUACUUGAAUUCGAACUCGAACUCAUGCUUAUCAACAACAAUCGAACUUAUUACGAGUUUAAUUGAGCUUAAUCAAAUCUAAGAAAUAUAAAUUUAUAUUUUAUAUAAUUUUAAAUAAGAGAUAAAAUAGACACUUCAUCUUAAUAAAUAAAAAAUUCAAAAAAAAUACUAUGUAAACUUCGAAUAGCUCAAUUAACCGCCAUAUCUUUCUCAUUUCACAUAUUAAAUUUGAGCGCGAUUUGUCAAAUAGUUUGAAAUGCUCAAACUCAAACUCGAAUUCAGGCAAAUACGAAUUCGAACUCAAAUUUUGAUCGAAUAAACUCUUAAACUACUCGAUCAAGUUCGACUUGUUUGUAUUCCUAAUAAAAAACUACAUGGUUUCGAGUAUUUUGUCUAUAUCAAUGACAAGACCUGUGCAUUUUAGAAAGUGAAAAAAAUAUUAAGCCAUAAAUAGAUGAAAUUAAUAAUUUUGGAUUUUGAUAUUUGUCAAACACUAACAGUUGCAAAUGCUCUCCUUGCAUCUGAAAUCGAAAACAUUUUAUUCAAGUAAAAAGCAGAAGCUAUUUUCAACUCCAGAAACUUCUGCAAUUGAGGACACUCACUGAUCCAUGCAUUUUUUUUUUCUAAACGAUCCAUGCGGUUAAGCACCAGGUCUGUUUAGAUAUUACUACUAGUAGUUAAAAAAAAGGUAUUAAUUUAGUCAGGCACUAAUGGCUAUGUACCGUGUGAUAUUGAUACCCCAUAAUAUAUUUGAUGUGUAGGGGGCCUUGGGAUGUUCCUUGACGUACGUGUACAAUAAGACAAGCCCCAUCCAUUUUAUUUUUUGAAAUUAGUAAAUCACGAUUCUCACGUGCCCCUUGGGAUAGCACUUAGCAGCGCGACAAGGAGAGGAUUAGGAAGUACUCAGUCCACGUGGCACGAAAUUAAGAGCGCGAGGGAUCGUGGCCAGCGAGCCUAAUCUCAAUUCUCAUGCAUUCACCCUUGGAAGAGUAUUGGACAGUGACUGGACACCCUUCCCGUUUGGGUUAGGACUUGGGAGUCUCAGAAGAGACCAUUAGUGGCCUGCGUGAAAUAUUAAGCUGGAUUAGGCUUCAACUUCUUCUCUCAAUUUCAAGAGACGCAGACAUCUGUAGGAGAUGGGCCUAUAUUUUGGGCUGGGUCCUGGGAGGGUAGGAGUUUGUAGUCUUCACAUUACACGUGUUAAACUCACAUAUCAUCGUAUCACAAAGUCAUCGCCGUACGCCAACCAACGUGAGUUGCCACAUCGGGUAUUUAUCGCAUGUCAACGUCCUCAUAGGACUCAAACAAGACCCGCGCCAUUCAUUUUUUUAUUUAUUUUUGUGAAUGGAGGAUAUCUAUAUGUGAUAGCUCGUACUUACCCUAUCUCAUACUCAACUGGGUUAAAGGAGACCAGAGGAGGAAGAAUUUACCUCUAGACCAAGAAAAGCAUUAUUGUACGGUUUUCAAAUUUUUAUUGCAAUGCAAAAACUUAAACCUCCUCUAAUUCACAGUUAAACUCGCUCUUAUAGAAACAAACAUAAACAUAUGCUACUUAUGCAAAAUGUGAAUUUUAAAUUUAAAAUUGAAUUACAUGACACACAUUCACACCCAUUUGUAUAUAUAUAUAUAUAUAUAUAUAUAUAUAUAUAUAUAUAUAUAUAUAUAUUAUCAGAUAUUGCCCAUAAAUAAAUGGAGUACAUAAUUUAACCAAAAAACUGUCCCUUGGAUUUAUCUUGCGCCCUUUCAGAAAAGCCGUUUUUCUCUCAACACAGAUACGAACGUACAUGAGAAAACUCCUUACUUAUCUACUCAAGGAUUCCUUUUCUGCUAGUUCACCAUUAUUUCAAAAAGUGUAUUGCUACACCAUUAGAAAUCGAAUUCGAGUUCUAAUUCCAGGCUUCGCUUGAUUUGCUUUUGUUGAUGAAUACUGAAAAAGUUUCUCCUUCGCGGGAGGGAAGCCUGGGAGAGGGAGUUGGAAUACCUAAUAUCUGAUCACCUUUCAGGACGAGAAAAACAAGCUGCACGCUUAAAAGUUAAAAGACCCAUAACUGAAGAUGAAACGCAGAAACAACGAGACAUACACCUAAAAAAAAUGAAAAGGUAGGGUGGAAAAGCCUGGAUCACACUGAAUGAAUCGAUAGCAUAACCACAAUAAUAAUAAUCCACGUUACUAAGAAGCAAAACUAGAUUCUGAAAAAUCUAAUAAGACAAAAUUCCAAAUAGCAGUCAGAUGUAAAUGUAAUGGCUAUCUUCUGGAGGGUAAAAGAAAGAAGGCAUCUAACACGAAAUGGCUCACUCUUCAUCUUCUUCAUCACCAUCACCACCAGCAGCUUUCUUUGCAGCUGCCUUCUGGUUCUUACGCUUGACUCUUCCAGCACGCCCGCCACCAAAUGGACUGGUGAUUGAAAAGUCAAUGUGCUUCUGGGAAUCAACUCUCACCAAAAAUGAAGGAACAUUAACUACCUGCCUUCCAACCCUGACAGAAUUAAACGAAUCAGUAUGUAGCAUUUUACCAUAUGCUUCCUAAUAAUGCAAGUCUAUAACCCAAAAAUCCAGGAGCCUUGAGCAAAUUUGUAAAACCAAAAGACACAAAAUUAAAACACUGAUAUUGAACUUACGCAAAUUUAUAAACCAAAAGAGGCAUAUUUGAGUUCCUGAAUCUUCCAUUGUCAAUUUUAUACAGGCCAAGUUAGACAAACUGCUUUUGGAUUAGCUUUUCAGUCACAGAAAAAGCAACCUCAACAAGGAGCACCUAGUCUAACCUCUAAUAUGAAGAAAUUAACUGAACUAGACCAAAAAGAACCUCCAUGCAUGAUUAUCCACACACACAACCUCAGAUUACAAAAGCACUGUACAUUUAUGGUACAAUAGUUCGACAAGGUUAACUUAAUUCAUUUUGGAAAAUUUUCUUUCAGGUGUUCAGCAAUCCUUGCUCCAUACCUUUCCAAUAGAACUGACUUCAUGAGCAUGUGGCAGGCUCAGAACUCUCAAACCUUAUAAUUAUCCAUCAUUCUGGAGAUAUAAUUAUUACCCAAAAUGUCUUAUUAUAUAUCCAAAUUGCCCACAAGCAGAAGCACUGAAGGAUAACAAGUGUAUAUAGCAAUGCAAAGGGCAUUAGCAUUCUUUUAUACCUCAUAAAUCAAAAACUCAUUAGAAGCAUUUCUCAUUAACUAAAGUCUUUCCAAAAUCACUGAGCAAUAUCAAAUAAGCCUUUCCAACUUCUGGAUUCACAUGUGAAGGUACAAAAGACACCUAAGCAACAUUAAGGCAAUCUUCCAGCAUCGAUAGUCAAAUGAAGAGAUAUAAAACACACUUAUCCAAUUUGACGAAGUACUCGUGAGCUGUGUAUAUACCUGAUGUGCCUCUGUCUAAUGAGCACGCGAGCAUGGUGAAUUGACUUGGCCAUGCCUGUCUUGAAGACGAGUGUUUGCAGGCGGCGUUCAAGAAAGUUCUCCACAGUCAGAGCCAAGACAUAAUCGAGCUUGUUUUGACUCUCUUCCAAAAGUCCAUACCUGUUCAUCCUGCGCAAGAGGGCUUCACCCUCAAAGAUACGACGAGGGUCUUUCUCAUCAAGAGUUAGAAGCAUUCUAGCAUUAUUACGAAUACGGCUCAAUGCAUACUGGACCCUCCAAAGCUCCCUCUUGCAUCUGAGUCCAUAUUCUCCAACAAGCCUCAACUCAGCAUCCAAACGCUCCUUCUCAUAUGGACGCCGAGGCUUUUUGAAGGUCUUCCCAUCUAAGAUACGAGGGGAGAAAUAUGUAUCCUAUUAAACAAAUCUGAAAAACAAUCCACUCCAAAUGAACUAAGCAGAAAAGAUUAAUCCAAUAAAAAAUAUCUCAAAAAUUGCAUCACUCAAAAGCUAUGCAGACAAGAACCACAUUGAACAGCAUCAGUAAAAUAAAAAAACCCAAAAAAAUUCGCAGAAUAAGAGAGAAAGGGUCAUACGUAUCAUAUAUCAAGAUAUGAUCUAGUUAAGAGAAGUGCUAUACAAGCAUAGGGCAGAUCACAGUUAUGAAACGCAUCAAUAACAUGCGCGAUCAAAAAGAAAGAGAGUUCGGUACAGUGAGAGAUCAUACAGUUGCGAUAGAAACUGACGUGAACCAUGGCUGCUACUGGGCCGGGGGAUUGCUCGCCGUCGUCAGUGGCAGUGGAAGUGAAACCGAGGAAGACACAGCCAGACAACUCUGCUAUUGGUUGGAUUCCUCGUUAUAUAUUUCAGUAUUCACUUCGGAGGCCAAUCCCACAAACCCUAGCAUAAAGCUGAAAGAUUUCCUGGCUUAUUUUAUUUUAGGCCUAUUGGGCUGCAGCCCAUGUCACCAAGCCCGAUCCAUAAUAAUACAAUUUUGUACUGGCUGUUAACAGUGUAGGAACUAUUAAUUAUCAGAAUAAACUACAACAUGGCUUGGCCCAUCUUAUUAUCUGGUUUUUGAAAUGGUAAAAUAUUUUGUCUCAUAAAUGCAAUUCGAAAUCAACUGUUGAGACAUUAACUAGUGAACUACUAAUGCACUUUUUUUUCCUUGUAAGAAAACCAUAAUGUAUUUGUUCUGGUUUUCCAUUAAACUUUUGCCCAUAAACUUUUCCCUUAUAGGCAAAGUCUUCAUUUUUUUUGUUGUGCAAAACAAAGUCUUCAUUCGAAUAAAAAAAAAAAAAUUAUCGAUGUGAAACAUGCUAUGGUAAGCUACAUUUUUUUUUUCAAGGGAUCGUCUGUGUACCGUAACCUUUGCAAGUUUGCACAUGUUUCUUUAAACUAUAUAUUGAUCAUGUUUAAUUUUUAGUGUCUCAAUAUACAUCUUAGCUGUGUAAACAAUUAAGCAAAGGCGUGUAGAACACAACAAUACAUUUGUUCCCCUGAGGGGAAGGAGAUGACACUACAAUAUUAGCACUACAAUAUUUUUAUUGUAGUACUACAAAUCUAAUGUCAACUCCUAGUUCUUGAUAAAUUUCUUUUUUCCAGCUCAGAGUAGGGAAAUGAUAUUAGCACUCCUUAAAAAAUCAAAAGCACUCCUUACACUGUAUCUAAUGUAAAAGAGGGGAAGGAGCGCUUAAGGUUUUUUGAAGGAUCAUUUCUUGAAGAGUUUGGUGGUGGUAAGGCUAAAAUAACAUGAAAAUAACAUUUUCAUAUAAACAAGUAGUCUUCAAUCCCACCCAAAAAACAAAAAAAAAAGAUGAUACGAAGAAGGUAUAUUUUUUGUACAUUAUCGAUGUGAAACAUGCUAUGGUAAGCUACAUUUUCAUUCAAUAUCAUAUUUAUGCAUGAAUUGUGAAAAUGUCACUACUGUUAGUUGUUGAUAACUUCGUACCGUCCUACUUAAUUCAAUGAAAACGGGAACGACCUUUUUUUUAAACAAAGGGUAGCUAUCUUCCAGUAUUACUUAGUUUAACAGAGAAUAUCCCCAAUAUCAUGUAAUCCUCUAGGCUUACCGCCCACCAAAUUCUUCAGCUCGAAUAGACCAGGUGCAAUAUCAUUAACCUUUUAUUUUUUGUUUUGAGUGCACAUUUUGAUCAUCUAAGAUCAACCUCGCUAGAAUUUUCAUCUGUUAUUGUGUACAGUUUUACUCACAAAACAUGGCAUUCCACACAUCUAUUAUGGCAGACUAAGAUUCAGAUCCAUUACAGACAGGCUUACAACUUACAAAAAGAUCGUCUCAGACAUAGAAUUCAAGAAACAUCAGUAUUUACAAUGAGACAUGCUACUCACUACUAAUUAAGUUCCAGAUCUCAGCUGCCGCUGGUGCCAGAGCUAACACUAUCACUACUGAGUAAUCUCACGUCCAUUUAGCUGUUCGUCAAGUAUUUGAGAUGGCCAUGAAUCUGAAGGUGAUGGAUAGCGAGGACGCGGUUUCUUCACAUUGGAGAGAGAAGCAUUGCAUUGAAAAUCUUCCGCUGUAUCAUUUUGGGAUCCUUUGUGGUAAAUAGGAGAAUCAUGAUGUAAAGGCACAACAAAGAUGGGAGCAACAACCGAAGAUGAUAGUAGUUGGUGAUCAGUGGAAGGCAGUCUCAAACUAUCUUCUUGCAGUUCUGAAGCAGCAAUGGGGCUUUGUGAAGGCCAAAUAUUUAAGUUCACUGACGACUGGGAUUGAGUCCUCUCUGUGAUCUCACUCUGAAGCUUCUCCACCUGAGAUUUGAGAGCGGAGUUUUCUUCAAUGAGCUCAUUCUUCUCAACAGCGACCUGUUUGGUAAUCAUGAAACAUUAACUUCAUCAAACAAAUAUGAUUGCCAUCUGGAAUCCCCACGUUGCCAUUCACAAACACAGUAGAAAUAAAAAAAAAAUUUUGCUCAAAAAAUUUAUCAUGGUGCUUAAAAGUAACCAAGAAAGCAAUACAAAUUCAUAAGCGUGCAAGAUUAACUCAGUCAUCGAAUUGCAUCAGUUCUGUAAAGUGAAUAGAAAUGGAUUUCAGAUUAAGCAAAAGCAAGCUCAGUUUGAAGGAGCUCACAUAAUGAGAUUCGGAUAAAAGAGCAGCAUUAUCCUUUUUGAGACUGUAAACCUGAGCAAGUAGAUCCUUAAGCAGUCGAAUGGUAUCAUUCACAAUGCAGGCCUUUCCACUGGACAGCUGAGCUGGUUCUGCAUAAAAAGACAGGAACCUGUAAUUAAAGGGAAGUUGAGAAUCCUAGUAAGUUUGUAAUGAAGAAACUAACAUAGCCAAAUAGUAUUUGGCUCCAAAUUAUUUGUUUGCGUCACAAACACAAUUUCUAACACAGAUUUUUAUCUUCCUAAUCAUCUUUUUAUCUCACAUAUGUCACAUCACAAAAAGUGCUACAGUAAUUAUUCCAAAUAAUAUUUCAAAUAAUCUCCUAUCCAAACACAAUCAAAGACGUCGGUUAUGCUAUACACCAAGCACAACAUUACAGAAUUUAGACCUAAGACAGGAGGAAGGAGAAUUAUACCAAUAGCUUUCCUGAGCUCUACAAAUAGGACGUUCAUGUGGUCACGUUUCUUCUUCUCCCUCUCUGCUUUAUGAAUUCUUUUAGAAGGUUUCCCCUGCUUCUUUUUGCUGGAGGAAUGCCUGAUGCAAAUUGUUUCAAGAAAGAUCCACAAAAAUGAGGUCAACAGGUUCCACAUCCUCGCAGAAAGAUAACAGUCACUUGGAUUCUGAAUGACAAUUGCAUAAAUAUCGGGGAACCUCAUAAUAUUAUGCUUACGGUUCCAUAGAAUGCAAUUGUCACAGUAAAAAUGCACCUUCUCUGGUGCAACUCAACAAGCUUUCCCAGAUCUAUGUCAAGGCAUCCCAAUCAUACUAAGCAAUGCUAUUUCUGACUCAAGAACUAAGGUGGAAAAAGGACUCAUGAUACAAAAAGCUAAUGAUUGCCCCAAAAAAUUUGACGGGGUAGGUAGUUAAAUCAUACAUAAAUGAGAACAAAAGUGCUAAAGGAAACAAACCUAUGGACUGCAUUGCCCUCGUCACCGUCUGGAAUAGCAGUUUCUGAAGCCAUACUCUGGUCUCUAGGUCACUUAAACCCAAUUCAAUAGCCUUUAACCUUUUUUUAUAACCUGCUAUAAACCCAAACAAUACAGAAGCAAAAAAAAAAAACCAAGAUAAUGCAGCAGAAAACAGAAACAAGAGCAAAAACUUCAACUAAGUAACAGAAAAAAUAAGUAUAGGGAAAGUCAGCCGAUGCAUAAGUAAUUACUAUAAACAGGUUUCAGUCUUUAGAAGUAUUAAAGUAUAAUUGAUAAUAAACACGGCAAAUAUAAAAAAUUACAUUUUUUCUAAAAGUCGUCGGAUCAUGGGAAAAGAUAAAAAAAAAAAAACAAAGAAGGAAAAUGCAAGAAUGGUUGAACGUAGGUUUUAAUUUUAUCGGACAAACAGCACACACGUACCUUGUGGUUGAGUGGAGAAUGAAAGAGAGAGGGUAAGCAAAUUAUUGGCGGAGUUGCACGGUAGAAACGGGGGAUGGAGUCGCCUUUCCACGCGACGGCGUGUGGCUGCCACCUUCAUCUUACAUGCGGUCCAACCCGACCACGUAAGCUUUGUCUCAAUUGUCUUUGACGAUGAUGGCCUUGCUACUCAACUUCUUGUUUAUAAGUUUUUCCUUCAUGAGUUUAAUUUUGACGAAAAUGAUUUACAUAUUUCACACCAAGUCCAGUUCGGAUGAUCAGAUGGACUCUUUCGUGCAGGAGUAAUUGAUUAAUUUCACUUGGCACGGCAAGCCUCUUCUCCUGUUGAUGUGAAUAGACUCAAUAGAGUUGAAGCCCACCGUAUAAUUUUGCAAGGUCAAUCUUUUCGAGCGUUGAUUCUGUCCACUAUGGAGAAUUUUAAUUGUUGCAAUAAAUUGCAUUCAUCAAGCCCCUGUAAAUAUCAACUUUCGACUUUUGCUCUGUGUAUUUGAAGUGAUUUGAUAACAUCAAUAAAUCAUUAAGUUUUUCUAUAAUAUUGACGACACUGUAUGCAUUAUUGGGAUGCGUUUUUGAUUGGACAUGAUGUCCAUGUAUAAAACCCUUGUCAACAGAAAUGGUUUAACUUGUAAAUUCUCCAAAUUAAAUUUUAAUAACAUGUUUGGAUAGUAAAUUUUUUUAAAAAAAUUUUUCGCUUGCAUCAUAAAUAUAUUUUUCAAUUCAACUUUUUAUAUUUUCAAUCACUUUUUUAUCUCACAUACAUCAUUUUACAAAAAAUUGUUACAGUAUUAUUCCAAAUAAUUAUUUGAAAUAAUGCUCCAUCCAAACAAAGCCAAGUUGCAUCAAAUUAAUUCGUCAAAAAGACAUGCUUUUCAUUAAUUAGUGUAUUUUUUUUUGGAGAAGAUAACUGUUGUAUAACCCAUUUUAAAAGAAGGGAAAGGACUAAAGAGACCAAAGAUAAUUUGAAGAAAAUUGAACCAUCACCGAACCCUUUUGAAUUUUUUAAACAGAGUUACUUAAUAUAGCAAUUGAUAAAUCAUCGACCUCCCAAGAAAAACUUUUCUUGUCUAUAUAUUUCAUAAUAAUCUUUAAUAGAUCUACUUCAACAUUGACUCUGGGAAAGAAGGGGUAGGACUAAACUUUGCCAUUUUUAUAGUUGGAAUAGUUAGAUGCCCAAUAAAUAAAGGGUUAUUAUCACUUUACCCCUUAAACUAUAUCACUACUAUCAGUUUACCCCCUAACAUUAUCUUUUAGUUACUUUACCCCUAUAAGUAAUUCAAAUUUUGGACAAAAAUACCCUUUUAUUUUAUAGCAUUACUACAUUAUUAUUAACACUUUAUUUGUUUAGAUUAUAGUGAUACAAUCACUUUAGUUCCUAACAUUAUUUUGUAGGCAUUUUACCUCAUCGUUAUCUAACUAGUAUGGUGAAAAUUUUUUAAAUAUAGUAACCUUUUUUAUAUAUACUUAAAAAUAAAAAAGUUGGAAUGGUUAUUCUUCCUUUUUUUUCACUUUAAGAGAUUGAAAAACAUAAAAAUAAAAAGGGUUUUCUCAAAUUUCUUUUUUUCACAUUUAUUAAUACUAGAAAAAUAAAAAGAGAUAGGAAAGAAGGAGACAAAAAAUUAGAUUUUGCAAAAAAAGAAAAUAAAGAAAAGUCUAACAUUAUUGUAUUACUUUAAAGUUGUCGAAAUUAGGAUUGGAAUUUGGCAGUAAACAAAAAAGUGAACUAAUUUUAAAAUAUAUAAAAGUAUUUAAUUCUUUCUUAUUUGUAAUUUUUAAAAAAGAAUUGAGCUCUCUCUCUCUCUCUCUCCUCUCCCCCUUCCAUCUUUCUAUUUUUUUUUCAAUAUUAAUAAGAUUGUCAAGAAGAAAGAAAUUAAUAUUUGACCUUUUUUCUUGAUACUAAAAAGGAGAAGAGUCACUCUAAAUUUUUAUUAUUUUUAUUAUGCGAAGAGGAGGGUAUUUUCUUUAAAGUUUUUUAAUUUGCUAAGUUGGUUUAAUGGUAGGAUAAAUUGCCUAAACAAUGACUGUAGGGGGUAAAUUGAUAAUGAGACUAUAUUUUAUGGGGAUAAGGUAAUAAUAAUUUUAAGGUUAAACAUGUCUUUUCACUUUAAUUAACAAACUCCGUUAAGUUUGACCGUUAGUUUGGGGUUAAAGUGACUAAAAGAUAACAUUAAGGGGAAAGUGAUAGUGGCACCAAACGUUAAGGGGUAAAGUGAUAAUAACCCUUAAAUAAAUGACUAUAAGAACACUUAUCUAUAUAUUUUGCUGUUUCAGGUAAGUCUUCUUUUGGGAACUAUAAUACGGAAAAUUCCUUUGCCUACUGUGGAUGCAUCAAAGUCUAAUGCUUUGAUGGCAAUGGUGAUUAUGUAUCAGUGUCUGAUGGGGUGCUUGAUAUGAAGCAACUGAGACAAUUGGAAGCCACUUUUUGGAAGUCCUUCUGAAAAUGAAGCAUAAUGGUGCAAUUGAUAAAACAAGGGCUGGAUUCACUGCUCUUUGCAAUCGUUUACUUUGUUCGAACAAUCCGAGGUUUGCUCAUUGAGCUCUCCUAAGUAUUUUGCGGUUAUCAAUCUUUGUGGUGUCAUGUUUAAUUAUGUCAAGAAGAGUCAUUUUUCUUUGUUAACUGCUACAACCCAUGGCAUCUUGUGAGCUACUUUUGUAAUACUUUGAUUAGGGAAUAUGGUGGAAAUAUGAAAUGAAUUAAAAAGCCGAAUUUGGUUGAAGAGUUCUCAUCCUUAUUGAACUAUUUGGUUUUUGUUGACCAUUCUGCUUAGUAUUAUUAUCUCUCUCCUGUGGAAAAUUGUUCUCAAUGUCAAUGAACUCCUUGUGAACUGAGAAUUAAUGCAUGCUUCUUGCUAAUUAAGAUAUAGAGGUAAGUAAGUGUUAAUAAAAUCUAUGACCAUCAAAUAAUAUGUUUUCCUUAAUCAGUUUUGUAUAGGACAUUUGCCAGAACAAAUACAUUAGUAUAGUAGUUUCGAACUUUAGGUUGUGUUUCUGUAUUUGAUGCUACUUAUUGUCAAGGCUAAUAUCCAUUGCAUAUUUUUGAGUGCCUUUAUUUUUUGAAUGUUUUGCCAUUCAAUGUACACAGCUAGCUAUACAUUCCUAAUCUUGUUCCUAGGCACAGUAACAAUUACCACAAACUGUCUUUUAUUUGGCUAGAGGGCUGAUUAUUAGUCUGUUACUUGUCUACCUAUGACUGGCAUCUGUAAGAUCUUCCUUGUUUCUUUGCUUUUAACUUGCCUGUUUGUUUGACAAGUUAAAAAACUUAACUUUUUCAAGUUUGAAAUGUGAGUUGGAAGCUGUUUAAGCUGUUUCUUCACGACAACCUUAAUGGAGAUUUAACAGCAUAGGAUUUACUUGUAAUAGCAGUCUUAAGUUUCUGCCCCUAUGCCAACUUUUGGAUCCUUUAAGUUGGUCAUUUUGAGUCUAUUGCAUAAUGUUGCUUCUCUUGUCACAGACUUUGCAAAUUAACAGAAUCCUGGAUGGCAGCAGAAUUUCUUUUCUUAAACCCAAAGACAGCAAGCCUUCCAUCCUCUUUGGAGCUUAGCCUGCUGAAGGAAGCUGUGCCAUUGAAUAUGAGAUGUUGUUCUACUGCUUUUCAGAUGAAAUGGACCAGUAUGUUUAGGAAGUUUUUCUCUCGUGUUCGAACUGCCUUGGAGAGACAAUACAAGCAGGGAAACUGGUAUCCUUAUGGGUCAGAAGCUAACGUUGGAGUUGCAUCCAGAAAUGGAACCAGAGAAAUAGUAGUAGAAAUGGCAGAUGAUCUGUUUAAUCUAAUGAAGUGGUUGAGUUACUUUUUUUUCUUCUCUUGCUACCCUUCUGCUCCUUAUGAGAGGAAGAUAAUGGCCAUGGAGCUUAUAUUGGUAAUGUUGAAUGUCUGGUCUGUCAUGCCACCAUCAAAAGAAAAUCAUUGUGCUCUUUCUUCUGAAACAAGUCUGUAUCCUUACAGUAAGGGCUUUAUUUUAGCUGAUUCAGCCUUGCUACUGGUUGGAUCGAUUAUUGAUAGCUGGGAUCGUUUGAGAGAGAAUUCGUUUCGUAUUCUACUGCAUUUUCCUACCCCGCUUCCUGGCAUUUGUAGUCCAGAUGAGAUCCGAGUAGCAAUUAUAUGGGCAAAGAAGCUAGUCUGCAGUCCACGUGUGAGAGAAUGUGAUGCUGGAGCUCUGACUUUACGUCUUAUAUUUAGAAAGUAUGUCUUGGAGCUUAAUUGGAGUGUUCAAUUGUCACUUGAUUUUGUCUCUUGUCAUGGCCAGGUAGAGCUGCCAGAUCGCAGGCUUGAAAUUCUUACACAUCGCUCGCCUGCAGUAGAAUAUGUGAGGUCGCUGGUUGAUUGGUUGCUCAUUACUGUGGAAGAUGGUGAGAAGGAUCUUUCAGAAGCAUGCAAGAAAAGCUUUGUUCAUGGUGUCCUGCUUACUCUUCGAUAUACAUUUGAGGAACUGGAUUGGAAUUCCACAGCCGUUUUGUGCUGUAUUGCUGAGAUGAAACUUGUAUUGGAGAAGCUAUUGGAAUUAAUUAUGCGAAUAACCUCUCUCGCCCUAUGGGUAGUCUCAGCAGAUGCAUGGCAUUUGCCAGAAGACAUGGAGGACAUGGUGGAUGAUGAUCGUUUUGACAAGGAAGUUAUGUCUAAGGUUGCAGUGGAAAAUGUGAUGGAGAAUGAGAAGCUUGUGCAAGAUGCCAGGUCAUCAGAACAGAUUGUUAUGGUUGGUUGCUGGCUUGCUAUGAAAGAGGUAUUUUCGGAGUUUUCUCUGCAUUGAUAUUGUUUGUUCUGGAAAUGCAUAUAAAACUGGCAAUGUCACUGCCCUUGUUGUUGCUGAUACUCGUUCUUAUUUUGAUGUAAGGUUAUCAAAUAAGCGUCAUAGAAUCUCCAUAGUAGUAAUCAAUAGGUCUACUUCAACACUGAGUGUGGGAAAGAAGGGGUAGAAUUAAACUUUGCCAUUUCUAUAAUUGGAAUACCUAGAUGCUCAAUAAAUAGAUGACCAGAAAAACUUUUCUUGUCUAUAUAUUUCAUAAUAAUCUUUAAUAGAUCUACUUCAACAUUGACUCUGGGAAAGAAGGGGUAGGACUAAACUUUGCCAUUUUUAUAGUUGGAAUAGUUAGAUGCCCAAUAAAUAAAGGGUUAUUAUCACUUUACCCCCUUAAACUAUAUCACUACUAUCAGUUUACCCCCUAACAUUAUCUUUUAGUUACUUUACCCCUAUAAGUAAUUCAAAUUUUGGACAAAAAUACCCUUUUAUUUUAUAGCAUUACUACAUUAUUAUUAACACUUUAUUUGUUUAGAUUAUAGUGAUACAAUCACUUUAGUUCCUAACAUUAUUUUGUAGGCAUUUUACCUCAUCGUUAUCUAACUAGUAUGGUGAAAAUUUUUUAAAUAUAGUAACCUUUUUUUAUAUAUACUUAAAAAUAAAAAAGUUGGAAUGGUUAUUCUUCCUUUUUUUUCACUUUAAGAGAUUGAAAAACAUAAAAAUAAAAAGGGUUUUCUCAAAUUUCUUUUUUUCACAUUUAUUAAUACUAGAAAAAUAAAAAGAGAUAGGAAAGAAGGAGACAAAAAAUUAGAUUUUGCAAAAAAAGAAAAUAAAGAAAAGUCUAACAUUAUUGUAUUACUUUAAAGUUGUCGAAAUUAGGAUUGGAAUUUGGCAGUAAACAAAAAAGUGAACUAAUUUUAAAAUAAUAAAAGUAUUUAAUUCUUUCUUAUUUGUAAUUUUUAAAACAAGAAUUGAGCUCUCUCUCUCUCUCUCUCCCUCUCCCCCUCUCCAUCUUUCUAUUUUUUUUUCAAUAUUAAUAAGAUUGUCAAGAAGAAAGAAAUUAAUAGUUUGACCUUUUUUCUUGAUACUAAAAAGGAGAAGAGUCACUCUAAAUUUUUUAUUAUUUUUAUUAUGCGAAGAGGAGGGUAUUUUCUUCUAAAGUUUUUUAAUUUGCUAAGUUGGUUUAAUGGUAGGAUAAAUUGCCUAAACAAUGACUGUAGGGGUAAAUUGAUAAUGAGACUAUAUUUUAUGGGGAUAAGGUAAUAAUAAUUUUAAGGGUUAAACAUGUCUUUUCACUUUAAUUAACAAACUCCGUUAAGUUUGACCGUUAGUUUUGGGGGUAAAGUGACUAAAAGAUAACAUUAAAGGGGAAAGUGAUAGUGGCACCAAACGUUAAGGGGGUAAAGUGAUAAUAACCCUUAAAUAAAUGACUAUAAGAACACUUAUCUAUAUAUUUUGCUGUUUCAGGUAAGUCUUCUUUUGGGAACUAUAAUACGGAAAAUUCCUUUGCCUACUGUGGAUGCAUCAAAGUCUAAUGCUUUUGAUGGCAAUGGUGAUUAUGUAUCAGUGUCUGAUGGGGUGCUUGAUAUGAAGCAACUUGAGACAAUUGGAAGCCACUUUUUGGAAGUCCUUCUGAAAAUGAAGCAUAAUGGUGCAAUUGAUAAAACAAGGGCUGGAUUCACUGCUCUUUGCAAUCGUUUACUUUGUUCGAACAAUCCGAGGUUUGCUCAUUGAGCUCUCCUAAGUAUUUUGCGGUUAUCAAUCUUUGUGGUGUCAUGUUUAAUUAUGUCAAGAAGAGUCAUUUUUCUUUGUUAACUGCUACAACCCAUGGCAUCUUGUGAGCUACUUUUGUAAUACUUUGAUUCUAGGGAAUAUGGUGGAAAUAUGAAAUGAAUUAAAAAGCCGAAUUUGGUUGAAGAGUUCUCAUCCUUAUUGAACUAUUUGGUUUUUGUUGACCAUUCUGCUUAGUAUUAGUUAUCUCUCUCCUGUGGAAAAUUGUUCUCAAUGUCAAUGAACUCCUUGUGAACUGAGAAUUAAUGCAUGCUUCUUUGCUAAUUAAGAUAUAGAGGUAAGUAAGUGUUAAUAAAAAUCUAUGACCAUCAAAUAAUAUGUUUUCCUUAAUCAGUUUUGUAUAGGACAUUUGCCAGAACAAAUACAUUAGUAUAGUAGUUUCGAACUUUAGGUUGUGUUUCUGUAUUUGAUGCUACUUAUUGUCAAGGCUAAUAUCCAUUGCAUAUUUUUGAGUGCCUUUAUUUUUUGAAUGUUUUGCCAUUCAAUGUACACAGCUAGCUAUACAUUCCUAAUCUUGUUCCUAGGCACAGUAACAAUUACCACAAACUUGGUCUUUUAUUUGGCUAGAGGGCUGAUUAUUAGUCUGUUACUUGUCUACCUAUGACUGGCAUCUGUAAGAUCUUCCUUGUUUCUUUGCUUUUAACUUGCCUGUUUGUUUGACAAGUUAAAAAACUUAACUUUUUCAAGUUUGAAAUGUGAGUUGGAAGCUGUUUAAGCUGUUUCUUCACGACAACCUUAAUGGAGAUUUAACAGCAUAGGAUUUACUUGUAAUAGCAGUCUUAAGUUUCUGCCCCUAUGCCAACUUUUGGAUCCUUUAAGUUGGUCAUUUUGAGUCUAUUGCAUAAUGUUGCUUCUCUUGUCACAGACUUUGCAAAUUAACAGAAUCCUGGAUGGAACAACUUAUGGAAAGAACAGUGACAAAGGGACAAACUGUAGAUGACCUACUGCGGAGAAGUGCUGGUAUUCCAGCUGCAUUUACUGCUAUCUUCCUUGCAGAGCCCGAGGGUUCCCCAAAGAGACUUCUGCCAAGGGCACUGCGAUGGCUGUUAGAUGUAGCCAACAAGUCUUUACUGGAACAGACUAAAGCAAGCAACUGCACUAAUGACUCAGCUGAUGCCCUUUUGACAAAUUCAAGUCAAGUUGGUCAAUUCGUUAUGCCCCUUGGGAUGGAUGCAAAAGAGAAAAUCUCAAAGAUCCGGGAUGAGGGUGUUGUCCCAACUGUCCAUGCAUUCAAUGUCCUUAGAGCCGCUUUUAAUGAUAGCAACCUGGCAACUGAUACAUCAGGCUUUUCAGCCGAGGCUUUGAUUUAUUCCAUACGCUCUUUCUCUUCGCCGUACUGGGAGGUGCGGAAUAGUGCCUGUCUUGCAUAUAGUGCUUUGAUUCGUCGCAUGAUUGGAUUCCUUAAUGUACAGAAACGAGAAUCAGAAAGGCGUGCUCUAACAGGGCUUGAAUUUUUUCACAGGUAUGCUUUGAAAAUUUGACUUUUAUGCCUUCAUGUGUCCUGUUACACUUUUUUCUGCCUCCUUCGAAUCUUUUGUGUCUACAUGUUGAAACCAGCAGCUAGAUUAUCUACUAAAUUUGUGGUCUUGGUACAUUUUCUCUUGAAAAGUGUAAUCAAGACUCAUUUCAACAACAUACUUGUGAAUCUGAAUAAACUCUGUGUUAUCCUUUGUAUAUCUUUUCAUGUUUGAUAGUUAUCUUUGAAAUGCUUCAUAUCACAAUGGAGGAAAAGUGAAGGUGUCAAAGUUUUUCCUAUGUGUAUUACUGUAUGAUCAACCAUGAUGUGCAUGGUUUUUUUGGUCACCCAGUGGAAUUGCUUAGCAGUUGUGUAUGUGCAGGAGAGAAGCAUGUUUUGUGUGUGCAACUUGGUCAAAAACUUGAUUUUUGAUAUUGCAGUAAUGUAUAUACUCUUACCAUUUCGUGGGAAUAUUAUACCUGCAUUCUUUGCCUAAUUUUAUGCUGAUCCUACGGAUGUCGACAGGGAAAGGAGUGUGUUGAAUUAGCAACAUGUUGUUUUCAGUAACUUCUGUUUUUCUGUUUGGCUAGUUGGUGCGUCUUUUUGGGGGUGGGGAUUGGUUUUGGGUAGUUGGCAAGGGAAACUGGGGGAUACAAUCUGCUGAGUUAGAUGAGUCCUUUGCUGAAACUUGAUUUUUGAAAUCAAAUUCUUGAAACAGUCAUGAGCUUUGAGUGGUAGAAGUGGUAUUCUGAAAUACUUCUGGCUGGCAUUGUUAACCAGGAUAGACAGAGAGAGUGAUUAAUGCAAUUACAUGAAAGCACGGUCUUAAUCAUGUUUUUUUUGAAACAGUUGGUUCUUAUGUUGCAUAUUGCAUCUUCCUUUAUCAUUCACAAGUUAAUUAGUUGAUAUUUCCAGCAUAGAACUUUUGCAUCCCUAGUUCCUUCUGGUUUUAAUGUCUUCUCUUCCAUUACUAGAAUUUGGCAUUGCUAAUCUAGUGCCUAUACCUUUUACAUGUGGAUGCGUGAGUGCUGGAACAAGUCUUGAGUAUUUCUUUCAUCCUUUUAGUUAAUUUGGAGCAUUCCAAUUACAUUACUAGGGUCCAUAGAUUUUUUAUCUCUUUUUAUUUUUGGUUCUGCUAACUGAUCUUUAAAUUCUUCCUAUUUUGAAGAGUUGCAGAUUAAAGUCAAAAAAGAAUUUCGCAAGCUUGAACCAUUAUUGCAAUCUAUUUUUGCAGUUCCAUUAUCAAGACUAUAUGAUUGUACACAAUUGCUUACAAUGUCCUAAGAUAUCUCAUUAAUUGCUUGCUUUUUGUUACAGGUACCCUACACUGCACUCUUUCCUAUUUCAUGAACUUAAAAUUGCAACAGAGUCGCUUUUGGAUGGGUCUUCUGGACAACAAGGAUCUAAUUUGGCAAAACUUGUGCACCCAAGCUUGUGCCCAAUUCUGAUUCUGUUGUCACGGCUAAAACCUUCAGCAGUUACAAGUGAAGCUGGGGACAGUUUGGACCCUUUCAUAUUCUUGCCAUUCAUCAGGAAGUGCUCUGUCCAAAGCAAUUUCCGUAUCCGAAUUCUUGCUUCCAGAGCUCUAACGGGCCUGAUAUCGAAUGAGAAAUUGCCCAUUGUGCUGCUUAAUAUUGCCUCUGAGUUACCUUGCACAAGGAAUGUCUCUUCUGAUGCAUCCAACUCAAUUGACACACAAAAUGGUACUUGCCAUACUUUUAAUUCACUUCAUGGGAUGCUGCUGCAGUUGAACACGCUUCUCGAUAACAAUUGUAGAUGCCUUGCUGAUUCCUCCAAAAAAGAUGCAAUUCUGAAGGAUCUGAUUGAAAUUCUUGCAAUACGUUCAUGGAUUGGUAAGUUUCAACUCUGCCCUUGCCCUAUCCUGAAUAGCUGCUUUCUUGGGGUACUGGAUAACAUGCUCAGUAUUGCAACAACGUGUCAAAUGAGCAGAAGUAUUGCUGCUAUUUGGAACCUCGUAUGGGAGUUAUCUUCAGAAUUUUUGGAUUUAGAAGAACCUCAGAAAUUGUCAUAUCAUGAUCCAACUAUUGUAGAACUUCGCAAACAAGCAGCAGUGUCAUAUUUCAAUUGCUUAUACAAAACGUCUAAGGAAAUUGCUGAAGAGGAUAUUUUGAUGCCUGGAACAUGUUCCUCAACUGCUUCAAGUUUGUUAAGAGUAUCUGAUUUGGACAGUGCUCUCUCAAGAUUUCAGGAAAGGCUGAGAGGCUGCAUGUCUGACACAUCAUACGAAGUUCGUCUUGCAACUUUCAAGUGGCUAGUUUUAUUUCUGAAAUCAGCAGGAUUAAAAAUUGAAGGAGGCAAUUCAUCUUCUCAUGAGAUCAAGACAUAUUUGUUGUACAAUAUUGAUCUCCAGAAAAAACUAGUGGAGCUUCUAGCGACCGAGAAUAACCAUAAAUGCACAUAUUACAUUCUUAAAAUUAUCUACAUGUGGAACAUGUUGGAAUGUGAAGAAAAGGGUGAACUAGAUGUCAGCCUUGGAUCAAUUGGUGUGGAUCGCAGUUCAUUGUGGUGGUUUUGGGACAAGUUAGUGUCCAUGUACAAGGUCACUAGACAUUCAAAGAAUCGACAAGUGCUCAUCUGCUGCAUGGGGAUAUGUGUAAAGCAGUUUGCUAGCAUAUUCUCAAGCUUUGUUUGCUCUAACAUGAAGAAGGAAGAGAUAGCCAUAUCCAGCCGAUAUGAUCUUGAUGGGAGACUCUCCAAGUUUUACGAUUGCAUCAAUUAUUUUGUUGAACUAAUACAACUACACAGUUCUGCAUCAGAGCCUGUAAAUAUGCGGAACGCAGCUGCAGAAUCAAUAGUUGCAUCUGGUUUACUUGAUCAUGCAAAGAUAGUUGGUUCUUUAGCCUUCAGUAACAGCAUUCCAGGCGAAAAUCCUAGUUCAGAAUUCAAAGUAGAGGAGGUUGUGAACAUAUAUGGCCAUAAGAUUCUGAAUCUAUGGUUGACAUGCGUAAGACUUUUGGAGGAUGAAGAUGUGGAACUCAGAAGGAAGCUUGCCCUUGAUGUUCAGAAGAGUGUUACAUCCACAACGUGUCAAAAUGUUGAACUGGUUCCCAGCCAAGUGGAGAAGGUUAUUGAGAUGAGUUUUGACCAUCUCUCUUCAAUCUUUGGUCACUGGAUUGACUACUUUGAUAGUCUCUGCAAUUAUGUUUUUAAUGCUGUAAACUCUGUGGUCAGUGUUGUGCCAAGAGGAGACCUUGUGAGACGUGUUUUUGACAAGGAGAUUGAUAACCAUCAUGAAGAAAAGCUAUUGAUCUGUCAGAUUUGUUGCUCUCACUUGGAGAAGCUUCCAAUUUCUAAAUCUUGGGCAGCUAACUCCUCUGACAAUCACAGGGUAAGGGACCUUUUACGUGGUUGGAGGAGGAGAUUUUGCCACUACUUGACAUCAUUUGCCAAUGACUCUAUUGGCCGACGGGAAGUUGAUUGGAUUGGUGGCGCCGGUAACCAUAAGGAUGCAUUUUUACCCUUGUAUGGAAAUUUACUAGCCUUCUUUGCCCUGUCAAAUUGUAUCUUUGAGGGGGAGAAAGAGAGGAGCAAGUCCAUGCUAGAUGAAGUUUCUGUGCUUGGCAGGACUCUGCGUCCAUUUCUUAGAAACCCGAUGAUAUGCAACCUAUAUUUGUUAGUGAUUGAUUCACAUGAGAAAAUGGUCGGCGCAACUGCUAGUGAUAUGAACAAAAGCUUGAUAGGAAAUUCUUCCGACUGGGAAGGUUUCAAUCCUUAUUUUCUCCUUAGGUGUGAAGUAUAAUCUUUUGUAAUUCUAAUUCCAUGAUCUGUACGCAAAGGGAUCGCAGCCAUAUCUUUUGGGAGUUAGGAGCCUCCCAAAGUUGUAGAGACCUUUUGAGUUUGCUACAUAUCUAAUACAUGUAUAACUUGCUCUAUAAUUUCCGCGAAUAUCUCUUCAUUACACACAGAGGGAUUUCUUUAUUGCUGCAUUUUUCUGUUUUACUCGGCGCCAUCUCCAUUUCGAAGGCGGAUUUCCAAUUUUUUUUUUUGGGGUAAAACUUCCUACACACACACUGCCCAACCAUUUUUCUUCUUUAAUUUAAAUCACGAAUAAAGGUGCUACAGUAAUAUUUUCCUAUUUACCCAUCUAAUCGAUCCGAUAUCGGACUGGAUAUUUAGACCACAUAAUAGAAUGGAAUCGUGUUCAUGAGACAUCACAUCCGAUCAAAUUGGUACCCUUCUAGGUAUUUCAGGAAGGCCACCGGACCUCUACCCUUGGUGUUUUUGACCCUGGAUAUAAGUUAAGAAACCUUAAACAGAACAUUUGCAUAUAAUAACUAAGGCCAUGACUACACUUGUGUAAAUCUCUUCAUAGCAGAAGAGAGAACUCUGCAGGAGGUACGUGCAGCUACAGUAAUAAAAAUUUUCCCAAGUGAUUAGUCGGAAAUAACUGAAAUUUGUGCUUGCCAUUACAAAUUUGCAAAAUACCAACAAAAGAGAGAUGCAAAAAUAACUAUCAAGUGUCAUCCUCCUCGUUGCCAUCCUCAUCAUCAUCUUCCUCAUCAUCAUCACCUUUUCCCUUAAUUAAAGAUGAGGAAAUAGACAUUAGACGCGGGCAGUAAAGGAAAGGAAAUAAAAAGGCAAAUGAUAUUUGCACUCUAGGCACUCCACACUUGCUCAUUUUCGUUUAAAGUGACAAAAAGACCCAUAACCUAGAAUCCUUGACUAUUUGAAUAACAAAAUUGCCCCCAAAGGCAUAGUAAAUGCAUAGAGGGGCAAUUUCGUCUCUUUAAAUAAUUUAUAGGUUUUUUGUGUCAUUUCAUUAACUGAUAAGCGAAGAUAGGGUGCAAGGAGCUUAUCUUGGAGUGCCAAUAUCAUUUGCCGUAAAAAAUGAACUAAAUUGUAACAGAUUAUAGAAAAAUGUUACAAGCAGUUGUAGCAGUUGACAAAUAGCACAGAAGCCAAUAUUUACAGCUCAAAAACAAGAAGGAGUCCAUGCACCAAAUACCACGAAACAGAGCUAACAGGAAGUGAAACACCAGAACUUCUCCUACUUCUGUAUUGCCACCAUAGCCAGAGUUAUCUGACCUCUGCUUUCAAAGAUAAGACCCAAGAGACUUAAAUCUGUUUCUUAUUUACUACUUAGCAUGUACUUCUUACAAAACACAACAGAUGUCAGAAUUGGAACAAAAAAGUGAAGAGAAGUCAUGAAGGUACAAGUAAAUUGGUAACCAUCCAUAUGACAACAUCAAAUAACAGAAAAGUGGCCUUUGAUAUGGAUAUUGGCAGCUUAUUAUAAAAGAAAGUGAAAACUAAAGAAAGCAGAUUGGUGUUAUAUGUCAACCUGGUCCUCUGAGUUCGUAACUAAAUGAUCACCAACUCAAGAAACAAAUCUCAACUCUUGGAUGAAUAUCCAUAGAAGUUAUGGUACUGAUAAAAUUGGAACUGGGGGACUAAAAUUUAGUCAAAUCCAGGAGAGAGGGUGCAUGAGUUAGUAAAUGAGAAGCUUUUCUAGGUUCUAAAGUGCCUGCCUGUUUCCAUGGGUUCCACAAAAUGUAAAAAAGCAAAAGCGUUGAUUUAUACCUCUUCAUCAUCCUCUUCUCCCUCGGAAUCCUCUUCAUCAGCUUCCUAUCAAAUCAAAAUAUGAAUUCUGUAAGCAAGGAGAAAGAGCUAUAAAUCAGAAAAAAGGAACAGUCAAAAUGGAUUUUACAUUGUUGAAAUAUUUCAGAGGGUUUGGCCAUAAAUCCUCCUUAAUUAUCUCUGCCACCUGCAUGUUUAAAGUAGAUGACAGAUAGAAUGAGAACAGGGAAGAAACCAUACUUCUUUAUUCAUCUAGAGCUACAAAGAUCACAAUAAAGUGAUCAUUAGAAGUAACAACUUGAAAGCCAGCCAAAAGUGUCAACCAUAUAUAUUACUACAUUUUACCACAAACAAAAAUAGCUAAUAAAGUUCUUAUAAUUGUAUGGAGAAUGAAUGUGAAAAGGCUUCAUAAAUUCAACAAGUAAUUACCUCAUCAUUAAGCCCCUCUACCUCAAGCGUAUCUUUUUGUUGUGUUUCAGAAAACCAACUAAAGAAGCUGCAUUGACAAUGCCCAAAAAAAAAAAAAAUGGUGAACUCUAGAUCAUACUUUCAGUUUAAGGGAAACAUACAGGACCUUUAGUAGAUAACUUAUAGCUUUCAACAGGUAAGUGACAUCAAUUCAUCAGAUGGUCACAACAAGAUAAAGGUGAGAAGCAUAUAUGCAGAUUUGCAUGUGCUUAACAAUUGGAAGACCAUGAAGAUUUUCCUCUUCACAAUCACAAUUGGACUUAAAAUAUAGUCCGGACUUGAGUUGCAGUUUCUAAAGAAGAGAUUUUCACUUGGUCAAUGCUCAGCUAGAAUACUAAGCAUAGCUAUUCAAGCUAAAAUGUCAGUCAACACCAUGGUCAAUGAAAAGCAUAAUCAGCAGUUGGAGCUCAAUAUGUAUCUACUAUACAUUAAACAACUUUUACAAUCUAAAACAUGCAUGCAACAAUGACGUUAACAUCUCCCUAAAUUCCUAACAGUUGGAUAAUUAUUAUCCUUAGCUCCAUGUGGUCAUCUAUAAGUUGAAGAUGCUAACAUCACAAAGCGUAUUUAUUUUCCAUGUCCAAAAAGCCAAUCAUCUGAUAUAGAGUCUAGGGAAAAAUCUGAAUAGAAAUGCAUUAAUUAGCAGAAAAUACCUGUCAUCAGAUGCUGGUCGUUUAUUUCCUUUCUUUUCAUGACUGCCUCCAUUUGCAGCCCCCUUCAAUUUUUUGAAGUUGUAGAAUUCAAAAUUAUAUACAAUAAAGGAUUCAAACUGCCCAAGAAGGAAUAUAUAUUCAAAUUAUUACCAUGCCUUCCUUCCACUUGAUAGCUGUACCAAUUAUCCUUGUUGUUCCUUCAUCUAAGAAGAUAAAUGUCUUUGUCAGCUUCGUAUCUUCAAAAUAUGGGUUUUGCUUGAAAUUCUGAAGAUCAAAAGCAAGAUUUCAGGUAAGAAUACAAGUACAAUACAUAGAUCAAUAACCAGCCUGCAAUGUCAAUUGUCCAUUUGUUUUUCUGAAGGAUGAAAGUUUCACGAGUAAAAGAAGAAACACACAAAUGUAAUUGAGUAACCCGAUUUCACAUCCUUAAAAUCCUCCACAUCAAGCGAAUCCAAAUAUUUGAAAAUCUGCAUAAGAAAUAAAUGUACAACCAAAUAAUCAGUGGCUAACAUUCACUAAAGAUGGUCAAGAAAAAAUAAAUUUAUCCUCCUAUGCUUAUAUCAGGAGGGUAAAUUGAAUGGCAAACUAAUCAGACCAAGUCAAAAGGUAAACUGAAAGGAAAAUCCUUUGGACUCCCAACCAAAAAUUUCCAAUCCACUAAAUUUCUAAGCACGUUGCAUACCUUCUGAUCCUCCUCAUUCAACAGAUCACCAAGCGCUGGAUGACUCAAAAACUGCAGGAAAAAGUAAAUUAAUAAAAAAUAAAUAACUAAAAGGAUCCCCUAAUAAGUUUCAACUUCAUUGAAAUUAGAAAAGGGAUGGCUUUGUAACUCACAGCAGUCAACCAAAAGUCAGGAAUUGUCUUUAUGAUCUCGCUUCUUCGGACAUAAACAGGCCUCCGUAAUUCAUUGUACUUCUGUUCAAUUUCCAGUACUUUGUCACUGGCAUCUUCAUUUACCUGCAAAGAAUAAGUCUUUUAGUCAAGCCCCACUUCCGCGCAAAGAAUCCCAGGCAGGAAAGAAUUAAGAGAAGAAUUCAUCUGGAAGUGUCUAAUCAACUUUUGUUUUUUUCUGUCUCCCUUAUUUAUUUAGCCAUCUUUCCUAAUUCCUGGGUGUCAAUUCUUUACCAUAUCAGCAUAUAUACUUGCCAGAAAAUUUCCAGGUCCACAUACAUCAUAUCAAGAUCAAACUAACUGGCUACAUGUAUAAACAAUUCCCAUCUUUGUAUGUCUACAUAAAUAUAUCUACUUACAAAAAUCUACACAGAAUGAAAUAAUUCAACAGCCUGUCUAACAGAUCAUAAUAUGAUAAAGAAGACCUGAUGGAAAGGCAAAAGGAUCCAAUCCAAGACACGAUUAUGCAUGCAUAAAUACAUGUAUUGAUGUAUGUCAGGGGGAUCCAAAAACGUUCUUCAGCUCAUCUUGGACAUCCCUAACUUUCUUAGUUUUAGCAGAAAGUUCAGCACGCUGAACAGGAUCUUCCUCAUCGCUAUCUCCAUGAAUGCUCGAUUUCUUUCCAGGAAAUGCAGCCAUACUUUUGUUGGAGAUAGUGAGGCAAAUAGAAAUUCUCAGGCCAAAAAAUCUUGCGGGUUUGUGAUUGUAAAUAACUUGCACUUUCAGGAGAACAUACUAUUGGCACACAGAACAGGUGGAUGGUGGAUGUCAAGUCAAAAAAAGCAAGGUCAACAUGUUUAAGUAUGCUCCUUCAGAUGUGCAAAUUCAGGGAAGAAAAAAUUUCACAUCUGUUAUGAGCAUCAUUGUCCAACCAUUCAUCCUUUCAAAUUUCAGCAAAAAAGAGUUAAUGUAUAUAUCUUUGCUAACAUCUACAGUGUAAGAGUUAGCAGGAAGGAACUACAUCAGUUUUCUCAUAUAUUAACCUUGAUUAACACCAAAAAAAUGAGGCAACAACUACAAAAACAUUAUCAAGUACUCGCCCACUCCACAAACAAUUUUUCCUUGUAGAAGACAGAAGUCAACAUAUUAACUAGCAUCUGUACAAGGAUCAAGGAAAAACAAAUACUCCCUCCGUCCCACUUUGAUAAUCUUGGUUCUUUUUUCACACAGUUUAAGAAAAAGUAGUUAACUUUGUUGAAACAAUCAAUUUAGGUAGCUAUUUUCCUAAAAUACCCUCACAUUAAUUAGAGUACAACUUUAUGGGAACUUGAAUUGAUGGUAAAAAAAGAAUAAACUCUCGUUAAAUGGGGUAAGUUUAUAGUAACAACAACUUACAUUGAACAAGGGUAUUUUAAAAAAAUUAAAAUACAACUACAUUCUUCAAUUGGAAAGUGGACUACAAUUUGGGACAGACGAAACAGGAAAACAUGACUAUCAAAGUGGGACGGAGGGAGUACAAGAAGAUUUUCACGUGCAUAAUUCUGUGCCUUCAAAAAUUAUCCUUUCCAACAAAAAUAAAACUGCAUACAAAGCCUUUUCCUCUUUAUUUCCAUUCGUUGCACCGAAACACUACAACAUUUUGCAAGGCAAACAGGGAUCACCUUUUGUAGAAAUAAACCGCUAGAAAAGUUAUAAUUGAGAGGAAGAAAAAUUAAGUAGAUAUGUAGGGGGAGAUGGGAAACAGAGGAGACCAAAACUAAAAUCAAAUUUUUUUAAUUUUGCCAAGUAAAGGAAAAGUAUUCAUUAGAAUAUUAACCUAAAAUGUGGUCUGUUUCCAUCAAACUAAAAAGUACCUUUCGCCUGAUAGGAGGGGAUAAGGAGAAGUAACAAUUGGAGGUGGGGGUAAUAAAAAUUAUAUUGCUAAUCUAAUUAAAAACUAUCAGAAGAAGCAAAUGCAAGGCAAGGAGCUUCUUGUAUCUGCAGCGAUCAACAGAUGAGUGUAUAGAAGGACCAAUUUGUACUUGCUUAAGCUCUAGCAUCUAAAUAUCAGCCGUCCACAACUCAACCCAACCCUCCAAUGUAUUGACGUAAAAACCCUAGUGGCUCUCAUCUAUGACCAUGCAGAUGUUAGUAAUUCCACGAACAAAAUCCCAAUAUGUGAAACUAGUACUGGUUCAUUCACGAUAAUGAUGACAAUUUUUUCUAAUAGAAAACUAGAAACGUUUAGUAUAAAUUAUGCAAAAGGAAAAAAAAAUAUACCUUUUCAAGCUCGUCCUGGACUUCUUGAAGCUUCUCGAUAGAGAGAACAAGCUCGCCAUCAAUGGGAUCGGAGUCUUCCUCCGCUGGAGCGGCCACCUUGGAUUUCUUUCCUCGCUCAGCCACCAUCUGUUUGUUUAGAGAAUGAAAGGAAACCCUAGGCGGGUUGUAGGCAGUUAAGCUUAAGCUUCAACCCCUGGAUUGGAUUGGUGGAAUGAGGAGUGGGGAUUGUAUGAAGCGGCAGAGUGAAGGGAGUCCAACUUCUUUUCGAGGGCAGAGACAACAAUUAAAUGAAAAUAUGUGGGCAAAUGUUUUUAAGUUACUUGUUCACCAUUUUGUGUCUAAGCUCUGCUAGUACUCAAUCGAAGCUAAUUUAUGGUCACAAACAUUCUCUUACCAUCAAUGAAAGGUUUUGGACAUAUAUAUACUGUAAAUCUUGCAUAAAAUUGAAGGUGUAUACAUUAUCGCGGUUGGAUAUAUGAUAUAUAUACAUAAUUUAAAUUUCAAAUUCAAAUUCAAAUAAUCUGUCAUGAAUUUUAUGAUGAAAGUGCAUAUACUGUUAAUACAAAAGAACGGCGCAAAAACUAUGCUAAUAUAAAAAACAACAGGAUGAAGAUAUCAGAACCAACAAUGAGCACCAACAACAUCAUCAGAUCCUCGAAUUAAGUCUAAUAAGAUAAAUCUAAUUAGUAGUUAGAAAAUAAUUUUUAUUACGAAUGUCUAACUCUAAGAUUGUAACUACCUCUUUCAAACAUAAGGGCGAUAUAAUAUAUCCUAGCAUACUCAUUGGAGUUUUUUUUCGCCUCUUUAUAUGAUCAUAUAGUAUAAUCAUGUAAUAGUAUCUCUUUUUUUUUUUCAGUGAAGGAUCAAUAGUAAUUGUAAGUUUUGUCGGGAUGAUUCCUUCGGAAAAAAAAAAUAAUGACUUGUGUUUUAGUCCUCUAUGUUAUGGCCUCUUCAAUUGAUUCUUUAUUGUUUAGAUUUGACUUAAUUUUCAGAUAUUCUUCUGACUUAUUUCAUUUUUAGUUCCCGUUGGCGUUGUAUUUGAAUGCUAAUUGAUCCUUAAAUCCGUAUUGACUUUUUUUGUAGUAUGCUUUGAGGCGUCCUCCUUCAAAAUCAAGCAUAAAAGAUGCAUGGAUCCUAUGUAUAUAUCGUGGAGUCAUUGGCAUGCUAAUCAAGAAGCCAAACUAUGCAAUUUCGGUACUCAGCUCUAUUCUGUUAUUAAUCGUUAGUUCCCCACUUCUUUUUUUUUUUUUUUGGAGAGGGAGAGCAGUAGAAUAAUAAGAUUAAUAGAGAUAAUAAUAUUUCUCUCAAAUAGUUUGUUUUAUUGAAGGGAACAAAACCCAAAAUAAGCACAACAUGAGUUGAUCUAGCAAAUCUAUGAGUGGAUGGUAUGCUUGGAACUUUCACAUAACCACAGUGGUAAUCAGUAAGGUCUAAACGUAUACUAUGGUGAUGACUCCAGCCCAAGCACCCUUCCAAUUAUUUAUGAUCCAUCAUAUCGAUCUCUCGCAGUAUCCAUCUCAAGGAAUGCUGGAAAUCAAACACAGGAGACGAAAAGACAAAUUCCGGUUAGCGAGAAAACGUAAUAAUAAUUACAGUACUAUAUUAGUAGUACGCAUCAAAAAAGAAUGAUGACGGUCCAAAUCAAAACCAAAAGCAGCAAAAAGAAAAAAAGAAAAAAAAAAAAGAAACACUAAGCGCAGCACCUGUUGCAGUUAGUACUAGAAGAGAUGGGGAAAGGCAAGGAGACACCACACCGUCCAGGAAGGCUUGUGGCAGCAUCCGGCUUGAGAUUUGGGAAGUGGCCGGCGGCAGACUUGACGCAGUUGCAUGCAGUUCGCCUAUCUUGUUGGGUAGGGAUGCUCCCCAAGUUUUUCACUCCACUACAGCAUGAACUUGAUGGAGUGCCUCCUUGGGUGAGAUACGGCACGCAAGGCUCAAGUUCGUGGGUAACUUGUUCACAGGUGAUUGCUUCACCUGGCCUUGCCACCAAGACUAGCACCAGAACAAGACUUACCACUGCAACCACCUUCAUCAUGUUUUCGCCGGAUCAACUAGUAGUAUACGAUUUGCGCGGAAUAUACUCGAGUGAGAGGGGUUACUAACAAACACUGCUCGCUUCUUGCUAGGAAUUGAGAAUGUUGCAGGCUAUUUAUAGCAGUAAAUUAACCUGCUGGGAUGCAUGCAUGGUUUAGUAGUAUUCCUGAAAUAGGAAUCCAAUCUGCGACUUCACAUGUGUCGGCGCGGCUGGAAGCGGUCAUGACAUGAGAAAAGUGGCCCGUCACUACACCUUGACCUUGCAUGCAAUUAAAUGGGAUAUAAGACUGGUGACAGUUGUUGGGAACGAAAAGGAGGGAUAGAAGAGAGUUUAAAUCGCUUUUCCCUUGUGUUAAGAGUUUGGCUCGCAUGUCAUCUAUCUACGAAGUCAUCUGUCUACCCAGGAGGCCAGGCACCCACACCACUGUCUUCUUCGAUAGGUAGACAAGGAUGAUGACCGUAAGGGCACGUGAAGCUAUCGAUCAUAUAGGUACUACAUGGCAAGAACAAGGGCAGGGUAGUCGUCAGGGCACUGAGGAGUCAAUGCUUGAACAUGACCGAUCGACAAUGGAGUUCAUCUUUUUGUGAUCUACUGAUGUUAUGCUACCGCUGAGAGUUAUGAAAUAAUUUUUUGUUUAGCUUCUUUCAUUGCAAAUUGAUACAGCAACACAACAACUAUCAGCUCAAGGGGACGAGCCAUAAAUGAAGGGUCAUUUUUUCGAAACCACCCGUACUUUUAAAUCUGCAGCAACAACCUAACUAGAAAAAAUACAAUUUAUUUAGUUUUAUCAGAAGAUGACCCAAAAUUUUGCCAUCAACAGAGAGAGAGAGAGAGAGAGUUGGUAAUGCAACGCAACAUUCAUUCUUAUUAAUCCUAUUCCAAAGCAGAAGUAGUCCAGUAAUUCUGGAACUGUUUUUGUAUUGAGAAUGAUAAAAGUUGAGCAGUCGUUGUUCGUCUAUUAACACUGUUGUUUUGUAUACAUUAAAUUCUCAAAUCCAUAUCUUAAAAUUGCUUCUCUGUACCCUGCAAAUUACAUGUAUGAGUCCGAAUGUACAGACUUUUGCCAAAUCAAGGACGUGUUUGAUAAAACUGAAGUUUAAAAUCUAAAAUCUGAAUUCAAAUUAUUGAAUUGUUAAGUAUUAAAUUUAAUACAUUUUAGUGUAUAUCACCUUCAGUGAUAAGUGAUCACUUAAUUUUAGGAAUAAGUUUUGUUUAGAAAAUUUAGUGCUACUUAGUUAAUUCAAAUGCUUAACUUUUAGUUAUCAAACGAUUGUAAAUAUGUUAAAAUCUGAAUUCAUUAAAUUUAAGUGGUAAAUUUAAUUACGAAAAAGAUCCAAGUAGCUGUACACAAUACAUUCGGUACAUCGAAGACAUCUGGUAUUGAUAGAACCAUGGGCUAUAAUUGGGCUAUGCCAGCCAAUGUCUACUGAAAGUUUAUAGUCGGCUUGUCUCAGCCCAUUUCUGCAGUUGCCCUUCCAAUUUGGGCUGUGGAGGUUGUGAUAUCGUAGAGUUUCAUGUCGACCGGUGAGCCCAAACCAAGCAUUCCACAUCUUUUCGGGUCGGGUCCAAAAUAAAAUAAUAAUUGAAAAAUAAAAAGGAAAGUAAAGCAAGGGAGGAGUGGUAGAAAGAAAACUCUUGAACUGCCAGGCUAUCUUGAACUGCUGCCGGUGCUCUGUUCCACUGGGCUCUGCGACUCAAAAAGCCUUACUCCCGAUUGGUGGGGUGGGGGCGUGAAUUGAACCAAUUUAGAAAAUGCAGAUGGUAACAUUAACAGCAGCCAAUCAACCCGCAGCACCUCCAAAAACUUCAUUUUUGGGCCGCCGAGAGCUCUGCUUCGACGGCAUUUCGUCCAUUUGCUGCUCUGACCAACCCUCCUCAGAUGACGCCGCUAUGGCUUCUGCCUCUUCUGACCCUCAAACUCCAAAUUCUCCGUAAGCAUCAUUUCGGGAAGACACUUCAGCUUAUAUUUUUUUUUUGGGGGGAGGGGGGUAGGUGUUGUUAGUGGUCAUUAUUUGACUCGUGUGUGAUUUCUUGCUUCUCUGUUUUUGUGCUUUGUGCAGGGCUGUUAAAACUGAACACGGCCAGUGCAAAGAUUUGAGUGGGCGCCUUGUGGGGAAAAUCUUCCCCGUCACAACACGCCGGACUUUGUUUGCUAGUCUAUCCAUGUAUUUGGGUUAUCAUCCUUCAAGGUACUUCUCAGGUUCGCACAUUUCAGCUUUCUUAAUUGGUUUACUACAAAUAUCAAGUUUUCACCAUCUUUUUUUUCUAAAUCAAUAUGAAUAUAUCCAAGUUCAUGUCAAUGAUCAGCAUUUCUCAUUUGUCAUCUUGAUGCCUUGAUAUGCAACAUAAUAUGGGCUGGGCUCUUUCAAGUUACAAUAAAUAGCAUUCCUACAGUACCAUGAGAUAGAGAUUUAUUGGUUGAGCUGUGGAGAGAUGUACAAUCUUGGAGGACACCAUUUGCAUUGUCAUCAAAAACAAAAUGAAGUCUUUCUGGGCAUUUAUUUGUAAAACUUUACGUUGACUUCUGAUCCUGUUUGGAUGUUGGUUUGUAAUGAAGCAUAUGCAUUGGGGGAUCCAUCAGUGACAGUUGAACAAGUGACACCACCUGUUUUUCCUUCUGGGCCACUUUUUCCUUCCGAGGUCUAUUUCAGUUUGUGUUAAAUUUUCUCUGUGCCAAUUCCUUGGGGAAUUCUUGAAAUUUAUUCUUUGUAGAUUGGAUAUUCUCAUGACAGGUGGUGAAAUUGAUAUUUGUACUUGGCAGGAAAGAAUUGUGCAACUCUUUGAGAAGAAUACUUAUUCAGUGGUCAACAUCUUUGACGUAACUCUUCGUCCUCAACUUAAUUUGUCUGGUGUGGUUGAGGUAUUCCUCUUGAUUCUCUUAGAAUUCUUUCUUUCUUCUUCUUCUUUUUGUUUUUUUUUUAAUUCUCUCUAAGUGACGCAGCAUCCAUAAACCGUGCAAUUUCCUUCAUUCUUCAAUUUAUAUUCUUUUGUUAACUUACUAAUAGCUGAACCCUAUAGCACUGCUUUUUAAUGCCAGGUCCCUGAGGGAAAUGGUUCUGGCAUUGUUUGGGAUGGACUGGGGCACAUUGUCACUAACUAUCAUGGUAAGUGCUUGUGAUGGUCUCUGUCUCUGUUUGUUUGAGAGGUGGUUGGCUGUGCAUGCCAUGUGUGUCUCCAUGUUUUUGUAUGGUGAGCCAAUUGAUCCUUUGCCAUGUUGCCCGUUUGGAAAAGAUCUUUUUCCUAAAUCACCUUUUUCCUAGGUAUGAUUGUGCAUGCACUUAUUUGCUGGAAGGCAUUGCAUAUAAUCUGUCUUUUUGUAGGUGUCUCUUGUAAUUAAAGUUGCUUUACCAGGUUACUCUUCAUAGUUGCAGUUUAUCCCUGCAAAACAACUAAGUUUACGAGAGAUGCCAUGAAAGUGAUAAUAACUCCUGCAUUGUGGAUCAGUGCGUAGGGUAUCAUUCAUCUGUGUUCAUCAUACAUAAUUAAUACGGGAAAAGUGUUGCUGUUGAACAAUUUCUUUUGGAUUCUUAGUGGAGGAUGGAAAUCCAAGUAACUUGCCCUUUCUUGGCAGUGAUUGGCAAUUCUCUUUCAAGAAACCCAAGCCGAGGACAAGUUGUUGCACGAGUCAAUAUUCUUGCUUCAGAAGGGUAAGCAAAACAGUUUAGAUAUUACUGUCAAGUGGAUUGCAUUUUUACUUAACUUCAUCCUGUUUCUCUAAUGUUUCCUUUUCUUUUCAAAAGAGUGCAAAAGAACUUUGAGGGCAGGCUGAUUGGUGCAGACCGAGCAAAGGAUCUUGCUGUAUUAAAGGUAAAAUCCUUCUAAAAAAUGUGACAUAUAGAAUACGAUGGCACAGGUAAUGCUCAAUGUACAAAGAUAUUUUUAGAUAGACCUGCUGCCUAUUAGAAGUAAUUAACUCCCACUUCACAGUACUUUAACAACCAGGAGAGCUGUCUUGUCCAUUUCUGUGAGUGCCAGUGACUGAUUUGUCUCUUUAUCAGUCUACCGCAGAAAAAUAUCUGAUAUUCUCCAGUUUUAAUGUCUGAUUGAGUUCCAGUAGUUAAUCUUAAUCUUCAGAAAAUUAGAAAAUUGUGUCUGGUAAUUUGUGAUGUCUGUAGCCUCUAAAUUAUCAACUAGAUUAGUUAAAAACCUACAUAUCUUGAUUUGCUUAUGUUUUCCGCAAAUCUCAAGUUCUGUUUAACUCUUUACACUUUCAUAUAAUUAGGUGGAAGCAUCUGCAGAUCUGUUGAGGCCAAUCAAGGUGGGGCCUUCAUCUUCUUUAAAAGUUGGCCAACAGUGUUUAGCCAUUGGAAAUCCAUUUGGUUUUGAUCAUACACUUACAGUUGGGGUCAUCAGUGGUCUAAAUCGAGAUAUAUUUAGUCAAACUGGAGUUACUAUUGGUGAUGGAAUCCAGACUGACGCUGCCAUCAAUCCUGGAAACAGGUCCUAGUUAUCAGUUCAUUCAAUAUGCUAAUACUAAAUAAGUGAACUGGCAUUGAGUCUAGAGUUGUUGUUUUUCAUUGUUGCAGUGGAGGUCCUCUGUUGGAUUCAAAAGGAAGUUUAAUUGGGAUUAACACGGCAAUAUUUACUCAGACAGGCAUAUUUCUCCUUAGCAGUUUGAAUUCUGCAUUUAGUUAUUUGUUUAUUUAUUUGGUUGAUCGAGGGGAACAAUACUUUUUAUUGUUGCCUCCUUGAAUGACUUGGAAAAUGCUGAAAACAAUAUUGUGUCUUCAGUGCAAUUUGAAAUGACUUGUCAAACGUAUCAACGUUCAACUUGUUUAUGGACAGGGACAUCUGCUGGUGUUGGGUUUGCAAUCCCAGCAUCUACUGUGUCGAAGAUAGUGCCUCAGCUUAUUCAACGUGGCAAAGUAUACAUUAUUGUUCUUCCACUUUAUGCUUUAUACUGCAAUCUACUUCAUGAGAAUCUAGUUUCCUUUCGUUUGUUUCAUGACUCUUCUAAUUGUUUGCUGGAACUCUUAAGCUCCACUGACGAGCCUUUGGGUCCACUGUCUUCAGAAAGAAAAAGAAGUGGAGAGAAAGUGAAAAGAGGUUUUAAAUUUGUUUUCCUCAAGUUGCAUCUGGAAUGAAAGAGAAAAGAGACUGUUAAAAAUUUAAUCUGAAGAUACUCAGUAUGACAAUUGGGAGGGACAAGAUUUUUUUCUUCAGGACCUAACAAAUUGAAUUGAAAAUGUGAAAAUAGAAAGUUGAUUCUCUUGGUCUUCGUAUUUUGAAUAACUCUCUCUCUCUCCUCCCCCAAGAAUCAUUAUCAACUUCAGAUUGAUAUCUUUAUUUUAAGUGUGCAUUGAGAAAAAACAAUUAAUAGCUGUGCAAAGAAUAUAUAAAUUCUAGUUCAACGUUUCUCUGUGGAACAUGCCAGGUUGUUCGAGCUGGUUUAAAUAUUGAAUUUGCUCCAGACCCAGUUGCAAAUCAACUCAAUGUUCGAAAUGGAGCUCUGAUUUUGCAGGUGUGUCCGCGUGUGUGUGUGUAUUGCUGACAGCAUUAUGACAAUGUUUUUUUUUUUUUCAUUUAUUGUUUGUAAAAUCACUUGUAUUUAGAUUCAUUCACCUUUUUAUGCUUUAGGUACCUCAAAAUAGUCUUGCCGCCAAGGCAGGUCUUGUAUCCACAUCGAGAGGCUUUGCUGGCAACAUCAUUCUUGGUGAUAUAAUUGUGGCGGUGGACAAAAAACCUGUGAGUAUCUGUUUGAUUUUCUAUGGCCUAUUAUGAUUGUUGUCAGCAAACAUCAUUCUCUGUGAUAUAAUUGUGGUGGUGGACAGAAAACCUUUGAGCUCUUUCUUCAAUGUUGCUCCCUACUACUAGAAAUGUUGUUAGUGCAGUUAAGAUAAGUGAGGCUAGAAUUGAGCAUUGAAAAAGCUCAAUUCUAUUAGAAAAAUGUUGCUCGCUACUACUAUUUAGAGCAAGUUCAAUUUUCUGGAGUUGUGUUUUUGUGAAAUAGAAGCACAAAUUCAAGGAAAGGAAGAUGCUUGCAUUCAAGCAUGAAAUCAGUGCUGUAGCAAAAUAUAUGUAAGGUGAUCCUUAACAAUAACAGUUAUCUGAGAUUGCAUCAAGUUUAAAAUGCCAAUUAAAGCUGAGAUCCCCUUAAAAUUCCGGUCUUUCCUUUGCACCCUUGUGAUUAAACAAAAGGUUCUGGAAGUACCUAAAUUUAGCUCACUUGCUAUUCUGAGUGCUACUUGUGUCAGUCUUUUUGUUGGGUUGAAAUGAUUGGUGAAGAGAUGUGCAAUUAUGUUACCGACAACACACACAGAAGUCAAAAGGACAUGCUGAAAAACUUGUAAAUUUCUUUUCAAUUUAUCCUUAUGAAUUUUCUCACACGUAUUCAUCCAUUUUCUUAUUGCAGGUUAGGAGUAAGUCAGAGUUAAAUAAAGUGCUUGAUGAUUAUAAUGUCGGAGAUGAAGUUCUCCUGCAAAUACGAAGAGGCAGUGAGACUGUGGAGUUGCCUCUAGUUCUAGAGGAGACGGCUUGAUGCAAAGCUGUGACUUCCAAGUUUUCCAGUACGUAGAGAUCGAUAUAACUUAUAUUUGCUCCUGUUGAUUCAACCAUUGAUGAUAAAGGAUCCAUAGCGGAUUGAACAAAAGAAACAUGUAUUUUCGUUUUUGCAAGGGGAAUGGAAUCCAUACAUGGUUGUUUAACGUAGCGACACUUGCAAGUGUAAAUGAGUAAUUAUAUAUAUAUUUCUCCGGUUAUCGACUUCUAGCUGGUUCAUCUUUCACUUUCUUUUCUGUCCACUUCGUAGCAAAGAGUUGCGAUAUAUUUGGCAGUCGUCGGUCAGGAAAAUUUUAUGGUUGGCAAGUGCUAAUGUAUUUUGAAAACUUCCGUUAAGACUGGCUGUAAAACUAAGCCAAGCCCAUUAAUCAUUUAUUCGAAAUUCAGUUCCAAACAAAAGUCUCUCUAGAAGUUGCAAAAUUUUUGGGCAGUUUUCCUUCGGGAAAACUGAUCAACUAACUUUACUUUUGUAUCACAUACAGAAGUUCGCCAAUCGAACAAGUACUUUCAUAUGUUUCGUCAAAAUCUCAUCAGUACCAGUACUGAGUAGUUUAUCAUCGGGCUGCUAAGUGCUAGGGCUUUAGAUUUACUUUCUAGGCAACUUUCAAUAAUUUCUUUGUGACAACAGACGAAAGAUGAUAUGCGGUUGAAAUUGAUCUCAAGUAUUGCGAGAAACUGCCCAGUUCUAUCGCGCAUAUAUAUAUAUAUAUGUAUAUAUUUGUGGAUUGCCUGGCGUAGCAACCUGAGAUUGCUCGGCAUUGGUCGCUCAAGUCCUAACUGAGAAUGUUCACAACUACAAUGAUAUUAAACAAAACGUUCUCCCUGUUUCUGCAUACUUCAUCCAUGAAAAAGACAGGGUUUCUUGGACUGUCAGGCCAUCGUAAUAAUUACAGGUUUCAUUUUAAUUAAACAACAAAAGUUCCCAGUGUCUAGGGAUCCACAGGAUGGGAACUGCAAAAAAUUCGUGUACCAUAAGUCCACAAUAAGAUGGAAUGUUCCGCGAGGGAUGUAAGGUCACUUUGCAGCUUCCCAUGUAGACGAAUGUGAAUAGGAAUUAUGGUACCGGGAUGCUGCCGAGGUUAACGUCAAUAGGUGCUUCCUACUUCUUUGUACAAUUGUUUUAUAAUGAAUUUUUUUUUUAAUCUAAAUUGGCUUAAAUCUUUUUUGGCGUUAGUCUCUGGUGGUGACUUUAAUGGGGCAAGAGAUGACAAAAUACCAUAACAAUGUUAAAAUAUACCACCAUCUUCUGUGUGUCACUUUAACGCCUGAACAGUUCAUAAUAAUCUUGACAAAAGAGUUUUCAUCAUCUAUUAAAAAAACAAACAAAAAGAAAAACAAUAGGGAAGAUAGAAGGGUGAGCUUUUCAAUUCAUAUCACAUUCGGUCCUAAGUACCUCACUUCAAUUGGCGAGAUGGUACUGCUGUGCUGUGUGGAAGCUUAGCUCAUUAUCAAAUCAAGCAAAUCCUUCGAUCCAUCGCAAUUAGACUAAAAAUCUGCGUGCUUGUAGAAGCAAGUUUGAAGUCGAGAUCUUCUUAAUUUUCUCGAGAUUAUACUAUGUUUCAUUAAGGUCUCGACAUGCAUGUUUUGCUAAUUACUACUGCUAGUUAUCAGACAGUAUCUCGUUAUCUUAGUUAAUAGCAUCCUUGUGAGAAUUAUUAGUUGCUAAGUACUAUUUCUUGUAGUGGUUUUGUCUCCGAGAUUCCAUCAUUCGGGUAAUGGUAUCUGUGUUGACGUUAAUGGGUUCCCAGCUACUUUCAACCGCAUGCAAGCGAAUCAAUAUAUGUAUAUGUGUGUGUGUGUUGCAGACCACCUGCAUGGACAUUUGUUUGCAUGACAGUAUGGGGUCUCGAUAAAAUGAGACCACCCAUACACAAUAACAAAAAAUAUGUUAGACUGCUCAAGCACCAUAAGAUUGAUCAUUAAGUGGGGAUUUUCUUUAAUGCUUAAUUAGCCUACCAUCAUUUUGUUGUCAAGCUAGGGUUGAUCAGCUCCUUAUUGUCGUUUUGGAAUGCCUUAAUCACUGAGCAAAGGAUCUGAAGUUUCACGUUCAAACAGACACGGACAUUAACUAUAUCUUUAGGGGCGUAGUUGACAACAAAACUGCUAUCUUCAUCAGGACUUGCAUUUUUUUUUUAUCUCUGUCUUUUCUGAUAUAGUAAUACCAACAAAUCAUUUAAUUAUCACAUGUUGCAUUCAUGCGUUUUACUCUUUAUCUUUUAGAUGGGAACUAAAAUUUUGAAUCAGCUUCUGCUAUGAUGGGAAUGUGCGAAAUCUCUAAUUAAAGAAGCCAUUAAAGUCACAGUCUUUCCCAGAAGAUAAGGUUUUUGAAUGGUAAAUUAACACGUAAGUUUGAUAUUAUGGUUGCUUUUAAGAGAUUAUGAUGAAGGUUCAUAAACAGAAUACUUCCGAAGAGCUUUUUAUAAAAGGAGAAACCAAAGUGGUUUGCUAGUGUAACAACAUGUUUCUCUGAUUCAACGCGUAUGGAAGACACUGAGCAGCAGGUCUCUAGUUAAAUUGGGAUGCCCAUUGCUUACAAAUUGUUCAUCUCUUAUUAUAUAUUCUUAGCACGAGUUAUUGAGCCAGGAGAAGCUUUUACAGUUUUUUUUUUUUUCAACUAUCCCAAAUUCGUAGUGGGGUAUAAAAUCAUUGAAGAGAGGAAUAUCUAAGCGAGAGAUUUCGUUUUGAAUCCUAGAAGAAAACUAUUACUAGAUAAACGCAGCUUUCGAAGAGCUAGUGAUUAUGCAAUAUGUAUAAAUCUUGAAGACGUGGUGAUUUUUUUCACCACAAUCAGUUCAGACAAGAACCAAGAAUCUUCAUUAAAUACAUACAAGAAUGCUACCUUAAGCAAGGAUUAAUCUGUAAUCCCAGAAUAUUAUACAAGAAAGCUACCUUAAGAAAUUGAAAGAAUUCUAGGAUACCCUGGAGACCUCUUACAGCCAAGCCUGCGGGUAACUAUUUUAAUCACAGCCAACAUCGUUGAUGUGGUUAUAUGGUUCAUUUUUCCUUUCACCAGGUCAUAUUAGUUAAAGCUUUCUGCUUUGUCUACCAUCAAAGAGUCUCUCUCACUAAUACAUACAUGAUGGAAAAGACCUAAAACGCAAAAAAAAAAAAAAAAAAAACAUAAAUUUACAUUAGGGAAAAUAAUAUGGUAACCAAUUCCAUACUAGGUAGUGUUCGAGAAAUUUCAAGACUCUAUGUUUUUGUGGUUGCAAGGAUUAAAGUGUACUCAAAUUCCGGACUCGUAGAGGUAGAACUGAUUUCCUUUGUUGGCUUCCGGUUGAGGUCCUGCUGGUUGAUACUCGCAGGUGCAUUACGCAAUGGCCAUAAUUAGCAGAACCUCUUACAGUUCCUAGACUUUUAACAAUCCAACAAGCAAGUCGCCUUCAUAAAAUUUAAUCAAUUAUAUCGUGUAUAUUGUUCUUAUCCGAGUCACCAUUUGAGAACGAUAAGAGAUGCUCUCCAAUCCAAGAACAUUGGUGCAUGGGACAAUAAUCAAAGACAAAACAUAAAAGAAAAUACUGCUCACUAAAACUAUCUAAUGCAGGCUGCAAUCAUAUUUCCCCUUUGCGCACCUAAGCGUCCCUGACGAGUUACCAACAGGCUUGCAAACCCACUUAAAUUACCAGCGGGUUUCACAAUACUCGGCCAUUUGAUAGUCAAAUGUUUAAUAAUUUCUCGACGAAUCUGAUCACAUAUCCACACUGAAGGUGACGUUUUCAUAUGGGGCAGAAGGGAAUGAAGAAACAGAAAGUUCUGAGAAGAACGGAACAAAAACCGACUGAUUUUGAUCCGACAAUCCUGACAUGAUAAUUUAACUGUGAGGGUUUCGCAGGAAUUUCCACAGAGGAUCUGCGUAGAUGAUUAAUAGUGAUACUCAGCUAUUAAAGAUGUGAUUAAUUUUAUCAGUAUACGGCUAUCCAAAAAACUAUUCAAGCAAACAGGAUAUUAAAGUCCUUAAAACAAAUGAUGUAAGAAUGUUGCUUUGUCCUUUUGUCUUGAUGGGGGGGGCAAAAAUAAAAUAAAAUAAAAUUUAUAUGCAGAAGAAGCAUCCAAUGGAAGAGCACGUCAAGUGUGAAAGCAGAUUUCCACACACAUUUCAUCAUCUUGUAGUCUUUUUGGGAUCGUUAAUUUGGAUUUAAACGGACCCCCCCUGCGUUCAAAAAGGGGGGAGAGCUUCUUUGAAAGUCCAUCAACUUGACUUUGGGUUUUUCUCCUCUACAACUACCCAAAAAAAGGCGGCCGAAGCUUCGGAGGCAGAACCACUUCUCAGGAAGCACACAAUGGCUUCGAACCAACUGUCCCAUGCAAAUGACUUGUAUGAUGCACAUACUUAACUGAGACUUCUACGGCCUCAAUAUUGGUUCAACUAUCUUGAACACGGACCAUAUUAAAACUCAAUCCCCAGUUUGUCCAACGUUUUUUCAGUCCUCUUUUAAGUUUUCCGUUUAGGUGACGAGAUCAAGGAAAGGAGAAACAGAAGCAUGGACGACAAGGGCGAUGGAGAUAAGAUCGAUGAUGUUAUGUUGCCUGGUUUUCGAUUUCAUCCCACGGAUGAGGAGCUUGUUGGAUUCUAUCUGAAGCGAAAGAUUCAGCAGAGAUCACUUCCCAUUGAACUGAUUAAGCAAGUGGAUAUCUACAAAUAUGAUCCAUGGGAUCUUCCAAGUAAGAUGAACUCUCUGGCCAUCACGGUUCCUUCAAAGUCCAAUUAAUCUUCUCCUUGUUUCUAUCACCUUGAAUUCUUUAAUGAACACGGAAAAUAACUCCUUUGUCCUCGUUCGUCUUAUUCAAUUCCACACUUGAAAGUGAUAUUCUUUUCGUUCCUUUCAUGUUAUUAUAUCCUAUUUCUUGCAAUCAUGAAUAAGGUCUUACAGUUACAAUCUACAGCUACAAAUCCCUAUUCUUAUCAACCUGCCAUCCAGUUCUCUGAGAGCAAACUUCUCCGAGUCGCUACUGCGUGUCACAGAAAAUGAUAUUUUGCUCACAAAUCCUCUUGCAUUUUUCAUCUCACAGAAAUAUUACAAAUAUCUCGAUCGCUACAACCCAACUUCCAUUUUCAAAAGCUAAUAUGAUGUGUAUUGCAAUGAGUUACCCAUUAAACUACUUUUCCUCUCAAAUUUGCAACAGAGCUGGCAUCAAGUGGGGAGAAGGAGUGGUACUUCUACUGCCCAAGAGAUCGGAAAUAUAGGAAUAGUGCUCGGCCCAACCGUGUCACAGGAGCUGGAUUUUGGAAAGCCACAGGGACUGAUAGGCCAAUAUACUCUUCGGAUGGCACCAAAUGCAUCGGCUUGAAAAAGUCCCUAGUCUUCUACAGGGGCAGAGCUGCCAAAGGAAUAAAAACUGAUUGGAUGAUGCAUGAGUUUCGACUUCCUACUACUUCGGAAUCAGCACCGCCCAAGAAGCUCGCAGACAAAAACCUUUCUCUGCAUGUAAGCUCACUUCAAUUUUCAUGUUCCAACUUGUCCUUCAAAACCCACUUAGAGUCAUAGUUGCUGUGCAAGUGAUACUCCGCUAAAUUCCCACUUUCUCCUUGAAUCUGCAGGACUCAUGGGCCAUUUGCAGGAUAUUCAAGAAAACUAGCUCGCUCGCUCAUAGAGCUCUUUCUCACACCUGGAUGGCCCCAGUAUCUGAAACAUCCCCAGACAUUUUCCCACAAGGUGCACAAUAUGCUCAGUAUGGUUCAGAGAAUUUAUCUUGUGCUACAGAAAGUGGAUCAACCAUGCAGCUCUACACUAACAAUGACUUACAAUCGGCUUCUACCGCCAUAUUCUCUGCCCUAAACAUCCCUUCGUGCAAACCCCUAAAUGGACUGCUUUCUAAACCAUCUUUUUUGGCUGGUCCAAAUGGGGAUAUCCCCUGUAACUUUAUGUUUCCACCUUCGGAAAUAUCAGGACCACCAAACAAGUGUUCGCUUGAUGUUCCUUCAAUGCUUUUCAACCUUUCCCCUACAUUCCUGGGGGAUGUCAAUAAGACCUCAGAAAGCAUCGAAUUUGAAGGAUCUCAACACCAUUUCAACAGCUUUUCUAUGAACCCAUCACCAGAUAUGCAAGAAGGUAUAAGCAUUGAAAACGAUGAAGGAGGGCUCAGAAAAGAUCCAAGGGACGGUGAUGCAAGUAAUCAAUGGGAAAACAUGAGAGCAAUUGGUUUCCCUUUCAGUUUGCCUUCAACUCUACCCGAUGUAUGGAAGCCUAAUCUGCCAUGGGACUCUUCAAACUGUCCUAGUGAAAUAUCCACUACCUACUCCGCAAACAAGUGUUAUACAUAAUCCUGCCUUGUUGAUAAAGAGAAACUAUUUUACCUUAUAAUGUAUUAAUCCAAUCCCCUACCAUAGAAAAUUUUUUCUUUUCCCUUUCUUGUAAUUAUGUCUGUAUUCCAAACUACUGUACAGGCUUCAGCUAUCUCCUCUGUCUAUAAAUUUGAAAAGACGCUACCUUUAUGCUGUAGCUUCAUUAGCUUUAUUUUUAGUUUACAAUUAAAUUUAGUACGGGUCCAUUUUGUUGUGCUCUUAUACUGUCAUUGAUGCAAACUGUAGAAAGUAAGCAAAUUACUGAACCUUGCAACCGCGACUCUCAUCUCAAUCACUUCCAUCGAUAAUUACUCGAUGAUUACGCCUGUUUCUAAACAAAUCAAGAAAUAUGAUGGCCGUUAGAAUUCUGCACAAGGGGUCGUCAAGGUCUCGAAACUAGUUUAAGAAGAACGUUUAAAAAGGUUAACGGUGAAUGAGGUAUCAAACACAUAACACAGCAACGUAUCUUAAAGGGGUCGGGGGAAGCAGGGCAUCUGACCGACUACCAAACAUAAAUAAAGGUUCAGAGCAAUAUGCAGUUAGCCAACUAACGAAUUACUUUAUAAGUUGGUGAAAUAUUGCUUUCUUUUUCUGGUUAUGUAGUAAAUCAAGUAGUAGUAAAUGACACUCAGGCACCUUAUACAGAUAGGGCUUCGGGUCCUCUCUGACAUACGUGAGAGUUACAUCUCUAUUACACACUCAAGUUAUAAAACAAGUAUACUACUAUAGGAGUAUCAUUUAAUUCUAAUUGUGUCGUCACCGAGUUGAUGUCAACUAUGACCAAAUGAUCCUUCUGAAAAAGUCGCAUUAUGCUCUUCAACUUCAAUUUAUGAUUAGUAGCAUCUCAUCAUGAAGUCCAAAGUGUUUUCUACCUGAUCCUCUUUUCAUUUUGGCUGACCACUUCAGCAAAUUAAAGUUAGACAGUAGAAAAAGUGCAAAACUCACGAUCAAUUAAGACAGUUUCCGGUUAUUCACCAACGCUAUGUUGAGUGUAUUUUGCAAGUCCAGCACUUCUCAGAAAUUCAAGAUGGGCGAGUUGGUCUCAGAGCCGGGAUUUGGCCUUUUUCCACGGGUAGAAAGUGUUGAAAGGUCAAACCCCCCUAUUGUGGGUCUAACUCUAAACAGGUGGCUCACCAUAAUAAAGCCAAAUCCUCCCGUUUUAUCUAAACAGACGGUCGAAGACAUUUUUUGUGUUGUCGCACACCAACAGCCAUAAGUCAAGAUGGCCGAGUUGGUCUAAGGCGCCAGUUUCAGGUACUGGUCCGAAAGGGCAUGGGUUCGAAUCCCAUUCUUGACACAGAAUUUACUUUUGGUUCAAAAUCUUGACAUAAAAUCCACUUUUGGGUUUAAUAACAUCUACUAUUAAUCCGCAGACACCAUUAGCGGACUCAAAGCCCCUAGCAUUUGAGUAGGCCUGUCAAUCGGGCCAUAUGAGCCAAACUUUCACAAGUUCAGGCUCAUUUCAUUUAAUUUAUAAUAUUUUUGGGUUUCGGGCCAUUAGUUUCGGAUUAAUAAAUGUGAAGAACAUACUCAACUCAUAAAAUAUUCUGAUUUUAAGCCUUAUUUGGGUUUAAUUCAAACUCACUUAUUACUCCUCAAUUUUCUUAAUAUAAUUACUAUAAUUAUUAAGUUGUGAAAUUAAUUUAAAAUUUGCAGGACUACAACAUUAAAAUUAGAUAUGAACGAGUAAUAGUUCUUAAAAAGUACAUAAAUCAAAAAAUUUUCAACAAUAUUUAUAUCUAGUUUGUUCAAAAUACAUGAAAAAAUAGUAAUAAAACAUGUGAUCAUAAGUCAAUACAUCUUCAAAGGUUGGAAUUUCUUCAUAACCUUGUAAUUAAAAUCCAAACAUGCUUGAUGAUUUGUAUUUUUGGAGCAAAAAGAAAUCAACCAAUAUUAUACCAACAUAAAAAUUUACUCAACCAAUCAGAAAAGUUAAGAGUUUCAGUUAAGCAUUACCAAUAUUGACUCAAGAAAGUUAGUAGAGGAGUUUUCAGACGUGUUUUUAUGUUUUGUAAUUUAUAUAUAUUUAGUAUUUAGUAAUAAUAUAUUUGAAUAUAUAAUUAUAUAUAAUAUCAAAAUAUAAAUAUUAUAUAUACAUAUAUCAUUAUGUAUAAGUAAUUAAAGGAUCGGGCCUAUAUCAAAUUUGAAUCUAAUGACGUCCAAACUCAACUCAUAUUUAAUUCGAACUAAUUUUUUAAGUCCAAACUCAGACUGACUUACUGAAAUAUCGGCUCAUCAAACUCAUUCUCGGACCAAACGAGCCAAACUCAAGUUGGACCAAACGAGCCAAACUCAAGUUGGACCAAACGAGCCAAACUCAAGUUGGCCCACUGACUUACUGAAAUAUCGGCUCAUCAAACUUUUUCUCGAAUCAAACGAGCCAAACUCAAGUUGGCCCAGCCUCAUUGACAGUCUUACAUUUGAGCCUUAUUUAGCAGCUAAAUCACGUGAAAUGUAUUUAAUUGAAAUGGCGGAUCAGAAAGAAUACUAGAUGGGAUUAUGUCGAUUGUUCUAUUUACAUACGUUCGGACAAGCGGGAGCCCAAAAUUGAGUGUGUUCCCAGGAGUCGGAAUAAUUUGUGAUCACCAGAAUGGUUCCCCGAGUACUCAAGCAUCUUCUAGCCAGACUUAGUUUUCGCAAAACAAACUUCGGAGACAUCAGACAAAUAGACACCACAAGAUUCUUGAAUAAAUUGUACUUCGGAAGCAUGAAACAAAAGUUGAAGAAGCAUUUGUUCAAACUAUUCCAUUACCGAUCAUUGAACAUUUCUUCAUCGUCAUCACAAAAGAUAAAACUUUGAAACAUAUCAUAAAUUUUUCUUAAACAAAACAACUGCGGCUAAAUAGUUGUUCCAUUUCAACUCUUCGAAGCUAGCUUUUCUUUUGCCUUUUGAAUUUUCAGAACCUUUUUCACAAUCUUUUGCUCUUCAACCAAGAAAGCACGGAUAAUCCUACAAGGAGAAGAGGGGUGAAUCAGAUUAGUUACUUGUACAACCAUUCUGAAGAAAUAGGAGUAUAUAAUAACAUGUCCAUAACAGACCUCUCCCUGACAGCACUUCCAGACAAUACACCACCAUAAGCACGAUUAACUGUCCUACGGUUCCUGGACAAUCUGGACCUCUUGUAUUCAGCAGGUCUUAAGUGAGGAAUCUACAAGAGUACAGCGAAAUAGAUACAAUUAACCAACCGCAGUCUGACAUUAUCAAUGACAUUGUUUCACAAGAGAAACAUGAAAAAUGCCCUAGAUUCUUUGCAUGAUUACACUACCACCAGGAGCAACGCGGUAACAUGAAACACACAAACAAUGAAUGUCAAAAGCUAUCUAAUACAGAGUAAUCAAAUAUAACUGGAUUUGCAUCAUACCAUGGAGAGUCUUAGAAUGUCAAUUGCAGUAGUUCUUCACGGAUUGUUCAGAUAAAAUGAAAGCUAGAUUCCAUGUCUUAUUGAAUCUUCAGUUGUAGGAUAAUAAGCUGAAUAAUAUCCAAUUUUUCACACGAAAUCUCAUACAUUUUAUACACUUCGAAAAAUCGUUAAACUCAACAACUUAAGAUCAAACUGAUACAGCAUGCAUGAUACCAGAUUCAUUUUAAGCUUUUAUCACUCUUCCUAAAUGCACGCAUGUGAAAGUAAAAAUGAUUUAAAUAACCCAAUCAGUACAAUGUCUAACAACAGUAAAUACCACUUUAAAAUACAUUAGAACAAUACCCAACACAUCAAAAACUGAACCUAGAAAUUAGAACAGAUAUGUCAAUAAAGACAACAAAUAUAUUUUCAGCAAUAGGUCUUGACAAAUAUAAUGCAGAAGUAAUAAAUGGAUAUAACUCAAAUUUGCAUCUGGAAAUUACCAUUUCAGCACAGGCUAUUUAAAUUUAUGAAGGACUUAGUCUUGUAUUGAGAUUUAUACAUGUCUUGGUUUUGUCCAAACCAAACGAGGUUUACAAGUAGCACACUAGCUAUAAUUAUCUUCAACUUCUUGAGGAUGUUUUUAACUACAAGGCUCGUAUUGAUCUGCCUUAAGAGUGAUUUGUGGUAAAUAAUCUUUCUGCAACUUAAGGAGUGAUUUUAAUUUUUUUUUUAUGCAAAGUAACUCUAUCACAACUGUGGCUCAACCAAUUAAAGGUUCACAAAACAAAUAUAUUAAGAGCUGGAGAAACAUAAGGCCCAAUCAUAAUUUAGUACCAUUCAGGUUAACCAUACUGAUUCACAAAUCCGCAACCCCCUUCAAAAAAAAAAAAGAUAUCUGUGCAAUAAACCUUUCACUAGCUUGAAAUAAUCAUCUCUCAUAACAUGAGAUUAUUUCCAACACUUCUUAGCCAGACGGUCAAUGUCAAACCCCCAGCCCAACUAACAGAAUCAGGUUUAUAAUUCAAACACGACCACAAAAGAUAAGAGGUGUGCAAAGGCACAUUAUGGGACCAGAAGCAUAACUGUGACCGACCACGUUUUAACCCGCGCAAACAGAAAAACAUGGAAAUCAAAGGAAGAAGGGAAGAGAAUGGCGUACCCCUUGGAUUCUUUUCCCAGUAACUGGACAUUUAGGACCACUGGCUCUCUUCUUGGUGCUCUGAUACACAAGCCUCCCCCCUAAAUUCCCAUUCAUAUACAACUCACAUUAGCUGACACACUCCAUUAUUAACAAAAUCAAGAAAUUAUAAGUUGCCACAUAUUGCAGUCAACAAAAACAAAUAACUUCGGAUCUAAAUAACCCCAAUCUACGUCAAAAGCUAAAGACACUCCCCAAUCUAGUACUCCAAAUCAGUAGGGACCCAGGCAAAACCAAGCGUAUCACUCUAUCAGUAUCACCAAUUCUAUACCUAAAUCAGUAGGUUAACGGCUAACAUACCAAAAUUAAAUUAAAAAUAAAGACAACCGAUAACCCAAAAAAAACGAACGAAAUGCUAUUAAGAAUUGAAGCUAGGGUUUUGGAACAGGAAGAGACAUGAGAGAACCAAUACCAGGGGUUUUGACGACCCUGUGUUGGUUGGAUUUAGUGGCAUAACUAUGCCGUUUUCGAUACGUAAGCCUCUGCGCCAUCUCCUUCAAUCCACCAGCUCCACCUCUCUCUGUCUUCCUCUCUCGGAGUGUAAGUAGAACAAUGAAUGAGAAAACGAAAAGAAAUUGAGGAAAUGCAAGAUAUGGUAUUUAUAUGGACUUUCUCCCACAGCAAAACCCUACAUCCAACGGCUGUACGGAAGCCACGCUCUCAAUGACUCACUAAUUCGGGGCUAAUUCACUUUACGCCCCUAUAAACUCAUAUAUUCAACAAUUUAGACCUUCUAUUCUGAGUAUUUUAAAUGAACCCAAACCCAACUCCAGGAUUGGAGGCCUUGCAGUUGCGGUUGCACUUGCAAUUACCGAGGGAGGUUUUUGGUUGCUCAAUUUGGGUCAUGUGCAAUUGAUCUUGCAUUUCUUUGUAUAAAAAUUUUUUAGGUUUUCGUAAGGAUAUUGAGUGUGUUUAGAUAAUAGAAUAUUUGAGAUUAUUUUUUAUAAAAAAUAUUAUAGCACUUUUUUGAUGUGAUGCAUGUGAAAUAAAAAGAUGAUUGAAAAAUGUGUUAAUAAUACAAGUAAAUAAAUUUUUUCUAAUAAACCACUGUUCUUUUUUUUACAUUUUCAAUUACCAAUUUUCCUCACAUACAUGAUACAUCACAUAUUACAAAAAAAAAUAAAGUGCUAUAGUAAUUUUUCUCUAAAAACUCUCCAAAAAGUACCAUCCAAAUUGGCUCUUAAAUUUUGAAAACAAUAUAUUUGAAUUUCACAGCUGACAGUUUAGAUUAGAGUCACAUUCGUUUAAACCUACUUAAAUUGUAAAAUUGUUUUUAAUAAGGAGAAAUUAUAUCAAUUGUCUAAUGUGAAAAUUUUGUCCUUCAUAGUCAAAAUAAGCGAUGUUAGUCUCUAACAAAUAAACAAUUAUCAGUUUUGAUCCCUACUCGUCGUUCUAGUCGAAUUUUAGCAAGAAUAUGUCACGGACAUAUUACGUGGUCAAUUUCUAAAGAGAAUUCCUCUUUCCUCCCUCCCAACUCUUUCUGCCACUAACAAAUGUCACGAAAUUUGUGUUUCCAAUUGCCUGGAUUGAAGAGAUCAAAAGGAAAUACAAAGAACUAGCAUUUGCUAGCCAACCCAAAUUUCCAGGUAGACAUCUCGAUUUAGUUGGGUAACGGUGUUAAGACCGAGCAAGCUAGGUUGAAUUUUCGACUCUUGAUUUUAUUGGGAAAAAAUGAAUUAAACCAAAUUUGUUAACAUUAUUGGUUUUUCUUCCCGGCUUUUAGUCGUCCUAAAAGAUGUCUAGCUAAAGAAGGGUACGGUCUCAAUAUUUGUGUUGUUCAAAAAAAAAUUUAUAUAUAUAUAUAUUUGGAGGGAGGUGGGGAUCGGGGAUGGAGUUUCAGGUAACAUUUAUGAUGUCGAAUUUUACAAUAUUGCGGCUUAUAUAACAAUAUUACGCACAAUAUAGAUAACUAGCAUGUGGAUUCGAAUGAUUUGUUGACACAAAAGCACUUAAAAUCAUAAAAAAUUCUUUUUGACAUGAUUAAAUUUUGUAUGCACUGAUGAUGAUUUAUGCACCAUGACAGUUGAAUGUAUGACAAAUAUAUAAAUUUUAAAUUUUAAAUUCAAAUUUGAAUUAAAAUCAAGCAUUCAUAUCUGAAGUAUAUAAAAAAAAAUUAAGUAUUUUUGUUUUGUUCUUUUUUGAAUUUACCUAAUUCGAAUUCAACAGUUGUGUGGUAUAAUUUGUGCAAACCCCAUCAACGCAUGGACCCUCCACUUUUGAGAGCGAUGAGUUCUUUUUGGUGGAUAGAUACUAAAUGAUCAUCCUUUAUCUACGGGUUGCUACGUAUGCAAAGACCCAAUAUACUUUUUGCCCAGCCAUUUGUAUGCAGAAGGGCAUCCAUUUCAUGGAGCCGGCUCCUGGGUCAAUUGCCUUUUUGGGCCGUGUUUAUCGUCUGGGUCAAUUGGCUUUGACUUCUUUUCUUUUGUUUUUUUUUUUAACAGAAACGGUAGAUAAUUGCCUUUGACUGAAUCAGAUUCUUUUUUUUGAAUUAGACUGAAUCAGAUUCUUAAAAAGAUAAUUGACAAGUGAGAAUUACCUUCAAGAUAAGUGUGAUUGAUAUGAAUGAGGAUCGGGACGGUUUCAGAUUGCAAGGGUCUAGGAAGCUUACGGGCUAAGAUUUGACCCAAAAAAAUAAAAGCAUCAAUUUUAACACUAUGUCAAUGUGUGAGGUUGAUCAAAAAGCUGUAUACAUUAAAAAAAAAAAAAAAAGAAGAAGAAGAAGAAGAACUAGCAUUCAAUUGAAUUAAACAUAUUGAAGUGUGUUCGAAUCAUAGAUUCGCCCGAUCAGAAGACCCUCCCUGUUUGAAUUGCUAUUUUUAGGAUUUUUUAUAAAAUAAUGUACUGUAGCGAUUUGACGUGGGUGAGAUAAAAAAAUAAUUAAAAAUAUAUUCAUGAAAAACAUAAAAAAAAUUUUGUUAGUGAAAAAUCACGAUACAAACAAGGCCAUGAUCGGGGAAGAAAAAGAAGGGGUGAGGUUGGUGUGGUGUGUCCCCCCGCCCCUGGGGGCUGGGUUGGUGAGUUUGGAAACGAAAACGGUUUUCUACAAUUUUGCCUACCGUUCGAGUCCCCUCCUGAUUGACACAUUUUCUCGCGCAAGCUUCUAGAUGAGGAAGAUAUUCUGUGCAUGAAGCUUUGCCGAUGUAAUUGUGUCGUUGACUAGGUCUGCAGCAUAACCCCGCAAGGAAGAAUCCCUUGGGCAUUAGUUGGAUGUGAAUGAAGAAGAAUCAGCGGGACUAGGUUGACUUGAGAAAUCAACUUUCACAACUUGCCAGAAAACUUUUUCUGAAGGAACUUGCCAGAAAACUUUAAACCCGAGUCAAAAUAGUAAUGAUUCCAGGCUUGCCAAUACUAACAAUGUGUUAGCCUGCCUGCUAACCAUGACAAUGACAAUGAAAUGAUACUUGGUACCUCCUAUUGAGUAAGUUUCGAGCAAAACCACACGUAUUGAUUUCUGAAAAUUGCACUGUUUCGAUAUCGAAAUACUACCUUCUUGACACAAGGUUUGUUAGAACUAUAUGAACACCUACCUGUUUUAAGAAUCAUGUAUGAAAUUGCUGAAGGAGUACUCAUUGUGUGCUCUUCGUUCUGUAAAGAAGCGUUCAAAUCACAUCUAUAACACUCCACGGUAUCAUCAAAGUUAAGGGAAGAUAAAUGGCAACUUACACGAAAUUAACCGAUAUUGAGUCGAUAGUUUCAAAUUGUACAAAUUAAUAGUCUAUCCGUACUUUCAAAGCUGGAAUUUUUUUCUGAAAUUGUUCGAGUAUCAGUUCUUGACACUUUUUUUUUUUUAGCUGAAGGGGGGGGGGUGUUAUUUUGCGAAUUUGUUGCGUAAUUUGCAUCCACCAGUAGAGUUGGCCAUCUGUGCAACCCAUGUGUGGUUAUAAAGCCCCACGUAAAUUUUCUGAGAGUGUCUCUCUCUCCUCUACAUCAAACAUAAUAAAGCAGCAACUAUUAUCAGCAAGGGAACAGCAGAAAUGAGGGUUCUACCUGUAUUUUCCUACUCUCAAUACUAAUCCUGCUUAAUUUACUGUGACACCAUACUAGUUGCUCAGUUGUUAGUCUUGACAUAUUUAGGACUCUAGCUACUAACUUCAAAUCUACUUGAGAGAAAAAGUAAAGAACAUGAUCUGAUUCAUCUUCUCUGCUCUUGCGAAGUCUCCUCAAAAUGCAAUUUCCACCUCUCACCACGUCUUUAAGCUUCCUCUCCUUCUGCAUCCCCAAGGGGGGGCCAAAAAAAAAAAAGAAGAACCACUUUACUAUCGCAACCUCAUGGAUCAAUUCAUGAAAACAUCCGCUAAGCCACUAAUACUCUUGAGAAUAAAUUCAAUUCAGAAUCCAAAUCAUCUUCUCCAGAAAUUACGAUUUCAAUCCAUGAAGCUGCACUCAUGCAAUUGAAGUAUAGUUAAGAAUGAAUACUUAUUAUUAAACGUAGAUAGAACCUUUUGAAGGAUGUUCUUGAUCUCCAUCAGAAGCUCCAAGUCGCCAGGAUUUUGAAGCGCUGGAGGUGCUCCUUUAUGACCUUUAGACAUUGCGCCGUUGCAAUGUUUAUCAGCUCGAACAAAUCGCCAAAAAAUUCUUAUUGAUUCCUCGAUGAUUUCUACCAUCAUGUCACUCGUGAUGACAUAUUCGGCUCUCUCUCCUCGUCUUCCCUUCCUUAAGUUGUCUUCUGCAGUAUCAGAAUACAUGACAUGCAUGUUGAGUGUGAUGCGAUUACCCAAAUUUUCUCGUAACGACACGUAACAAUGAAACAAAUAAAACAGAGUUCACUGGCCAUUGCAAUCAGCUAUAGCGAUUCUAUAGAUACCUCUGAUUACCGGAACUUGAAGAAGGUUUCGAAGUAAGCACCGACGUUUGACAUAACAUUGAACUCUUGGCCCCUGGAAAUGCUCGUCUUCUACGAAUCUUUGCAAGAGCACUUGAAACUGCUGAAAUUCUCCGGCAACUUCAUUAUACCGAUGAAUCCCACGUGGAUCAGAAUCCCAGAGAUCUAAGGCCUUCCCAUAUUGCCAAUGUAGGAAUUCCCACGAAAGGCACAUCUGUCCAACAUAGACCACUUCCAGAUCACUCUGCAAUUCCUUCACAAACUUUAUCAUUGGCUCAUUCUCACUGCUUUUAUGUUUGAGUUGCCAAAAAUUUUGUGAAAGAAGGGAUUUGAGUAUUGGACCUGAAGUUUUCGGACUUGAGAUUGGUUCAAGCGGAUCUUUCAGCUGGAGAAAACCUGUAAAUCCAAUCCACUGUAUUAGUUAGUUGGUUUUUUUUUUUUUCGGGGGUAAUGCGUAGAAAGGGGAAAAGAACAAAAUCAUAGAUGCUCUGCUCUUCAGUAUUAUUUUAGUUCUAAGAUUUCAUUAGCUAAAAAUUAUUCAUGAAUAUUAAUUACUACAUGGAUUUUCAAUGCUUUACUUACUUUUUAUUUGGACAACAACCCUCACCACCGAAUGACUAGGAAAAUGGGAACAUGAUAUGUCUCUUGCUGCUAAAAAGUAAUAAGACUUUAGAUUCAGGGUCUUAUUGUCGAGGGAGGAAAGGCUUAGACGAAGGCAAAUGAUAUGGUUUGGUUUGGUUCAAGGGACGAUGACAACUUGGGUAAUGCGUUGAGCCACUUCAGUGGUGGUCGAUUACUUAAAGAGCUAGAAAACAAAUGUGUGGUUGGAACAAAUCAGUUUCUUUUUAAAAAAUAACAGAGUAAAUUAUAGUAACUGCGUCUGCGUGCAUGCUUCUCACUCAGUCGAAUGAAUACAUCGUCUAAAUGGGAUGCCUAAAAUUUCAAUUCAAAAGGCAAAUACCAGUUUCUAACUUAAAAAGUGAGGGACAAAAAUGGGUUAGCUCUCCAUGCAUUACUCAAUUCAAUUGUCUAUUGCUUCUUGAACCAAACAUCCGCAGCCCAACCAGAAAAGAGGCCGUCACCAUCUUAUGAGGUGACUUGAAAACAUGGGAAUUCCUUGGCAAAAGGAGGUUUCAGACUACGCCUAUGGCAAAAGGAAAUCACUUUACUUCACAAGGCAUGGAUUGUCAAUUGAACUAGUAGUCAGUAUACGUUUCUUCUACAAGUUAAGGCUUUUUACACCUAAAAAGAAAAGCUGUUUCUGUCAUCUCACUAAUAUGCUUUGCAACUGAGCAAGACCCAUCAGUUUUGCGUUUAUAGGGACCCCAACUAACCUGAUUUUGUGGGUCAUGGUCGGAAUUAUGAGAAAGAUAGCCGGUGGGUAACGUUAUUCAUGAAAAUGAAUUAGCACUAAUUGGCACUCUAUAUAACACCAGCUGUGACUUAUGAUGCUAAUUGGCUGUUGGGCAAUAAUCACAAAGGACCUACGAAAAGCAAGAGGAAUAAAAAUGCAAUUAUGGCCAUGAUGAAUUGUUAUAAAAUCCAGUAAUCUAAGAAACUCUAAAAGAGAAUAGGGUUUUUUUUUUUCUUAAAAAAAAAAAAAGCUCUAAAAUAGAAGAAAAGAUGUCGAAGAAUUUGACUGACCUAUUGCAUACAUCUUCUGGUAAUUGAAGAUAUCAAAUUUCCGCAUCCUCUCCCUGUAACUCUUGUAGAACUUGUGGAGCUGGCCCAUGCAAUCUUCACGCUGGAACUUCUCGUCAAUUUUCCAGGGCUUCAAGUCUUCCGUAAUUUUGGGAAACUCAGAAUCCUCUAGAAUAGUGGGCAGACCAGUCGCCCUGACCUUUCUAAGCUCCAUCUUCAACUGCUCAAUCAAAUCUUGAUGUUCCCACAAUGUCUCCAACUUGUUUGGAUCCUCAAAGUCACACGUAUCCUUGGACGUCGCCUUUUCAGAGUCAUAAGAACCAUUCAAUGGCUUAUCAUCUUGGUCGGCCUCUGCCCCCAUUGAAUCUUCACGAAAAUCAUCCUCGGAUAAAAAUCGCGACGCCACUGCAUCUGGAUUACGUUCCAGAUCCUGUUCAAGUAAUUCUCCCUCUAGCUUCGAAAGUUCGCCCAAUAUGUCACUAUCUUCUUCACCAAAAUCGUCGGAUUCCCCAUCUUUGUCCCCAAAGUCUGCCGUUUCACCGCGUGUGGUUUUGACUUUCUCGCCAUUGACAUCCAUCGAGGCUUCGAGAUCAACAACACUGCUGUAUUCUUGUCCAAAAUCUUCGUCGGACAGAAAGCCAUCGUUGUACGAGUCACUCGUGACUGAAACUUGAUCGGGCUCAGAAUUGAUUGACUCUGAAUGGCCAUCACUUGCGAUCACGCAGUCUCUCUCAGUGUAAUCAAAGCGAAUCUCAUUGCGAAAAUCAUAAUCGCCGGUCUCCUGUGGUAUACAACUGGUGGCCUCAUUUUCCUCAGAUUUUUCUUCAUCACGCGGACCAUCGUCAACUGGCUUCUUCUUUGAUUGCACUUCAAAAGUUUCUGCAGCUUCCACGGUGAAAUGCUUAUGUGAAGCAGCAUCAAUUUCUUCGACGUUAAAGCUCUCGGAGGACAUGAAAAAAUCGGACUUACUAGAACUCGUAGAUGAGACCUGGUCAGAGUUGAAAAGUUCAGCGCUUUCUUUCUUACUGUUACUGAUGUAUUCUUCAAAAGUAGGGAAUCUGAAAGUGAAAGAGGUGUCAAAAUUUUCUCCCUCACAAUCAGCCUCGGAUUCCGUGAACCCAACCUCGUCCGUUUUUGCUUUCUUCUCCGGCUCGAAAUGUGAUCCAGUCUCUAGCUCCUUAAAUCCAACAUCGUUCAACUCCGGCUCCGGCUCUGUUUGGGGCUCUAAUGUAGGCUCUGACGGCACAUGUUUGAAAUCCUUCUGGUCGAUAAUCUCGGCUGAAUUCAUCUCAAAUUUUUGCCUCAAAGGGCUGCCAUUGCCAUGCAACCUGUAAUGGUAUCCAAUACGAAAUCACGUUAAUCGAUGAAAAAACUAUGCGAUAAACAAGCAAGGGGACAAAAGAUCUAGUAUUCCAAUACCUGAAGAGAAAAGGGCUGAUGAAGCUGAACAGAGGAAGCAGAAGUCUGGACACAGAGAAUAGAGAGGAUCCCACUAGGAGAACGAGUUUUUUGUACAGGAAUUGGGUGAAAGCACCCAUGAUCACUGUUCGAAAGAGGACCGCGAUUAAAGGAUGUAAACGCCAGGCCAGUCACCAUGGGCUUUAAAUCAAUCAGUAAAUUCAGUUGGAAGCAAAGAAACCGGGGGAAACAGAGCAGGAGUAGUUCAUGGAACUCAUGGCUCCUUUGAAUAAUUCAAGAGCGGACACGGACUUGAUACCUAUAAACAAGAACCAGAAACCCCGUAUCCCCAAAAAACUUCAACCAUUCCCAUCAAAAUCUGAGUCAGGAGACAUUGAAAUCCGACCUAAUUGGAGAAGUUUCAGGGCUGGUGAGAUUUGAAAGCAAAUAUUCAGGGGGGAAGAUAGUUACCCAUCAGCGACCAGGCCUAGGCGAAAAGGUAAAUAAAUAAUAAAAAAAAAAAAAAGAACACCCGCCGAGGGAGGGAGGUUUGGUUGCUUUGUUAGUGAGUCGUGUGACACCUUCACCAGAGAAACUGCUACAAUUAUGAACGGAUGAUAUUAGCAGCAGGGGAUAUCAUUUAUUUAUGAUGCUCUCAGUCUCAGCAGGAGAAUUGAAGGGAAUAGAAGAUUCUGUUCUAUUCUCUGUAGUUAAUAGCUAUCGGGGAGCGGGGGCAAUGAUAAAUCUGAGAAAGAUGAGAAAAAUGAAAAAGGUGGGUCCAUUAGAAAGUUUACGCCUUUACACUUCCGGAGGGGGGAGGACCCCGGGGAGGGGGGGGGGCGCUUGGUAAAUUAAAAUGUUGAUAUUUUACGUUAAUCUGACAUAAUUGGUUUUUGAGAUUUGUGGUGGGCACCAAGGGCUGGACCGCUUGCCUGGUUUCAUUGCAUUGAUUAUUGCACUUACCACUACGUCCUUUUCCAAGAUUAUAGUACCGGCAGAUGGACGAGUCACUUCCACAUUCCUUUUCCAGUUAUCACUUAGUUGACUUUCCUUUUUUUUUAAAAAAAAAAAAAAAAGCCACAUCCACAGUAUCAAAAUGUGAACGUUCAAUUCGUUUUUUUUUUUUUUUUGAAAAAAAAAAGGUUGGAGCUCGCGUUUAAUUUUUGUGCAUUCCUUUUUUUUUUCUUUCUUGUUUUUAAUUCCUGAGAACAAGACAAAGUUCAGAUAUCUCUCCUGUCAGCAAAUGCAAUACAAAUAGUAGACCACUUGAUUUGCCCAACCACCCUUGACUUCGUUCCGAAAUCCCAAAUCUGUGUGUUUUUGAGUUUUGAACAAAAGAAUCCGGAAGAUGUAAAUUUGAGUUUGUACGUAUUAUCUACAUACGGUGUGUAAUUAGUUGAGACUGGGAUAAUUUUCGUGAAUAAAAUGGGUCAAAUAGGAGUGUCGAAGCAAGUUUUUAGUCUUGGAAAACAAAAUCGCGUGCCCAAAACGAAAAGAAGAAACUCUCUGCAGUUUUAGGCAUUCACUUUACUUAACCUCAUUAGUGUCCAUAUCUAUAUAAUAUAGUAAUACUUAGAGGUGGCAAUUUGUCCCAAACCCCAAUGGGUUACCCAUGCCCAUUGAGACUUUGGGCGGGAUGGGUAUUGGAAUUUGAUAUUGGGUUUAAAAUGGGACAAAUUCCAAUUGUACCCAUUAUUUGAUGAGAAAUUUUGGAAAAUGCUUGGGUACCCAUUGGGCUCAAAUAGCAAGGGCUCCGUUUGGAUUAACUAUUUUUGGGGGGUAUUUUUGAAAUAUUUUAUUAUAGUAGUGUAUAUGAAAAAUUUUUACUAUAAAAUUUUUUUGAAAUAUUUGAUAUACUAAUAUGGAUGGGAUGUUUUUUGAGUUAUUGUAUAUUACUAUAACAUUGUAUUUGAAAAACUUAUUUUUUGAAAAAAUAGCCAAUCCAAACGGAGUCUUAGAUUCAAAAAUUAUCUUUAACAAUUUUUAUAGUCAUGAUUGUAUAUCUAUCUUUUUCUUUAUUUGUUAAUCCAAUUUUUGGUGAUAAUCCUGAGUAUAAAGCACUUGCAUGUUUAUUUAAUAAAACUAAAAGAAAUUUAAUAAAUAAAAAAUAUUAAAAUUAUAUAAAAAAUAAAAAAUAAAUUAAAGGAAAAAAAUAUGUAGAAAAUAUAUUUGGGUAUUGGGUGGAAUCAAUCUAAACCGAUCCCAAAGUGAUCCCGCCCAAGUUAGUCCCAAAACAUAUAUGGGUAAGGUUGGACCCAAACCCAUAUGACUCGGUUCCAUCUUAAACCCAAGCAAAUCCCACCCAUCCCGCCCAUUUUGCCACCUCUAGUAGUACUUAUUGGCGGGAGAGUUUUUUUUUAAAAAAAAAAAAUCUAUCAGAAGCCUCCAAAAUUCCAUUCUCUUUUUUCUACAAUUUUAUGUUUAUUUUAAUUCAAAUAUAUUAUUAAGUAACCCUUAUUCCUUUUGGGGCAUUCAAAUUUAAGUGACUCCACUAACUUCAACAACCAAAAUCCAAAUAAUUGAAAAUAACCGGCCACCACGCAAAUCACAUUUGCAAAAUUUUAAGAGUCCGAUUGAAUUACAGUUCCCACAAUCGUUUAAUAACUAAAUAAUAACACAAAGUCAAAAUCAUUCUCAAAAACUAACAAUCCCUAUCCAAUUUUAUUCCCAUUUAUUACCCACCCAAGCAAAACAAAGCGAGGAAAAAACACACUAUAUGUAUCAGCAUGGAGGGACCCCAGCUACAAGCAUUUCAACUACAAGAAAAUAAAUGGAGAUUCAACUUUCGAGAGGAAGAGAAAGAAAACAGGAGGAAAAAGAAAAAAAAUUUAGCAAAUCUCCUUGUGAAUUUUUUGGCAAUUAAAAAAAAAAUUUUUUUUUUUUGUGAUUGCAUGUUAGUGCUUAAUAGUAGUAUCAUCCCAUAUUUAGUUCAACCAAGAUCUAAAUGGGAAAACGACGAGAGUUUGGUCCAAAGUAUAAAGUACUUGGAAAUUAACUGUUGCGGCCAGAGCGGUCGUACUGUAGCAUGAGAAAUUGGGUUGAUUAGUAACAUUGUGCCUCUGGACAUGUCACACAAAUUACGGGGACAUAAGCACGAGUACAACUUCAGUUGAGUCUCGAUCAGUUGAUUAAAAAUACAAUACAAAGGGAAGACAGAAGAUGGAAAUAGCUCAAUCAGUUUUCAUUUCCUAUUAGCAAUGUGUGGUCCAAUAAUUUCUUUAAAUGGAUUAGAUAGAAUAUGUCUGCCAACCCGUCCAACUUUAAUAUUGAAUUUUCACUUAAAUGGAUUAUACCCAAUCCGUUCAACUUUAGAUUGGGUUAAUUUUGGAUUGGGUCAUAUUGGGUUAUCUCAAACCCAUGACCCAACAUAUUAAUUAAUACAUUUUAAUACAUAAACUUUUUCACAUACAUUUUAACACAUAAAAAAAAAUAUUCACACAUAUAAACACAUUUUCACAGACAUAAAUGUAUUUUCACACACUCACUUCUUAAGGUCCUUGAAAACUCAUCAUAAAUAGAAUAAUAUUUUAUAUUGCUUGUAUUGUGAAUUUUAGAUAAUAAAUUGUACAUUUAAAUAGAUUAGCUAAAAAAAAUGUUUACUUUGUACUUUUUAAUACUACUAAUUGAUUGAAACUUAUUUUUGUCACAACUUAUUAACACGUUUACUAUUCAUAUCUGCUUUAUUGUAAAUUGUAAUAUUCUAUGUAUUUAAAUUAUUGAAUGAUAGAUUAUAUUAUACUUUAAAAUGUAAGUAAGAAACAUAUAAUUUGUUGUAUACUAAUAUUGAAAUUAUAGAAAAUAAGUUUGUACUUUAGUCCUUAUAUUCUCAAAAAUUUUAUGAUUCAUGACUCUAGAAAUUUUGCAAACUGUUGUGAAAGUUCCAUGCAUCAGAACUCCAUUCUGAGGAUAAUAUGCAAAUUGCUUUCUUCCAUUAAAUGACUGGAGACAUUACUGCAUUUUGGUUCUUGGACUCGCUAAUUAAGAGGAGAAUUAAUUGUCUUACUGAUUGUAAGCUUCUCAUGAAGUUGAAGAUUAGAGGUAUUUGCUUUAGACGAAAUGAAAUCGUUGGACUAACCAUGCCCAAGUUGCUAUAAUUAAUCAAAACAAAAUAGAAUAUGCAAAUCAACUAUAUUGAUUCGAAGUUAAUAUCAUGAUCUAUAUACAUGUAAUAUAUAUUAGAACGUAUUUUUUUUUAUUGAUUUGAUACAGUUAGAUAAUUUAUCACCUGAUUAAUUAGAACAUUUAGGAUUAUACUUGAUGCUAUGGUCAUAUUAAUCUUUUAGAAUUACCACAGCUUUGAUAUAAAGUAGAAAAUAUUAUAUGCUUGUAAAAAGUAUUGGUAUUACUCCCAAAAAAUUUAUUAAGGAAAAUCCUAAACUUUUUAAGAAAUAAAUGAGAGGAGAAUUCAUGAACUAUUCUGACAUUUUUACCACAUCGGGAUCGCAUUAUUUUGAAUUAGCGAAAAAUUAGGCUGAUACAAAGUAAGCUUUUGUUUGUAAAUUUGAAGAAUCCGAAAUUAUAUAAUGCUAAAUUUUAAAAAAGAAAUUUGUACAAUAUUAUAUGUACACGAAAUAUUAACAAACAAAAGCAAUCACGAAAUAUUAAAAAUAAUGCAAUUAGAAUAAAUUUAAAACUCUAUUUUAUGUACACGAAAUAUUAACAAACAAAAGCAAGUAGCAACUUGAGAACAACUAAAAAAAAAAAAAAGGAAAAAAAGGGGAGGAAAAUAACAUAGUCUUAAAAGGCAUAAUAAAUUAUUAUAGAAGUUGAGCAAGUUUAACUAUUAUUAUAAGAGUAAAAUAAGCAUGAAUUUUUAUUUCAAGUUUUUUUUCUUUUAAAUAAAAAUUAAAAAAAUUGAUUGAAAAUAUAUAUAUGAGAAUUUUGAAUACAAAUUAAUCAAUGAAUUAUUAACACAUGUCUAAAUGCAAAUAGUUGGGCACAUGUGUAUUGAAUCUUGUAUUUAUUAUUUUGAAUUACUUUUAAACAAGUUGGGUAUUGGGUACUCAAAUAAAAAAUCCAACCUGCGCCAAUGAAUAAGUUGGAUUGUUCUUACCCAAUCCAAUAAAAUUCAUAAUCCAAUUGACCCAACCCAUCCUUUAAAAUUAAUGGACGGGUUGUUAAGUUUUGGACUUUUUUGCCAGCUCUAACUCUAAGAUAGAUGAUCAGUUGGUAGGCACUAGGCAGUAGGCAGGCAGUUUAUGUGAGGAGAAAAAACCCAGAAACUGAUAAUUCCCAUAUCAUAUGUGAUUGUCGACCCACAUUUGCGCGUUUCUUAUAAUAUCGUGUUCUUUUUUUUCGGUUAAAGCCGUGUUACGGUAAUACCAGCAGACUAAAGGAGAAGCUACGCUACUAUUUUCCAAAAAAAAAAACAAAAAGAAGAAAAGAUUACAGCAGCAGACACGCAUCACGCGUAGUCAAGAACAAAAACAAAACGAUAAUAAAUUGACGAAGAACUUGCCGCCUAGUAUUGGUAGCUUAAAGGAGUGGGAAAGUUAAAAGUUAAAACCGACAGCGUUGAGACUAAAAAAAGACGGCAAAUCUUGUGCUACUACUGACAAAAUUAACGAGAAAUCAGAAUUACUGGUACUGGUGGGAGUAUCUAAUAAGCCGACGCCGACCUCCUUGUAAGCAAACUCCUCGACGGCAACAGUUUAGUUUACUAUACAGAAGGCUUUCAUUGCAUGUCCUCCUUUAUGAACUAGUCAUCGUAGAAAAUUGAAAUGGAGACAAAUAAAAUUGGUGCACACAUAUUUCCAAACAUUCAUUUAUUGCAAGUCACGUUGUGGACUUUCUGAAGACAAUACAAAGGUCAAAGUCCAAGUUAAGGGCACCCGAGUGGUCUUAUUUUCACGCUUCUAGAUUCCAUCCAUUUUAAUCAAGCACUCUGACUCUUUUACAAAUCGACGUGGAAUAAACUCAACUCAACAAAAACUAAUCCCUCUUCACAUCUUGGCGGUUCUUAUUAAUUUACGCUUAUUAGUCGUACUGGUGCGUGUCUCAUUUUCAUCAUUUAGAACUUGCGGUGACAUCCGGGAGCGUUUCAAGGAUUUAUUGAUUUCGGCCGGCCCAGUUCCUGUAAGAUACAAACACACAAAUGGACCAUCUUGUUUUGUAGCUCUAUGUCUUCCCCACAAGUUUACUAGCCCAAUUAGAUAUCAUGAGAGGAAGCCCGUGACUCGGCCUCAGACAAGACACUUGACAAAAGUUUACAAAAUGUUCAAGCACAUUCUAGCCCACUCGUUAAAUCUCGGACAAUUGUUGCUGUAAGAUGUGCAAUAUAUUUUUUUUUCAAAGCUAUCCCAGAUGUGGUUUUGGUGGAACAUCGUGGCACGAAACUGUUUCGGUUUCCUUCUUAUCCAGAAAAUUUUUCCGUAAACAACAUAUCUUCUGAGAGAGAACACAUCUUGAAGGGUAGGUUUCAGUUUCAGAGCACAUGAUCGAUGAUUCGGCGCAACAUUGAAAGGUCAUGAGUCGCAUCAUGGGUAGGGAUGGCAACUGGGGCAAAGGACUCCUCUCCAUCCCUCGCCCCGCUGCCUAUUAAUUCCCCCCUCCCCGUCCCGUUCCGUUUCUCUCGCGGGGUUAAUAAAAAUGUGUUAUAUAAUUUUAUUAUAGUUAAAUUUUAACAAAUAAUUAAGUACUAAAAUAUCAACACAUCACCAAGUUAUUAUUCAUUGUAAUUUCACAAUUGUAACUCACAAAAACAAUCAAACAAAAGUUAUUUGAAUACAAUCCAACAUGAUGAAAUAUAACUAAAAUAGUCAAAUUUUUACUUUGGCACAAAUACAAUCAUUAAUUCAUUAUUGUGCUUGUGCUUUUUUUUUUUUUGAGAAAAAAGUGUUAUUGUAUUAAGUGUAAUUAGAAAUUUAGUAUAAAUGUAUUAGUAAAUUUAGUAUAACUAAUUAAAUUUCUAUUAGUAGAUAUAUAUAAUUAUUAGUAUAAUUGAUAAUAUCAAUUAUAUCACAUAUACUAAUAUACAUCAUAUAAUACAUAUAACUAAUAAUAUCAUUAUCAUAAGUUGUAACUAAUUAAAUUAAAUAUUAUAUAUAAUUAUAUACAUAUAUAUUUAUUUAUAUAUAUUUUAGCGGGUGGCGAAGCGGGGGAUAUACCCGGCCCCGUUUCUAAAUGGAGGGAAAAAAUUCCCUCCCACCUCGUCCCAUUAGCCCCUUGGGGCACCAUGCCUAAUCAUAGGCUUCCAUGGACCACAAUUUAAUGUGCACACAUGCUAAGAGGGUUUUCUCUCCUCUCACCAUUUCUUAUAAUUUAUUUUUUUUAGCCUUCCGGUUCAUCUCAUGUAUAUUAUAUCAUAGAAAAUAUUACAAUGUUAUAUCAAAUAAUAUUUUAAAAUAAUUUUCUAUUCAAACGCACCCAUAGAUAGAUUAGCCAGCCAGAAGGCCGCAACUUGGAAAGUUUUCGAUGAAGUCCAAUUUCAAUUUCUAUCGGGUGCCAUGAGCCAUGUGCAGGAGAAGCGUAGCAGCAUCAUAAUCAUUCGGUGGUGGUUGACGUGACGCGGGACAUACAAACCUAUGCGUUCAAGAAAGGAAAGGAAAUGAAAUGAAAUGAAAUACUACGAGUCUAGUAGUAAAAUACUACUUGUAUUUCUUUCAAAGAGAAGGCGACGGAGCAUUGGAUUGCGUGGAGUUUAGCGGGGCUGAAUAUCUCAGCAAGUCAAGGCAAUGGAGUACUGCAUCACAACUAUGGAAUUCUUACUAAUCAUUAUGCUGCUCAAAGAUGUUAACAGCACACCAAGAAAAAAAUGUAAAAGCAAUAAAAGAAGGAUGAUACUGGCUGCUAAUCCCCCUCAGAUUUCAAGGAGUUUUGGAGUUUGCAUGCAUGUGGGCCUGAAGUCUCUCCUGGGUCCUGAUUAACCCAAUAAGUUCAUUACAAAAUGUUGAACAGGUCAGACAGAAGCGUUUUCCUUCGAUAGGGAGGACCCUAGAUUUCCAUGGUUUGUCGAUUCAUUUUCCGAGAGGCCAAAGAAAGAGGCUUUUUAAUAAAAAGCCUAGUAGUUCAACAUUUUUUUUAUUAUUAUUAUUUUUUCACAUGCAGUUGUCAUUUAUAAAAUUCGAAUUUUAAACUUGACGGUAAAAAAGAUUCCAAAAGCCUUGGCCACCGGAUCGUCGAGUCGACCCCAAUGAUUACCUAGUACGUAUUUGAACUUUAGGAAUUGAAGCAGUUAGUCAUGAUCCAAAAUCAUGCAAGGGAAGUGUUCUUCUUUCUAGAUCAAUAUGGAAUUGUUCUUCUUUUUCCUUGAAAAUAAGUAGUGUUACACAAUUAAGAAGGCAGUGGUUCCAAGAUAAUCCUUCAAUAAUUGAAUAUAACUCUGUUGUAUUGUUUUGGUUUUGCACAUAUAACAUGCGUACGUUCAGACCCGUUAAUAUUAAGAAAAAAGACAUUUAUUGUAACAAAAAAAUACCGCCAUCUUUUCCCGGCAAAAUCUUAACUACACCCAGAGAAAAAAAAAAUUGUAUCACAAAACAGUAUAGUGGCAAGACCUUAAAUAGCAUUUGAAUUGGACGGACCUUCAUACCUAUAAAGUAAAUCGAAUUUACCUGGAUCCAACUUUCGGGGAUGCAAAGUCAUCCAAAGCAUGUUUGGUAUCCAAAGUUUCAAUUGAUAUCAAUCGCUUAUUAUUAUUAUUCAUAAUUGACUAUCUGCUCGUGUUGGAUCAGCGCAGCUAGGCUAAUGUUUUCCAAAGAAGAAAAAAUAAAAUAAUAAUGGUUUCUCUCUGCAUAAAACCGCCCAAGUUGUUAGCUUCGUAGAAUCAUUUCAAUAUUAGCGAGCUAGGUAUUGAGUCCCGCAUAAUUGUCCGGGGAGAUGAGUGAUAUUUUUACAGCAUCGGAGUGAAACUGUUAGAAACCUUGAAAGGGAGGUUUCUGAAAAAUUAUCCCUUCUCAAAGGGUAAUCGGUCCUUUUCCAUGAGCCGCAGGAUUAAUGAAACAUGAACAGAGGACUUGGUCGCCACACGGGAAUUCUCAUUCAAUUGGCCCACAUGCAUGGGGCAUGAUGAAACGAAAUAUUUUAGACAGAAACGUAUUCUGUCAUCUGAUUGGUUGUGGUUGACUUGGCGACGAGUCGCCCCUCCUCCAUCUGACCCAAACAUCUUUAUGUCUUUGAUCAAUCCUCCUCAAAGUUCAGGAUGUUUCGUGAUGAACCCUGAACAUACGUACAUACAUUACAAUACCCUAGCAUACAAUCAUUUCAUCCCAAGCCCAGCCAGCAACAUCUCGAAUCAACUUAAAUAUAUAUACAUAUCUGUGGGUGUGUGUAUCAUAGAAUCAGUAUAAUGUGUGUGUGUGUGUAUAUCUAUAUAUAUAUAUAUAUAUAUCUUCACCACCGCCAUCAUGACCAUAUCUUCUUGUUUUUACUAGGAUAGAUAUCAUCAUCAUCCUCGAUCACCGUCGACUUUACUAGUUUACCAACCAAUUUGAUCAUUAUGAUUCGUGAUGCACAAAUUGUAAAAGAGUUUUUUAAAUGUAUAGUUUUAGUUAUAACUCUCUUGUACAACCUUUUCUGCACCUAUUAAUGAAAGCAAUUUAAUGUUUUUUACUCAAAAAAAGGGAUAAAAAUCUGAGAAAGUUGCUCGUAAAAAAGAUUUUGAAACUUGUAGGAGAACUAUUCUAUUACUAGCUAGAAAUCGACUUUCAUUAGCAGUAGUACGUAGUUCAUACGAAUAGGUGACUAAGGAAGUUGGUUAAUAUUGCAUGGAAACCAUAAUUAGCAAGGUGAAUUGCAGUAAUGGAUCAUCAAUAAUGAAUCAGCACAUUGAAUGCUACGCGGUUUUGGUGAGGCAGAGAUUAGAGAAGAGGAGCUACAGACAGUCACCCAGCUGCUGACCUUAGCACAUUAGCUAAGAUGGAUGGAUGGAUAGAUAGGCCAUUGCAGUAAAUGCUCUUUCUCUUGCUUGCUGUCACCUUUUGACUCUUUGAAUACACCCUUUGCUUCUUUUAGGUCAGCGUUUAUAGUUAGGAGGUGGCGGAGGGGUUUCCUUUUUUUCUAUAUAUGCUUUGCAGAUCAAUAAAUCUUAGCGUUGGACAAUUGUCUCAGCUUUUCCCAAGAAGAGAAAAAUAAGCACGGAUCACGACUAGUGGUGCAGAAAUAGCUGUCAAAAUAGAGAAGAACACAGCCCCAAGUCCAGCAAAGUUUUAGGGUGCACCGAGGGAUAGCUUCUGAGAGGGAUAUCUCAGAAAGAGAUCAUCAAACGGUAUCACAGACUACAAGACAAAGGGAAGGUGAAUAGAGAGAGGGAGAGGGAGAGAUGGGUAGACCUCCUUGCUGUGAUAAGGUGGGAGUUAAGAAAGGUCCAUGGACUCCCGAGGAGGAUAUAAUGUUGGUCACUUACGUUCAAGAACAUGGUCCUGGCAACUGGAGGGCUGUUCCUGCUAACACAGGUUUCUUCAACUCUUCUGCUUACAUUAAUCUCACAUAUUCUUUCUUUCUUUUUUUUUUUUACUACAAAUUCUAAAAUAUUUGGAUGCAGAAUUCUGAUUUCUGAGUUUGGUUUGCUACAUGAUUUUGACCCGUCAGGUUUACGUAGAUGCAGCAAGAGUUGUAGGCUUAGAUGGACAAACUAUCUGAGGCCUGGGAUCAAGAGGGGUAACUUCACGGAUCAGGAGGAGAAAAUGAUCAUUCAGCUUCAAGCCCUUUUAGGGAACAAGUAUGCUUCUUAAAUUUCUAGCCCUUCUCGUUUUUACUGACGAUAAUGAUAACGUCGUUGAGCGUUUGGGUUCAAUGUAUAUAUGAAACUGGUGUUUUGGUUUGGGUACAGGUGGGCUGCGAUAGCUGCUUACCUGCCUGAGAGAACGGACAACGAUAUCAAGAACUUCUGGAACACCCAUUUGAAGAAGAAGCUUAAAAAGCUUCAAACGGGCUCAGACAGCAGCUCCCCAAGAAACGCGUUGUCAUCUUCCCACUCCAUUUCUAAAGGCCAGUGGGAAAGAAGGCUCCAAACUGAUAUCAAAACCGCCAAACAAGCCUUGCACGAUGCCUUGUCAUUGGAGGGAUCUAUCCCUGCGCCUGAUUCCAAGCCCUGCGAUGGUCAUCUGUCUUACACAGAACCUGGCCAAGGAUCGUCUACUUACGCAUCAAGUACAGAGAAUAUAGCAAGAUUGCUCAAGGGUUGGGUCAAAAAUCCUUCACCUCGUAAAUCUGAGCAAUCAAAAUCUUCCAGCACUCAGCAAUCGUUCUGCAAUGCCGCCACGGAUUGUACCUCCAGCGAUGGGACUCCUAGUGCCGAGAGCAAAAGCGGAAUAGAUUUAUCCGAAGCAUUUGAGUCCCUUUUUGGAUUUGAGUCUUUCGAGUCUUCAACCUCUGAAUUUUCUCAAUCCACCUCUCCUGAGGCCAGCAUUUUCCAAGGGGAAAGCAAACCGGACCAAGAUGGGGCACAAGUUCCAUUCUCUAUGUUGUUGGAGAAUUGGCUGCUCGACGGGAAAGAUGAUUUGACUAACUUCUCAUUCGAUGAAACUGCAAAUUUGUUUUAGUAGUAAGAAUUCUCCUUUUGAUUCUUGGUGAGAUAUUGAGAAUUAACUCUUACCAUUAUCUUGUUAAUUUUAGGCAUUGACAUUUGAACGCUUUUUUUGAGUCCUAGUGUUGCCCGCCCGUUACAGAUUUAAGAGAUUUAUUAGUGAAUCAUCUUCUGUGCCUUGAAACUCGUGUGUAAAAGCUAAUUAUGCUAAGUGAAUACAAUUCUAGCUCUUGAUUAUACAAAUUGCACCUGCUAACAGUUUUUACUUUUUACCUUUUACCGUUAGAAAGGAAAUUUUACCAAAAGGAUAUAAACCAUUUAGGUUUAUCAUGUAUGGAAUGUCACCCUCUUCGACAGAAUAGACAUCUGCAACAAUUAAUUCUUGAAACGAUGAUUGAUCCUAUCUCAGAAGGAAAACUUUAUUUUGUUAGUAUACAUACUUUGACAUGCCAAAACAAAAAAAGGGUACUUGCCUUUUACUGCAGGUUGAAUUCGUAGGCAGAUUGGCACUUACUUUAUGUUGAAAGGGUUACUGAAAUGGCAAAGUUUGUAUAUAUUUAGGAGGGCAGAUUGAACGCUACAUAAAGGGGUCAUAGAAUAUUGUGAGUGUUACCUGGAGUUAGUAGAAGAUGUUUUAUUUUUAGUACCAUCUGUUACAAACUGGUAUUGAUUUAAAGAAGACGAACAGGCUGAUGAAACAAAACUAGAAGCACCAAGAUCUUCUUCUUUUUUAACCCAACUGAUAAUAUGAGAGCGGUUAAUAGUAAAUACUGAAGCCAAAACAAAUGGAGGAUGGAGAGCUGUGGGCUUCAGUUUCAGCUUAACACUCAAAAAACCAGGCGAGAAAUAAAUAAGCAACGAAAAAGCAGUGGCUGAAUGCCCUUUUUGCGUCUUAUCUGAUGUAUUAGUUGAGGACAAAAUGGUCUUUCUUAUACUUUCUGCCUAUAUACUCUGCUUAAUUCCAUGCCUCGUAUCGUAUCUAUUUACAGCUUAAAAAGAUAAACGGGUUUGAACAGAAACUUGUUAGGCCGCUGAUCCGUAUCUGAUCCCCACGUCCAACAAAAAAAAAAAAGAAAACUCACAAGUUGUAGUGUUUCAAAGAAGUACUGUACUACUAAUUUGAAAAGGAUGGACUCUUGUUUUCUUGAUUUACUAGUGCUGGACAGGUUGUAGAAAAUUAAUUAAUUGUCAGAUUAUUGUUUGAGGAUGUGUGGAUAGCAAUCUCCUUGGACAUCUACAGUUCAGCCUUAAAUGCUUACAUGUGAAGUGUUUGAAUUCUCAUAAAAAAGCAAAAAAAAAAAAAAAGAAGUGGCUUGAAGCGCCGCAAUAGGAAGUUAUCCUACCUGUAAAACCAUACACUUAGCAUCACUCUUUGCCAAUUGGUCCGAGUCAAUUCACGGCAACAGUUAAUUGGAAAUUUUUUUUUUUUUUUGUUGUUGAUAAGAGAAUCCUCAGCCGCUCUUCGAGAGUAUAUACUAGAUAAAUUCAAUUUCGUACGAAAACUCGCCAACCACACAAAGGAAUAAGACGCAUUAAGCAGACCAUGUGUGAUAGACAGAUGUUUUAGGAGAGAUUUGAAUUCAGAGUGGUCAGAAAGACAUGACACCAACUCUACUAUCUUGACCAAUUUAAGAGACAUUUAAUCACUAACUUAACCCCUUCUUAGUUGUUAAGUAACUGAUUCCAUUUGGAUUUAAGUUACAUGAUUUUUUUUAAUUAGUAUUCCCAUCGUACCAUUUAUUCAGUCAUAUUUGGGGAAUCCAAUUUUUUAAGAAUAAUAGUUUGAUUGUAAUGUUUAUGCUUCUCUUUCUAAUUUUAUCCCCACAAAUUCAUAAUUUAAAUUUGAAUAGUAACAUGCAUAUGAUUAGAAAUAAGGGUUAUAUUGGAAAAAGAGACUAAAAGGGUGUUUUAACUUUUCUGACAUGAUAAUUGUUUCGAGACAUUCCAAAAUAGAAAGUACAACACUUUCAAUGGGACGGAAGGAGUAUUUUUGUGAUAUGAUUUAUAUGAGUUAAAAAAAUGAAAGAAACUUGAAACUUUGUGUUUAGAAAAUAAUUGACAAAAUUUUCCCCAAAUAAUAAUACAAAUUAACAAGCAGAGAAGAGAGGCAUUGAAAACCCAGAUGGAGAGAGAUAUGGACGCUGACAAGCAGAGAAGGGGAAAGUAUUAAACUUGAAGAGUCGAUUCAAGAAUUGUCACAUGGCAAGGGACCCUACUUCCAGCAGCCAAUAUCUCUUACGGGUGGCGCAUCCAUGGCAUCGCCUAUGGGCAGCUACAGCAAACAAGCAACGCAAGGACGACAGAGGCAUGUGCCCCUCCAAACGAAUUGGCCUUGUUAUGUUAACCACCGUCACCCAGUCACCUCCCCCUGCUGUGCUUGUAAUUGUAUUAAGUGAGAGGCACGUGCACCCUUUACGCUUGGGACUGUUCAGUACACAUCCUUGUUCGUUGUUCCAUUCAGGUAUCCUUUUUCCCUUUCUUUUUAGGGUAAAUUAUCCAUUUGGCCCUUGAACUUUUAGUUUAAAUAAAAUUAAGCUCCUUAACUAUUUUUAGGUAACUUUUAGUCCUUAAACUUGUAAAAUUGUGCACCCGUGACCCUUUUGGCCAGUUUAUCCAAUUUUGCAACCGAAAAGUCAAUUAACACACGAAUGGCAAUAAAUUGAGUGGGAGGGCAUUUUUGUCCACAUAUAUUCUAAGCAAAAGAGAACAACUUCUCCUCCUUCCCAUUUCCUAACCUAGUUGGUGGUGAUGGCCAGAGAACCUUUCUAGCAGAAGUGAGAUCCCGAUGAUGGGCAGCUUCAUUUGUCGACGGCGGUAAUGAUUGCCACUGCUAGUUGUAGUAACAGGAAAGGAGAAACAAGAAUAGCCGGAUCAACAAAAUUCAGCUGCAUUCCCACAUUUCAAUCAGCUACUCAACUGUAGUCCCUCCUACUAUUACAACUAGCAGAUUGAAGGGAAUUUAGAAGCGGAUUGCGGAAACAGGUGGCGGUGGUGGGGUUAGUUGGUUGUGGGAAUUAACAGGCAGGCGUACUAAAUCAUCGAAUGAUUGAACAAAUUGGAAAGGCGGGCAGCGGUAAAAGAGUACUCUAUACUCUUUGGAAAAUCACAAUCAAAAUUAGCACCGCCUCCGGCCGGAGGGGGCGGGGGGAUUGGUCGGGUGUGUUGUUAGAAUGUUAGUUUUUCGGUUAUGGGUUUGUGUAGUGGAAAACUGGAUAGCUAUUACAUUUGGGGAGGUGGGGGUGGGGGUGGUCCUCCUCCUCUGAAGUUUCAUCUUCAUCCCCAGACCUAUUGAAAUGGUAGUUGUGGAUUGCUGGUGUGGUAGCAUCGCUCACCCGUUCCCGUUAGAAGGAAGGAGAAAAACAGGAGGCUGCGGAGGAGUAGUUCCUUUUUUGCUUAGAAUAUGCGGACAAAAAUGCCCUCUCACUCAGAUUACUGCCAUUCGUGUAAAUUGACUUUUUAGUUGUAAAAUCGGAUAAACUGGCCAAAAGGGUUAUGAGUGCAUAAUUUUACAAGUUUGAGGGCUCAAAAUUGUCUAAAAUAGUUAAGGGACUUAAUUUUACUUAAACUAAAAGUUCAAGGGCCAAAUGGAUAAUUUGCUCUUCUUUUUAUCUUCUCUUUUUCCUCCUCAUUUUUCCCAAACUAGAGUUAGAAGUAAGCGGCUAUGGAUUAAUGGCUCCCUAUGGAUUAGGUGAUUUUUUAGUUGUUUUCCAAAACAUUUUGUUGUAGCAUUGUCUAGGAAAAAGUUGCACUCUAAUUAUUUAUUAGGGUGUCUUUAAAAUUUAAAACUUUAUUAGAAUUUAUAUAUAUAACACCUAUCACAUUCCACCACCCCUCUCCACCGCCACCACCCCUUCCCUCCGAUAGGGGAAGGAUGAGUUAGGUGUUAUUCAUACCGGAACAGGGAGUUCCAAACCUCUCACUUACUUAAAAAAAAAAAAAAAAAAAAAAAGGUCCAAUUGAAAUACAUUAAAAAAAUGGGCUGCCAUAAUAGUAUAUUAUCAUGACGUCAAAUCACUGCAAAUCAAAAGUAUUCUGGAUGCAUCAUCCCUAAAUAAUUAUUUUGGUUUUGUCCUCUCAAUAUAACAACAACCAAAAUAAACAAAGACUUUUUAUGUUUUGUUCGCUUAAAAAAAACACGAGACAAGUGAUACCACAAAAAGAUGAUAGGGCUUACCAUGAAAACUCUUAAAUAACCAUUGACAUCCUAAAUUGUAUGUACUUUUAGGGGAAAAAUAUACGUUGUUCAAAAAGCGCUACCAAUCCCAUUUUUUUACUAUGGCUUUAUUCUCAAUUGAUUUUUGCUUUUUUAUUUUUGAACAAUUAUUUUGUUAUACUCUCAACUAAUUUUAAAAAAUUGAUUUUAGAAUUUUUGGGCUCAAAAAAGUUGAAAUCAGAAGAAGCAAGCCGUGACGUGCUUUUGGAUCUUGAUUCUGGCCUAUUAUUUUAUGUAGACAGAAUUACCCUUCAAAUUUCAGUAUAAUUACUAAACUAUCUAAAAAUUAUAUAACCUUUUAUGGUCUUUUUAUUUUCUUCUUAUUCUUGUCUCACUUCCAAAUUCAUCUAUGCGACUCUGAUUUUUCUCAUCCACCAUUUAAUCUUUAUAAGAAAAGUAAUUAAUUAAAAAUUAAUUAAUUAGCAAAAAAAUUUAUCUAUGUAGCAUAUAAGGAGCAACGUGGUCAUUUUCUUAUCAAAAUAAGCUUUUUAACAUUCUUUAAGAACACCUAUGCAUUUAUUAAAAUUGCUUUUUUUUUAAACAAUAAACGAUAACAUAUAAAUUAUUUCUAAAAAUCUUAUUUUUCAAAAAUCAAUUUUACAAAAUCAGAAUUAGUUGAGAACACACCCUAUGUAUCCCUAGGCCACAAAAUAAACUAACCCAUAAAUAAGAUUCGAGUACACACCUCUUCUCAAAAUUCUAAUAUUCAUCGUCUCUCAAUUUCCUUUUUUCUUUUUGUUGUUAUUUUGACAUAUAAAGCAGAGCGAAAUUGCAUUUCUAUCACUACUUUUUAAAAGAAGGAAAGUGUCGGGAAAAUUGUGAUCUUGCAUUUGAAACAAGUGGAAAGGGGCGAGAUUCCCCUCAGACUAAUACAUGGAAAUUUCUAUUCUGUCAUUUGUUUCUUUAGUCAGCCCGCUGGCCUGCGAGCUGCCCUCAAAGGCCUGAGCCCGAGGUGCAAGAUCUGUCUUUGGAUAAAAGUGGAAGUUGAGUGAGGCACUAGGCCCAAAUGAAUUGAUACAAACUCUUAGCUAUGGGCCUUAAUGCACCAUGGAUUAAGGUGCUCUCCUUUGUUGGAUGUUGUUGUUCUUUUUGUGGGUUGGGCUAGUUUUAACUCUGGGAGUUAAAACUCAAGAUCCAACUUAGGUGAUAGGUACAAUUUUCAGAUGACGUGAGGUUCCAAUCAUUAAACAUUUCUUGUUCUUCCGUUUCUUGUAAAGUUUGCAAUCUCCCUUCCUACCCAAAAGAAAUUAUGCAAGAUUAACUUUCUCUAAACUAAAAUUUCAUAGUGAAAGAUUUCAACGUUGGAUAAUUUUUAUCGGGCAUUAUCAUACAAAAAAUUGAAAUUUUCAAAACAAGUAGAAAGCACAUAAAAAAGAUUUGGUAGAGAUAUUAAUAAGACAUAUGUGAAGUUUCUAGUUCGACUCAAGAAUUCUCUUGUUGUAAGCUUUGUAAUCUCUCCUUAACAAAAGAAAAAGAAAAGGCGAGCUUUGGAAAUUUGUUUACUUAAACAGAAGCGACAAUGUUAAUGGCCGGAGAGAGUACAUUUAAUAUGUUGCUCUCUUUUUUCUUCCGACCAAUGGAGUACUUUUUUUUUUUUUUUUUUUUUUUUUGAGGUUUGAACACAGGUCUUUCCAUUGUAAACACUAAUUAAUUGGUCGAACUCAAAUUGAUCAAAUCUGGGUCGUUCAUUCAAAAUUUUUUGGUUUUUGUUUAAUUUGAAUUGGAUAGCCUAGUUCUGGCGAAUUUGAGCUAGCCGAGAUUGAAUCCUUAAUCAUGAGAUGCGAUUGUUGGCAACCGCAUAAGUCCACGAUCAGUUUCACUCUCACCACCGUGACAUUAGUGGCCGCAUGGAUGAUUAUGACAGAGACUAACUGAUAGAAUAUAAUCAGUAACAAUUGAAUAAAAACAAUAAAAGUAAGACAAGAAAAUUCAUAUAUUGCACACAGUGAAUGUGCAUUUCAUAUGUAGGUUGUAUAUAUUCAAUGUGGAAAACGAUUUUUUCACUGUGUGUUUAAUUAGAGAGAAAAAGAAAAGAAGUGAAUCUUCUUUUUUUUUUUUUCUUUUCCUUUAAAAGAAAAAAAUAUAUAUCUAACGUAUUAUGUAGUUUUAGUAUAGUAGCAAGAAGGUUUUAUGGGAUCUCAAGAAAGAAAACACAAGAAGGUUUUCCUCUGAACGUCGUCACUAGUUGAUACAACUGAAAGAUCGAAGAAGGUUGACGCUCUUGAGUUGCACCAGGGCUUUCUCAGCAUUGUCCGCUGUUACAAAUGAGAUCCAAUUCGUGAACCGCGUUUGCUGUUCGACUACUACAAAAAACGAGAUAAUUUUCUAUUCGAAAUCCCGAAUCAGCAUUUUCCUGGAAAGGCCAAGCGAAGAAGUGAAGCAACUGAACUACUCUGCAUCAGUAUUGCGUCGUUUCCUUUCAUAUCUGUCAGGGCUCUCUGGCCCUAAUUCAAAUUGUGUCUGUGUAUCUUCUUCAAUUGUAAAACCAUUUGAGCAUUUGCAAGCUGAAUGGAGAUUGCCAUAAAAAACAUAGGAGGAGGUAUCUUCUUCUUCAUCUGAUAAAUGUUGCUCGUUCUGUUGUGUACGUAGUGCAAUCUGCUUUAAUUAAUUUGAGCUUUUAUGUUGAUUCGAAAAACGCAAAUCGAUGUUGCCAAAACAACACAGUCGUACAAUCUUCUUAUCUUUGAUUACGAGGAUAUCUCAAACUAAGGAAAAGAAAAGGAAAAAAAAAAAGGAGAAAACUAGAUGAGGCCUCGAAGAUUAUGGCCUUGUGUCGUUGUUGAUAUGGUUUGAGGCUGGUCCACAAUCACUGUUUGCUUCGGGAUUAAGAAAGCCAUCAAAGUGAUGCAUACUGUGAAUGCACGAUAUGGUGAACAAACAAAUACAGAAAUGGGUGUCCUGUUUGUCAAGUUGCAUCAAUCAACGCCAAACUUUCUACAACUAAGUAAGCAUUUCCCCCCCACCCCCCUUUAGUUCCAUAAUUAAUUAAGACCAUAAUUAUUGUCCUGUUACAGUGAUUUGUUUUGUCAAAUCAGAUUUAUCCGGAAACCAAAAGAAGGAAAAGCUGGUUUAGAAGCCUAAGAUGCUCUAUUAAUGGUCCCAAAAACAGCUACGACGGUAAAAUCUUUUUCUUGUGGGCAUCAAAUUUUGGAUGGGUUGGGUUGGUGAGAAGCAAAUUUGCCCUCAGCUUUCAUCAUUCUCCCAAAGCACAAUCAUGCUUGUGAGUCUCUGUCAAACUUCUACUCUGUCAUGAAUCCAGACUAACUACCUGCUUUGCCUGUCUUAAUCACCAUUAACCCCCACUAACUACUGUCCUGAUCAAACUGCGUUACUCACCCCCUGCAGCUUUCCUGUUGGCUGUCGUACCCUUACAUUCCACUUAGCACCUGUCACCUCCAAAACAAAACCUUGUACCCUCACUCUCAUCUGGUACUAUUUUUUUCUGCACUACCAACGAUCCCAAUUCCUGAUGAAACUAAUUUCUGACUUUGGCACCUGCAUCAGAACGAAAACUAGCAGCCUUAAUAUUUAAGAACCCAAGCCUGAGGAAUUUUUUUUCUCUUUGAAAGAGCUACAGGUAAAUUAGUAUUCGAAAUAGGAUUAAUUUUGUAUAUAUUGACGGAGUCACGAUGUAUAUACUAGAGAAUAUGGAUGCAUAUCACGCGUUAAAAUUUGAAGUUUAAAUUCAAAUCAAGAUUAAAUGAUAUGCAUCCAUAGAAGUUAGUAUAUACAUCGACAAUAUAUUUAAAAUCAAUCCUUCUUUGCUUUCCUCUUAUACUAUUGAAUGAGCCGUUUUCUUUUCCUCUUCCUAGUUAAACUAGGAUGAUUAAUAUAGGCUCAUCUUGGAUUGAGAGUUAUUCUCACUGACUACCUUUUUUCUGUGAAAUUUAUAGUAACAAACUUCAAAAAUAAAUCCAAAAACACACUCUCAAAUUCACUAAAAAAUAAAAAUAAAAUGAACCUUGAACUUUAUUUUUUCUUCCACAUGCCACUACCACGGGCGUUCAUCUUUUUUCUUCUUCUUCUUCUUCUUCUCUCCCUCUCUCCUUCCUCUCUUCUCUCUCUUCCUCUCUAAUGCGCUAGCCGUAAACAAUCCAAACGUGACCAGAGAGGAGGAGUAAGGGGAGAGAGGGAAGGAUGGACCAAAGAGCUCUCUAGUUGUGUUGCUCACGAUCAUAUCUAGUUGCAACUAGCGUGACCACAGAUAGGGGAGGAGAGAGGGUUGUAGAUGGAAGGAGGACCGAAAGGUCGGUGGUAACACCGGAGGAAGGUAGGGAUGGUGGUGGGUAGUGAAACUUUUAAAAAUAUUUCAUUAAAAUUCGAAUUUAAAAAAUAUCCUAAAAUACAUCUAGAAAAAACACUUAAUUCAAACAAAUAAUCUACAUUAGUUGUUUUUCACAUAUUUUGUUAUGAUAAAAUUUUUGAAAAACACUCUAAAAAGACAUCUAAUCCAUACGUAACCAUAGUUAUAGUACAUUUUUUUGGGUGCAUGAACGAUGACAUGCAUCUAUGCACACAACUCGAUGUGUUCGAACCAAAUACUCCCUCCGUCCCACUUUGAUAGUGCUGUUUUUUUUUCACACAGUUUAAGAAAAAGUAGUUAACUUUGUUGGAAAAAUAAAUUUAGAUUGCUAUUUUUCUAAAAUACCCUCACAUUAAAUAGAGUACAAUUUUAUGGGAAUUUGAAUUGAUAGUAAAAAAAGAAUCAACUCUCAUUAAAUGGGGUAGGUUUAUAGUAACAAUAACUUACAUUGAAUAAGGGCAUUUUAGAAAAAUUAAAAUGCAACUACAUUCUUCAAUUGGAAAGCAGACUACAAUUUGGGACAGACGAAAAAUGAAAACAGAACUAUCAAAGUGGGACGGAGGGAGUAUAAUUCUUUUAACUACAUGCUUGAAGUCUUUCCUACUACUUCCUGUGUAUGUUCAGAAUUUCUUUAAGCUCUCCCAGAGAUCUCUGCAUUUACUUAUUAAUGCUUUGAGCUGUCCUUUGGAAUGCGCAGUAGGGCAACUAACUACAAGGGGCUAGAAAGUGAGAGAGAAAAGUUCACCCCAGUAAUUAUUCCCUCCGUCUCACUUUGAUAGUUCUGUUUCUUUUUUCACACAGUUUAAGAAAAAGUAGUUAAUUUUGUUGGAAAAGUAAAUUUAGAUUGCUAUUUUUCUAAAAUACUCUCACAUUAAAUAGAGUACAACUUUAUGGGAAUUUGAAUUGAUAGUAAAAAAAGAAUCAACUCUCAUUAAAUGGGGUAGGUUUAUAGUAACAAUAACUUACAUUGAAUAAGGGCAUUUUAGGAAAAUUAAAAUACAACUACAUUCUUAAAUUGGAAAGCAGACUACAAUUUGGGAUAGACGAAAAAUAAUUUGGGACAGACGAAAAAGGAAAACAGAACUAUCAAAGUGGGAUGGAGGGAGUAUAAUUCUUUUAACUACAUGCUUGAAGUCUUUCCUACUACUUCCUGUGUAUGUUCAGAAUUUCUUUAAGCUCCCAGAGAUCUCCGCAUUUACUUAUUAAUGCUUUGAGCUAUCCUUUGGAAUGCGCAGUAGGGCAACUAACUACAAGGGGCUAGAAAGUGAGAGAGAAAAGUUCACCCCGGUAAUUACUUCCUCCAUCCCACUUUGAUAGUCCUGUUUCUUUUUUCACACAGUUUAAGAAAAAGUAGUUAACUUUGUUGGAAAAGUAAAUUUAAAUUGCUAUUUUCCUAAAAUACCUUCACAUUAAAUAGAGUACAACUUUAUGGGAACUUGAAUUGAUGGUAAAAAAAGAAUCAACUCUCAUUAAAUGGGGUAGGUUUAUAGUAACAACAACUACAUUGAAUAAGGGCAUUUUAGAAAAAUUAAAAUACAACUAUAUUCUUUAAUUGGAAAGUGAACUAUAAUUUGGGAUAUACGAAAAAGGAAAAUAGGACUAUCAAAGUGGGACGGAGGGAGUAAUAAUUAGAGGGGAAAAGAAAAACCAUUGACUUAAUACUCGAAAGCAGCUUUUACGCUGAGUUUAUGAGUUCAUCGAAGGCCGCCAAAAAGCUAAUAAACGUGGACUUUGUUAACUGCAUCAGUCGGUCAAUGUACAUAGCUUAAAAUAAAUAUGGUACAUGUUUACCUGGAAAGUCGAUCCGACGUCGAAUCAGCAGAACAGGGAUCACUCCUCUGCCACGACAUACAUAGCCACAUAGGAGAAAUGACCGCUGGUGUGUAGUAUCAACCAUCAACUAUCACUUGUCGGAAAUUUUUGUGAAAUUUGCAUUUUAUCAUCAAAUUAAAGGAUUUUUAUCAGGUAUUUUAUAUACAUCUAACCUAUCAUACGGAUAUCUAUUCAUAAUUAUUUUCUUUAGUUAAUUUUACCUGAAUCCUUAAAUGACAACUUAAUAAUUAGUCACUGGAUACUCAUUAAACAGAUUUAAAAUCAAAGCUGUGUCAAGUCGAAUGUUUGGUGUUUUUGCUCUCAUCGAUCGAUGACACUCAGGAAAUUAGUGUUCCAAAUCUCCAUAUUAUUGUAUUUGACCUAAAAAAUUCUUAUUAUUCCUGUAUUCUUUUUACAAAUUUCUACAAAAUAAAAUAGGAUUAAUACUUUAAAAAAUCGACCGUUUGACAAACAAAAAACCAAUAGAGAUAUGUAUAGACUACAGACGGAAUGAUUAAAAUUUUGAUUGAAAAAGAUUCAAGUUAUUGCUUUGAAGACAAUGAUGCAUGCGAAUAUUUGCCAUCAUCAUUACCCAAAACAUUUGAUUGAUUGGGACCGAGAGAGAGAGAAAGCAAAGGACAUAAUCCACAUCCCGAGAAACAAAUCUCCAUCCACUUCGAUUCAUUCGGUACUGACGGCCACGUUAGAUUUUGGUGUUUCCGUAAAAUUAGAAGGCCAACGGAUCGCUAACCCAAAAAAUUGUUACGCCAAAACAGAGUAUGAACUGUUUCCAUCGUUAUCAAAAUAAUAGAGUGCGAGUUAUUGACGGAGCAAAUGACAAAUAGCCUCUGACAGAAAAGGUUGAAUCGAAUUCGUUGGAUUUAGUGCUUCGAUUGGAGUGCUAAUCGGUCAUUGUGUCCUUAAACCUAAGUGCAUUAGGCCAAGAUCUUGUGCCUCUAGCUGAACCGUAGCAUCUGCAUUUGGAAGCUUUUUUUUUUUUUUGUAACUGACAAAUUUUCAUUGUAAAGAUCGAACCCAAUAAACCCCAUCCUAAUAAAGUUGUGAUCAUGAUUUUACAGGGAAUCUUUUAGAGUUUGAUCAGUAGCCAAUAGCGAUAAGGCGAGUCACGUACAUCUCCUGAAAGUUGAAACUGAAUGUCAAAGCAAAGAAUUCCUCGAGGGGACCGCUUUCCGGGCACAAUUUUCCCUCCCUCCAUAUGAAAUAGGAAAAAUAGUAACGCCUUUUAAAAAAAAUUAUUAUUAUUAUUAGUAUUAUUAUUGCCAAAUUGACUCGUGGUGAGUGUGGAUGUAAUUGGAUAUAAUUUUUCUUCUUCACAUGGAGAUUGUAGACUUGGAACGAGCUCCACCAUCAAUUAGUGAGGGCGGAAUAGCUUAUUAUAUGUUUCCCCUUUUGCUUGUUUUUGGUCCUAAACGUGUGGUUGUGAUUAAAAAAAUAUAUAUUUGAAUUAAUUUUGUAUAUUCACUAACAAAUAUGGAUGCAUGUUAUUGAGGCCGUGUUUAAUAAUUUAAUUGAACCCUUCAUGUUAAUGAAUUCAAAUAGAGUAUUAAUAUGCUGAAAUGUGUUUAAUAACAAAACAAUAAAAACGUCUUAAUUAUUUAAGUGCUUCUGAAUUGUUUAUGCAAAAUUUACUGAAAGCAAUAAGUGAUACAUUAUUCACUUAUUACUUAAUGCAGAAUGCUUCCAAAUAUUAAGAUUUCAGUAACUAACAAUUCAGCAAUUAAAUGAAUUCAGAUUAAUUUCAAAUACCCUUAAUUUUUAGUUUGAAUUUUAACUUCAAUUCUUGUACGCACGAUAUAAGUCCAUGCUCGUUAGUGCAUGCACUUUUAGUGUAUAUAAGAUCAAUCCAAAAUAUUUAAUGGAUUUGAAGCCUGAAAAAUUGUAUUGAAACCCAAUCGUUUUAUUGAUAAAAAUUAGCAAGUAUUGAACAUUUUGGCUUUAAAAACCGGGGGAUUCGAUGUAUCAGUAGUUAAACCAGUAAACUGUUCCUUCCACGGUAAACGUGGACAGAUAGUAGCUCCACCAGAAACUUUCCAAGUCAAUAUACAGUGAUUCAUUUCCAAUAAAAAAUAAUUCUUCCACAAGGUGUUGAAAAGAGAAUGGUUUAUGAGCUGUAUAUAAGCAUUGCCCCCUAGGGUUAGGGUUUUCCCCAGAAGUAAGAAUAGAUUUAUGUAUAUGUGAUCUACUAGCUAGCGAACAUCUCCUUCUAAAUUGAUCUCCUUUCAAUCCUGCAGGAGGGUUCUUGGCUGAUUCACCGUAGUAGUCUGAACAUAUACAUCCAUAAGGGUUCUUGUAGUAAGAGCUGGUAGAAGACAUGAAGAAGCGCCAAGUGGUGGUAAAGAGAGAUGAAUCUUCAAAAAACGCGACGAAUUCGUCGUUUACGGUAAGGAAUGUAAGAUAUGGAGAGUGCCAGAAGAAUCAUGCGGCUGGCGUUGGAGGUUAUGCUGUGGAUGGAUGCAGGGAGUUCAUGGCUAGUGGGGAGGAGGGGACAAAUGCUGCACUCUCUUGUGCUGCUUGUGGCUGUCACAGGAACUUCCACAGAAGGGAAGUGGAAACCGAGGCCGUCUGCGAAGGUUCUUCCCCGUCCUCGCUUGGGCGUACAUAGAUAAACUCUCCUAAUAUUUUUCUAUCUCCAAAAUACAAGUAUGUUGAUGGUUUGUUGUUUGCUUUAUUAGUUAUUACUAUGUUAACCAGGGGUUGAGUUGAAUUGCGUGUCUGCGUUUGUGUUUUUGUGUGGAAGCUCAAGAAACAAGCAGGAGUUCUUUUAUGUCUUUACUAAAUUAUGAGAUCGUCAAACUGCCUUUCAUGGUUUAUUACCAAGGGUGAAGUGGGUGGUAACUAGGCAUUGCCAUGGGCUAAAUUUGCUAUGUCCUUUGUUCAGAAACAUAUAUAUAUGAUUGCCUUAUUCUGUGAUUUUCUUUUUUUGUUGUACCUUGAAAUUUGAUUAAGCGGAAGUCCCGUGAGUUCAUUCCCUUGAUUCUUAAUUGCUAUGGAAUCGAAUUCUACAAUUUAUCUGUGCUCAAAGAACCCGUCUUUUCUCCUUGUAGUUGAGUUGUUUCGAUUGAUCAUUGAUCCUUCAAAUGCAAAGAAUGUUGCAUGAAUGCUUGAUGUGAAACAACACAAGAUUGAUCUCAUUCAGAACUACCACAACAUACUAUGAGAUGACCUAACUAAUGAAUUAUUAGUAUCGUAUGGUCAUCCUUAACGUCCCUUUUUUCAAACAAACAGCGAAUCUGUUAUGCCAUUUACCUGAUACCUUCUUUAACCAUGGCUAUGUUUGGUGACACAGACCAUGACGCUAGUCACGUCUAGAGUUGGGUGGCUUUGGAUUUUGCCAUGGUUCUUGGACAUUUUGGCACGUCAAACACGAUGAUAAAUAUAUAUUGGUGGUCAGGAUGAGUGGGUUCCUGAUUGUGCUGAUGAGGUGUUAGAAGUUCUAGGCCACAAAACUGAUUGCUUGGAUAUGUUACAACUAUAGUAUACCUAACCUGCAAGAGUAGUCUUUCUCUCAAGAUAAUACGCGUAACCUAACCUGCAGGAGUAGUAUUUCUCUUAUACGAUAAUACGUGUAAUGAAGGUUUUCUGCAACUGAAUGUCCAAGUCUUACCCUACGUGCCUGUGAUCGACGUGGGGCUUCUGUAGUGCCAAACGGAUGAGUUUGGGAAUAAAAAGAACCAAGAAGAUUGGAAGAAUAGCCACGUUUGUGUUCUUCCAAAAACAUGCUUAAUAUAUGCCAUGUGCUAUGGAUCAGCAAAAAGUGCCCAAGUUAGGUAAUUGAGUAUGGAGGGGGGGAGCAAUUAUUAGGUAUGCGUUGAUUUAAAUCAGGUGAAUGUCAAAUCCUCCCAAAACUGUGGCCAUUGUAUGUUUUUGCGUUUUGGACUGCUGCUCUUUGUCCCGAAUGCCGGCGGAGAAAGGCUUCCUGGCUUUGGCCAGCUCCGGGAUAUAAGCGUGAGACAUUACGCACGGAUCAGAUGCACAGAAACCACAAAUUCCAUUUUCAUUCUCUUUACGCACUGGCCGAGUCUUACAAUCCACAGUAAGGUUUUUCCCGUUACAACUUGGCCGGAGAAUCUCGGAGCUUCAUUAUGCAUUAUUGACGAUCCCCUCGUUACCUGGAGUCGCAUGACUUCCUUCCAAGGAAUAUAUCGGUCGCCUGCUCAGCCGGGAUAUGUGACUGUAACUUUUCUUGGCUCUCAUUUUCAAAGGAUGAAAGAAACCAAGAAAGAGUACUGCGUCGCAAUUCGAUUCCUUCAUUGCAAAGUAAGUACUACAUGAUUGGUAUAUUGCCAUUCGUUACUAUGAUCAAGAAAAUAUACAAGAAUAGCAAAUAUCUCGUCUACUACUCGCAACUUGUAACAAGGGCUCUGAGAGUUUUGAAGUGUGUUUUUCGUUUGCGACUUUAAUUAAUUAGGGGUGCCAUUGUCCCCAACGCGACACUCAAUCAAAAAGUCCGAUGUUGUUGGGCCAUCAGGGCCAGAAAGAGUCUGGCAAGCUUCUUGGUUUUCUUUGGACAUAUGUAUCGCUACAUCUGGAAUUGGAUCUUCAACUCACCUAAAAUCUUGGUCUAAAAUUGGAAAUUCCAUUAACCGUCGGUUCCAUUUUCCAUUUUUUGUUAAAGGAAAUCUGUUGAUCUAUUAAGUUUUUAGUAUUUUACCAUGAUCAAAAUCUGCCCCCCCCCCCCUCCCCCAAAUUUUGAGAAAAAAAAAAAGGCCCAGAUCACCCGUCAGAUGUGAAACAGAAUAAAUCGAAGCGUCAGACUAAAAACAGAGAGGUUAAGAUGGACACUGGCAAGCCCAAUGCAAAAUUGGGCCUACGGUCCAUCGUUAGCGUAAGGGUGCUUUUAGAUUUACAGGCAUCUCGAGAAAGACGGAUUGAGGUUCUGCUUAUAUUGUGACAGAAGAUGAGGGGGAUAAAAAACUCUCAUUCCUUUAGCUUUCCUUUAUUAUCCCCUUAGCCAAUUGUUAUCCCUUUAGCAUCUGUUAUUCUCGACAAGGACCCGAAGAUCCCAUCAGUUGUGCUGCACUAACGAGACCGUCAAAAAAGGAUUACAUCUUUAUACACAUUCUAUUCCCUGUUCGCAACCAUACCUUUUUCCUUUUUCUUUUUUCUUUUUUUUCCUUUUUUGGGCUUUGGGGUGGGGGUGUGUCCUUUUCAAAUUCAACUUUUGAAUUCCAGAUGAUCGAUAGAUUAAGUACCAAGACAAUUAGACAGCACGUAAAUUUUUCCUAGUUCAUGUAACUUCAAGAAUAUAAUUUAGUAUGUUGCAUAUAUUGAGGUCUCAUUGAAUUAGAGAAGAAGAUAGUACUAGUCCGUUUACUUUCUUGUUCUGCCGGUUGACAAGAAACUUUCUUAAAAGGUACUGCCUGAUUUGCCAUUGUGUCCAUCAAUACUGAGUUGAUUGAUUGGGUAUGAGCCCAUUUUUUUGUUUUUUAAAACCAUUUUUUGGGGGUGCUUGUAUCAAUUUUGAAUGCCUAAACGACUACACAAAUUACUCAUAUUUUUGGGUUAAUGGCCACCAUCAACACAUUAAGGCUUCGUUUGGGAGUGGAGGAUUCGGACAGAAAAGAAAGGGAAAGAAGAGAAAGUUAGCUUUUCUUUCGUUUGUUAGUUUUUAGUAGGAAAGAAAAGAAGGGAAAUGGAAUGAUUUAAGAGGAUGAAUAGUAUGCAAAAUUUUUCCUUCCAAAUUGGAGAGAAAGUUGGAAGAAGCUUAUGAAAUUUUUUUAAAAUACCCAUUUUAUCCUUAAAAAUGUCUUGAACAAAUAUUUAAUGACUUUCAUAUCCAAAAUCAUUCCACUAAUUCUCAAAACUCCCAAACAACAUAACAAUCCCUUCUCUUCUCUUCUCUUCUCUCAUAACUUAAGUUUUCCCUUCUUUUCUUUUCUAUCCUAAACUCCCAAACUUAGCCUAAGGCUUGGUGGGGUGGAUGACAAAGGUUCCUCCUACCAAUUUGUCACAAUUAAAUGUGGCGUUGUUUAAAAAAUUUAGACGGAUGCAUGUGUGUGUGUAUAUUUAGGUAGGUAUGUGGCAUCUACAAUUUUACAGUGUUUGGCUGUCGGCGUUGUCGCUAGAGCAUCUUCUGUUCCGGUGGAAAAUUCAGUGAGGGUUAUCGGAAAACAAUUAUAUAUGUACCCUUCUCUUUUUCUUUUUUUUUUUUUUUAUUUCAAUUACAUCCCCCCUCUGGCUGGGAUACGAGAGAGAGAGAGAGAGAGAGAGAGGAGGGAAUUUGAUUUGUAACACGUGAAUCAUGAGGAAGUUAAGUUUCUAACUCUUUUCUGGACAACCAAAGUGCGAACAAGUUCAUAAUCAUCACGUGAACGCUAUACUAAAUUGAGCAUUUUAUAAACCUUGUUAAGGACUGCAUGCAUGAUUCCUGUCGUAUGAAUAUUACUGCUGUCUCUGUAUGCUAACAUAUUUGACAGAUCGAAUCCAUCACAAACCCCACAACCCAUGCCUACGUUACCUUAUAUAUAAUUAAAACAUCAUAACAAAGUAUAUAUGCUAGCUGUACCUUCCUUAAUUGUCGACGGGUAGCAAAAAAAACAACAACAAACAAAAAAUAUGUUACCUACGGAAUUCAAGAUAACGGCCGGGUUCAACUCUGAUCACAUAAAAGGGUUCCUGUAGAAGAAAACAAGUACUCCUACAUAGCUGCAUAGACAUAUAAUAUAUGCGUAUAUAUGGCAGAAAGGAUGAGAAAUGGAGGUGGGGUUAUAACUUAUAAGAUGGCGCUCUGAGGCGGGGUUUCCUGAAAGCAUCUUUCUUUCAUUAAGCAGUCACUAGCUGCCGGUAAACUUUGGACAGCCAUUUUUCGCCGAAAAAUUGCGUCAUUUUUUCGUGAUCACAUUUCCCAAUUGCCUUUUUUCUUCACAUACAUCAAAUCGCUACAGUGAUUUUUCUACAAAAAAUCCAAGAAAAUGCAAUCCAAACAAGGCCUUAACUAAACAACACCAAUGACCAAACCAGAAGCUGGGCUACUUGCCAAUCUGGCUAAACCAACAAAUACUUGCUUCAACGCAUUAAUUGUUGACAACGAUAAGCAUAUAAAAAUGCCCUUCCUUCAAGCCAUGUUCCUCGUAGAUCUUGUCAAAUGCAACCAUGCAAAUAGUAGAGUAAAAAAAAAAAAAAAAAAAGUCAAUAAAUAGUAACUAACAAAUAAAUAUUUUUUAUUAAUAAAAGUCAUGUGCAGAACAUAAAAAUUAGACUACAGUUCUUUUCUGAUUAAGUCAAUCGUGUACAAAUAAGAAUUGUAGCUGGUUGAAUUUCAUUUAAUUUGUCAUUUGUUUUAUAUUUGUAUAAUGUUUUUUCCUAAUGUUAAUUAAUAAAAUGGUUUGGCUCAUUAGGCAUUUGAACUGAGAGUUUGUUUAUUUUAGGAAUUUACAUAAAGACAAAUUAGCAUUUCCUUCAAGUAAUAUUUGAAACUUAUAAACAACAAUUUAAGAACUAAUAAUAAUAGUCUAUGAGGAAUUUUUGAAAAGUCUAGGGGAGAAGGGCCCCUCCCCCUCCGUGUGAAAGAAGUCAUCGUAAUUAAUUAGGCGUAUUCCAUAAAAAAGUUUUUGAGUUAGUGAAACUUUGAAACACAUUAAUUACGAUAUUGAGAGGUCAAGAUCAUUAGGAGCUUUUGAAAUUUAAAACGUGCUGUUAUGCACCUAGUCCUAAUCCCUCCCUGAGGAUACAGACCCACAUUAUUCAAAGUCCACUAAUUGAAAACAAAAUUUGCCAAAUUAAGGAAGUGAACGACCGUUAAGAGAAGAAUUGAGCGGUCUGGUCUGCUCAAGUCCGUAAUCCAUACAUGCAUAUGUUACAUAAAAGUCACUCGGCGGUAGUGAAUCAUCUCCAGCGACAUCACAUGGCCGGCCAACAACAACAACAACGAAAAUAGGCCUAUCAUCAAAUUUGCUUCCGAUUUUGGUUAGACAAAGAAAGCUUUUUCUUUUUUCUAUUUUUCCUCUUUUUUUGGCCCCUUCUUUUUAACACAUAACUUUUCAAUAAUAAUAAUAUAAGAAUGCGCCUUUAAAAACGUUUUUAACAUUACUUCACUUAAUUAGACGCGCAUGGAACCCAUCGGGAGCUGUCUCUCUUUGUGAUUUAGGUAGCGUGCAGUAGCUUUCCUGGAUGCAGAGAGAUCUUGAAUACUGGACCACCGUGCUUAGACGAGUGGCGAAAACUAUUAAUGGCGGCUUUGUACGGACCAUGUGAACAUGAAUACGCUUCCCUUCUGAACAUUAGGGAUCAAGCCACCAGCUCUUUGCCCCGGUGGUGGUGGUGGUGACUGCCAAGCACUCACUCAAAAGUUUAUUAAUCAACUGCUCUAAUGCAUCGAUCAAAUUGAUUUAAGCAGUACAUGGUUGAACAGUGCCCUCGAACAAAUUUAGAAGGACGAGAUUUUCAUCAUUCGAAGAGUUAAAAUUUUAACUUUUGAUUUUUAAUGUUGAAACGAUGCGAUCAAUGAAUGGCGGUUAAUAAUCAACUUGGGAGAAUUGUUCUAUAGUAGUAGUAUUUUAAAACUAACAGGUUUUCUGGAGUCUCGCAGAAAUGAAAUGGAGCCUAGGGAACCAACGAAAAUGUACAACAAGUCGCCAGCUUGAAAUAGUGAAAGUAACUAGUAAGUACCACUCAUACAUCCUUUGUAAGACGGAGAGGAAAUUGAAUUGGUGCGACCGCAACCACGUAUGUGCCUAGCGUCUCACUCAAUUACACAACCAAGGGGACCGCUUUCAAAGGGGUGUAAUAAAGUGCACUGCUCUUUUUGCAGGGACGGAUGAGGGGCACGUGGCCCUUUUCAGUUAUACUAGUACUAAAUUUCGUUAUUAUAAAUUUCAAAGCCACGCUUUCAAAUGUUGGUCUGUUUGGAUUGUGAAUUAUUAGAAAUAUUUUUACUGUAACACUUUUUGUGAUGUGAUGUAUGUGAGAUAAAAAGGUAAUUGGAAAGGUAAAAAGGUGUAUUGAAAAUUGUAAUAAUGAUGUAAGCAAAUAAAUUUGGGGAAAUAAAGCCUAAUCCAAACAAACCAGUUAUUAUUACCAUCAUCUUUUAAAGGAUAUAAAACUUGUUACCAUUCAUUCCCAGCUUCGUGGCUUCUCAAACCCUGCGUUUGGACUAUAAUUAUUUGAGUGGUCCAUUUCUUUUCUUUUUUUUUUUUUUUUUAAAUCCAACUUAAACAUUCUUUCAUUUGCCAAAGGACACAUCUCUUGCUUUUUGAUUAGCACUCGAGCCGUGAUAUUUGAGUUGGACUCUCUUUUUUUAAAAAAAAAAUCCGUGGAUCGAAGCUGCAUUUAGCACAAUUUCCUACUUUGAAUAAAUACAUCAAGGAAAAAAAAUGAUUUUUUGUCAAAUUGCCAUUUACCCCAUCCUGUUUCCAUAGCUGUGAAGAAUGAUAAUGCAGUGACAUUAUUAUAAUCGAGGCGAAAAGCUGUAAUCCCAGGCAGGCGAAGAGAAUCCAAGCAAGAUAUUAUUUUAUCAUUACUAUUUAGUGCCUCGUCGUCCUUUAAUCCUUUUCCCCGGGACAAUGUAUGUUUGGUCCGAUCAAUACUCAAAUCGUUAUCACGUCGCGCGACAACUCAUUUCCAAUCUAUGAUCCUCCCCCCCACCGGACGCCCCCCCCCUUUUUUUUUUGUUUGGCCCCCUAUCUCGCGUUUGCAGCCAGCCAUCAACAUCCCUCAAGAUAGCUGAAAAUUUUUUAUAAUCAACCAAACGAACCCUUAAGGCAAAACCAAACUAAUAGGAGCACUAGCAUCUCGAAGUUAAUAAUAUUAUUGUUUGGCUGCUGAUGAGAAAAAUUCACGAACUAAAGGAACCAAUCCACAAAAUUAGGUCCCGAUUAGGAUUUGAUGAUUGGCAGUGGCUAAAGGAACAAUAAUUAGUACUCUGUGCGUGAUAACGAUAGGUGUUCCCAGCCCAGCUGUAUAAAUCUCAAGAAUAUCCCCCCACAAUGUUUUGAGUUAAAAUGGGGAACAGACCCAUGUUUAGGUUGUUGUUGGACCUUAAAACAGUUGGGAACUCGGACACAAGUUGUGCGAAGGAGCCCCCCACCACCUCAAGAAAACAAUAACAUUCCUGACUGACUUCACUCCUCACCAAAACCCAAACAACCCACAGAACAGAAGUUGACAGACAAGACACUACACUUCCGUCGUCUGCCUAAUCCUAGCCCCUAGCAUAAUAAUUAGUAGAAGAAGAAUUGCUUCCCUUAAAAGGAAAGAAACAAGUGUCCUAAAAGAAAUGCUAAACAAAGGCUUGAUUGUCUUUGUUAGCAACAACAUAAUCUCUUCUACAACCAAUGGAAUGGAUAGAGUGUGAUUUCUAAUUAAAUAUUAAACAAAAGGGCUUUAAACAAAUACUAGUCAAAACCACAUCAUGCAUAAUCUUUACUUUAAGCAACCCCUUGAAUUAGUGGCCUAGUACUACUUAAUUAAAUUAAGUUUAAGGUUCAUAAAAAGAGAUUGUCGGAAUUAACAAACAUUAAAAGAGAUUCUCUCCACCAUGUCUAGAAUUGUUGCAACUGGGAACCGCUAAUUAUUUGAUUAACCCCAUUUAAUUAAUUAAACCCCCCCUUCCCAAUCAUUGUCCACCACAAAAGUUAUUAAUAUACUACUAAUACUACUAGCGCUGAGGAUAAGAGACUCUCUUUUUACUUUUUUUUUAAAAGUUUUCUCUUUUCAUUCCGGAUCGGUAUUAUGCAUUAAAUCGGAAAAGAAAAAGUAAUCGGGGUGACUGAUGACGAUAAUAGUUUUCUAAGGGCGCCCGUAAUGCUACUGCCGCUCCAAAUCAAACAGCAGCUAAUUCAGACUAGACCGCUUGCUGGUUUCUUUGCUACUGAAAAUCGGACAAGAGUCAUUAAAACACUUGUUGUUUUCUCUCUCGAAUCUCCACCCCUUGGCAGUCGGUUCAGAGGAUAGCUGGAUAGGGAAUCAAAUCUCAUCUUAGAGCAUGCAAAGAAGAUUAAAAGGAAGAAGUAGUGGUGGAUCACUUUUUAACCAUCACCUCCCCCACAGAACCACCAUAAUCAAGAGUGGUGUCCACUGAACUCAAGGCAGCAGCAGAAUCCCCAGAACGAGCAAAACUUAAAAAACAAACCAAGAAAAGGUGGGAAAAUGCAAGGAUUUUAAGCAAAUCAAUGUGUCAAAACGAAAAAUAAAAAAUUUAAAUUCCCAAUUGAACAAUAGCCCUCCAUUUUUAUCUUUUACUAAAUCUUUUUCACGGAUCGCUAGUCGUUCGUUAGCUAAGAACAACAUUCUCAAAAUAGGGGGAAGAAAGGAACAAAAGAAAAUCUAAUAAAGCAGUAACUAACAGUAGCAGUCUCAGCUUAGUGUCUCCACUCUCUUUUUCUUUCUGAUAGCUAUCACCUACUAAAACUUAUUAUUCAUCCUUCAUCCAUCCAUCCAUUCCAAAAGAUCAAGAAGAAGAGGAUGACCCGUUAGUGGCCACAACAUGAGCACUAACACUAUCACUAUGGUGCAUUAACUCGUGGUUAUGACUCCCGUUUUUGUUGUCAUUGUUGUUUUCAUGAUUUUGGUGGUGGUAGUGGAUAGUGAAUUCCAUACCGUUGCCGUUGUCUGUCGUUGCUGCUGCUCCUGCGGCCGCGGAGUUGGCCCCGCCGGAGGAAAUGUUAGCUUGAUCUCUCUUUCCAAAAGUGUUUUUGUUGUUAUGCAUCCAAACUUUGAGCACCCCUUUAUCCACCCCAAUUUCGUUGCAGAAUUCCGCGAUCAAAUCUUCGUCUCUCUUCUGAAUUUUCCAUCCAACUUUCUCAGCGAAAUCCAGCAUUUUUUCCUUCUGAUCCGGAGUGAAUUUUGUCCGGUACCUCUUCCUCCCAUUCGAGUUUCCAGCCGUGACAGCGGCGCCCGCGUUGGCCGUGGGGGUUAUGGGGAUGUUGCUGUCCUGGGGCGGGCCCGACAAGCCUGCACUGAGGGCGAGAAGCAUGUGGGGAGCCGAGGGGUAAUAUGACGAGGAGAUCGGCGGAGGAGACGGAGAACUGGGGCUGCUGUGUCCACCGCUGCUACGUUGAGCUGGUGGGAGCGGAGGUGGAGGAUGGUGGCGGUGGUGGGGCUGGUACUCGAGAGCUGCGGUGGUGUUAGGAGGUGGGAGCGGCUCUUCAGGCUCCCGGCGGUGGAAGUUGCGGUGGCAGCCGCAGGCAGCGCAUUUGAGGGAGGUGGGGUCAGUGGGAGUGGCAGUAGGGGAAGGCAUGAACUCGCCGCAACCGUCGACGGCGUGGCCUCCCAAGCUGGCGGCGUGGUUCUUGAGGCAUUCCUUGUAAGUAACCAGAAGG
rnacentral:lncRNA from 1 species